CUCGCGGUAGUGUUUUCAAAAUAAUGGUUUCCGUGUAGGAAACGUUUUUAAAUAGUUUUCUCGAGAUUUUUUGCAGAAUUAGAGUUUUAAAAAGAAAGUCUUCGUGUGGGAGACAUUUUCAACAUCUAUAAAUGAUCGUGAAAUUGAAGUGGAAUAGUUGUGACUAAGGACGGUUAGCUAUAUGAUGUGAAACUUGUGAAAUAAAAAUCUUUGUGACUCGUGAUUAUUAUUUGUGUGAGUGAAAGCCAUGGUUGACAAUUGUACAUGUGACAUGCCGUGCAAAUACUGGAAAGACUCUGUCCGCUUAUUUCAAAAAUCUCGUAUAUUUGUGGCGGUUCUAUUGUGCGUCUUUGGGGUCAAGAUUUUUUUUAAAAAAAAUGGCAGUUUUCUGCUUAUUAUGAAUUAUAAAGAUAGGCCAAUUUCCAAUUGGUUUUCAAAAAAAGACCCUGCGGCGUGACAGAUCUAGAACCCUUGAAAAUUUAAGAGAAUGCUACUGACCUUAAACAAAAUUUUUAAUAGGAUAUAAAUUUCGCUUUGUGAGACUAUAGGUAGUUCUAUAUAUUAAGAUAUAAUAUGGCUAAAACUCUUAUUCCGGCUUAAGUAUUUUGCGUGAUUGCUAGGUCCAAGAGGUUAAGAGAAUUUAGCGUGUUAGGAUGAGAAUAGUCUUAAGAUGGGUGACUUUCUAGAAAGUUGGGGCAUCACAAUUGGUAUCAGAGCCAAUUACCAGCCAGAAGUGUGAAAUGAGUUUUGACUGAGCCAGAAUUUUACAGUGGGAAGAGUGAGACUCUCUCAUACUGUUGACUGUCGUGAGUGAAGCGCAGCUCACCACAAAGUUGGUUUAGGCUAGCGAGAUGAGUCUCACAUCGCCAGGUACUUAUGAGUCUGAGCCUGACGAGAACGUUAGGGCUUAAGGUAGGGAGAAUGUGAGACCUCAGAUAGUUUUAUAUAUAAAGAUAUAAGGGGCAAUUGCUUAUAUACCCCUGAAAAGUUUCCGACUUUUCGAUUUACCCCUCUUAAAAGGCUAAUAUUGAAAAUACCCUUUCUACAUUCCAACCUAUUUCUAAUAUACCCCUAGAGUUAAAAUCUGUUAAUGAACUCUAUUAUCUCUGUAAAAUUACUAUUUUGCCCUUUCAAAUAUACCCUUCCACUAUCACUGACUUUCUUAUUUGCCCUUAAAGUCAGGGGCACAAAAAGUAUUUUGACUUUUGAUCUUUUCCAAUAUACCCCGCUACCGUCACCAACAUUUCUUAUUUGCACUUAAGUUAAAGGCAAAAUUGACAUUUUAAUUUUUUUUAACUGUGGUAAAUGUUUAACUCACGUUUAACCCAAGUUAACUUAACAGAAAAUAACUGCGGGGGCAUUUUGCAAUAACGGUGGAACGUAUGAAGGGUAUUUUAGAAAGAAAAAAAAAAGUAGGGGUAAAUCGGAUAUUUUCAAACGUAUGAGGUGUAUAUAGGCAAUUAUCCCAAGAUAUAAUAUGGCUAAAACUCUUAACCCGGUUUAAACAUUUUGGGCGGUGGCUAGACCCAAGAGAUUAAGAGAGUUAAGCGCGCUAGGAUGAGAGUAGUCCUAGAUGGGUGACCCUUUGGGAAGUUAGGGCGUGACAAUUUUUUUGUACAUGAAAAAUAUAAUUUUCUUGAUAAAAAUAUUGAUGAUGUUGUAGUUGAGUCGGUACAUUUAAUUUAUUUGUGGCUAUUGAAUGAACGAAAUGAGUUGAGAUUAAUAUCGGUCAUAUUUUAAGAUGUUUCCAAAUAUUGAUUAUAUUAUUAAAUCACUACAACAAAAACGGUAUAUAGCGACACUUUUAAAUGCCAGUACAGGUAAAAAAAGUGCUGCUGGCUAAAUUACCGACACUUUUAAAAAGUGUUGCUAUUUAUGGGUCGCUAGGUAUAUAGUGACAGUUUAAGAGUGUCGAUAUAACCUAAAAAAAAUGCUGCUAAUUUACCAAUACUUAUUUAAGAAUUUAGCAACUGUCGGAAUCCUAUCUCGUCGGCUGCGGCGCGGAGGAGGAGGAGAGCGAGGGGCUUUUCAUCAAGGGUUUCAUUAGAUUGAGUGGGGGGAGAAGGGAAGAUGGUAAUCGAUUUUUUUUUUUCUUUUCUAUUUAUAAUCGGACCGAAUGGGUUGGGUAAGGUGGGUUGAGUAGAGUAACCUUUAUUUUUUAAUUGGAUUGGGCUUUAUAUUUAAGCCUUGGUAGAAUUUUUUAAAAAAUUUUGACAUAAAUGGAACACUUACACAAAAGUGUCCCAAAAAUAUGUCGCUAUAACAUAAUUCUGUUGUAAUGAAUAUUUUCAUGUUUGUUUUACAACAUGAUUUCUAUUUAGCAUCAGUGCAUGUAAUUUUUUUUUUUCUCAAAUUAUAAGCGAGAGAAUCACUCCAACGAUUAUACGUCUUACUUAUUUCCAGAAUAAUUCAAAAUACUACAUUUACGAAAUUUACUAUGUUGAAACAUUUGUUAUUGUGGGCAUAAAAAUUAUCAGUUACUUUGGAUGCGUGGAUAAGUUUAUCUGUACACAUUUUUAUUUAUUAGUUAUAGUGCAAAUUCAACACACGUUACAUUUAAAAUUAAAUUUAAAUUUAAAUUUGAAGUUAAAAUAAAUAUUGAAUCUGUAUUUGAAAUUUAAAUGAUUAUUGAUGGCAAAAUCCAUUUUUUAAUUGAUUUAUUUUUGAAAUUUGAUUUGUUUCUAAGCAUGUUUCUAAUUUAAACAUAAAUAUUUUUAUAUGUGUUCUAGAAUAUACAAUUUUUUAAAUCUUUAUCCAAAAUUUAGAAAUUUGAAUUAAUUUUAAAUUUUAAAUUAAAGUUUGAAUUUAGAUUAAAGUUUAUUAAUCAAAUUCAAAAUUUAAAUUUAAUUUGAAUCUAUUAUUUAAAUUUUAAUAAUUGUUGAUUUGAUAGAUAUUUUUUAAACCACUUUACUUUCUAAACCCUAUUUAUUUUUAGUUAGUUAAUUAUUUAAAAAAAUGUAUCCGCAGCCAGGCUUAAAAAUGAAGCUAUUACAGUUUUUCCUUUAUUUUUUUGAAAGAAAAAAGCGAUGCAAUUAGACUUCAAAAUUGGGAUAUGGGGCAUCAAUUAUUAAGUUCUUUAUCACUUGUGCUAUAGAUAGUUUAUGAAGGGUCUUUUUUAUAAAAUGACCCUCCAGAAAUUCGAUUUUGGCAAAAUAACCCUACCAAAAUUUUAUUUGUAAAAUUAGCCCUCUUUUCGCCACGUGAGCACCACGUCUGGGAUUCCUCAAAAAGACGGUGAAUCGUUCACCAUCUUUGUAAUUUUUGUUGUAAAAACGGUGAAUGGUUCACCGCCUUUAGAAAACGGUGAACCAUUCACCGCCUUUAGUGCAAAAUUUUUCUUUCCGCCCUUUCCCCUUUCCGCCCUCUCAAGUCCGCUGUUUCUGUGCCCUCGAGAAAAUGGAGAACGAUUCACCGUCUUAUCAAAGACACCAUAUUAGGACUUGGAAAGAUUUGCGCAGAGUAGGGAUUUGGACUAAAGACGGUGAAUGAUUCACCGUCUUAUGAAGACGGUGAACCAUUCACCGCCUUCACAACAAAUAUCAAAGACAAUGAACGAUUCACCGUCUUUUUGAGAAAUCCCUGACGUAGCGCCCACGUGGCGAGAGAAGGGUUAGUUUCACAAAUAAAAAUUUCACAGGAUUAGUUUGGCAAAUACGAAAUUUCACAGGGUUAUUUUCAAAAAAAGUCCUUAUGAAGCUAUUACACUACUACAAAAAAGCGAACCUAAGUUUACGGCCUAAAUGCAAUUUAACUUAACUAAACUAUAAUUACUUAAACACCGUGAGAAAUAAAAGCUCGAGUCCCAUUCACCUCCAAAAGGAAGUGCGAAACUAGCUCAAAUAAGAAACGAAACGAAACCAAUACUAGAGAGGGUUCACGAAAAUAUUUAAGACCAAUAUUUUCCCCGAAUUACCGACUGUACCUAAAGCAAGUGAUAAAGGGAUUGGUGGUUGAUACCCGAGACCCAAGUUCGAAUCCUAGUUGAUUCAUAUUUCCAUCUAAGUUUAUUUCUAAAUGAAAUAAACGAAACGGGUAGUGUGCUACCUAUCUCUCAAAAAAAAAAAUAUUUUUCCCGAAUUUUCUUCAGAUCUUUCUACAAUUAAACUUGCUCUAAACAGGAUAUAUAUGAAAUCUUUUCUGAUUCAAAAAUAGGAUCAUCUUAACGGAGAUUAGAUAUCCAGUAUAAAAUGUAUGAUCGACGAGCAACAUAUAUAUAAAGCAAUGAAAGUAGGGUUAGUUGCAUUCAUACCACUCGAACUUUUAUCAAAAAUUUCAUCUGCAUGCUAUUCUUUUAGAAUAAACUUAAUGACUCCUAUUUGUCCCGCAAAGUAUUGGGAAGCGGGUCAAAAGGUUGAAAUGUUCGUUUGUGACGAUAUUUUAACCUCUGAAUAGACAAUCUAUACAGUUAAAUAUAAUUUAAAGAGUUUGAACUAUCGAGAAAUAAAUUUUUUUAAUUUUUUGACAUCAUGUGCCGCACAAUUAAAAGACCUCAAAAUUGAUAAUUUUAUAGAUGAAAUUACACUUUUGGUCUUCAAAUUAUAAGGUGUAUGACCCAUGUGCCCUCAAAUUUUAGUUUAUUGCAACUUUUAAUUCGAAUGUUUCAAAUUAUUGCAAUCUAGUUUUCUACUAUGUGGGCAGCCCACUCUCCACCACUUGGCAACCCCCAUUCACUAAGAAAAUCUUCUAUGUAGCAAUCAUACCACGUCUCUCAUAUCCUAACCAAUCAUAUUCUUCUAUCUGAGAGAAAAGUACAAUAUAAAUAUUUUCUAAAGAGCCAUUAUGGCAUGUAUAAAACUUUAGAGACUAAGGCUUCGUUUGGGAUUGCGGGGAGAUUGCGUUACGUGCGGUGAGAAAGUACGUUGGAAAAAUAUCCUGUUUGUUUCCGUACGUAAUAUUGUGUUCCGCAUAUUGCGAAGAGUCGGUUACGAUAUAUUUUCUGCGGUUCCACCGGAGAACGCAGAAGUAUAUCCCUAUAUGCUUUUUCUCCAACUCCAUUUUAUCUAACAGCAUUUCAUAGGCCUCAAUACCAAACUAAACCUAAAUAUGAUUAGUUGGAGAUGCCACAUUAUUCAUGCAACCAUCACAUUUUAGAUAUUUUUCGUUCGCCACCCAACACUCCAGCUGCUGUCAUCCUUCUCCUUCCCUGCUCUCCUCCACCUUUUCCUCUUCUUUCUCAAUACUUUGUACUAUGAGAGUAUGACUAAUCCUACUUACAAAUAAAAUUAAAUUUUUGAAAAUUUUAAUUUAUGUUGAAUAAAUACAAAUAGCCCCUUAUUCUUGAAAUACAUUUAUAUUUUGUAGAUAUUUUUAUAUAACUUAAAAUCAUAAAUUAAUUUAAAUUUAAAAAAUAAAAAUGAACUUUAAAUAAACCGACUAUAAUUUUUACUACUUUUUUGCCAAAUUAGAAGAUUAUAAUUAUAUAAAAUUAAUUAAUAUAUCAAAUUUAUAACUAACAUUUUAAUUUUUAAAUUUUAAAUUCUUUUAGAGCAAAGCGUGGCAUUGUAGGCCCACUUGUAAUCAAUUUAACUAUAAUUAUUUUAUUUAGUGCUAAAAUCAUUAUAAUUGUGAUUUUGUAUUUGUUAAUAUUAUAUUAAGUUUGUAAAACCAAAAAUAUUUUUUAGUCGAUUUCGAAUAAUUCAAAAUACAUAAGAUUCAUAAGAUGAGGCACAUAUAUUUUGAAAUUUAAAAUUUGUGAAGAGAACAAAUAGAUAACGCCAAAUACCUAAAAAUUUGGAGGAAUAAAAUAAUAAUUUACAAUGCUUUAAAGUCACGAAUAUGAACAAAAAAUGAUCGAUAUGUAACGUGUCAUUUGUUAACGGCAUUGUUGGGCCAAUAAAGCACGGCUAGGUGGUACACCGAUACUCUAUCCAAUUGUUCCUUAAGAGUAGAAAUUUUUAUGUACACCAGGAGCAUCGAAAGAUGCACCGCAUAUAACUGAGGGAAGUUACAGUAAACGCAAGCGGUUACAAGCGGUUCCGAUCGGCUGAAAGUGGCCCCGAAAAAUAGGGAGAGUGGCCGAUCAUGGGUGAAAAAUAACUGAUCAACAUGGGCACGUUCUAAAUAGGCAAAUAACGCCCUGAAAAGAUGUCUUUUUUUUCUGAGAACAGAAGAUCACCUUUAUUUUUCUCUGCAAUUUUCUCGCAUUUCCUAGAAGUAGUCUGCUUGUAAUCCUUUAUUUUCUCGCACUUACUGUUUAUCCCUAGGAGUAGUUUUUAAUUUAGAUCAACCAAGUCUGUAUGCUCUCAGGCACACUCGACCUUCGUACUGCUUUCACAAGUCAUCUUCAAUAUAUAUAAAGGCAUUCGACUCUUUCAGCCAACCAGUCGAUGUGUAUUCCAUCCAUUCGGCUCUUCGGCCGACCCUAGUCUUUGUGCAGUCCGUACAUUUGGCUCAUCUAGCCGAACCGGUUUUAUAGUGUAGAUUUUCGAACUCGGCUGAUCUGAUCCCUCAUCAGCCGAAUCGCUUGAUCCAGUCGAAGGGCGCAAGCUUCGAGGGUCAUUAACUGUAGCCGUUCCGCAUCCCUACACUCUUCCCAAGGGAGAUAUUUGACCAGGUCAAGGAUCAGGACAUUCGGCACCUAAUAAUUUUUUGGCACGCCCGGUGGGACGCCAAUUUAGGUAAAUUUAUAUUUUUUGAAAUUAUGGCUGAUAUAACGCCAUGAAUUUACGCAAUAGGGUCGUCCCUAGAAAUUUCGUGAGCAAUCAACCCAACAAUUCUGAUAAUGCUGCAGAAUGCCAAGCAGUCUUACCUGUCGAAGGUGAGACUAGUGGUCAAUCUGACCAACAAAAGCCUAGUUUGGCUCAAGCGCUCGGUCAAAUGACACGGGUCCUACAAGUAUUGGACAAAAACAGUCAUAGAAGCACUGAACGGUUAGAUGCAGUGUUGGCCGCAAUCACGACCUUCAAUGAGAAUAUUGCCCGAAUAGGGCAAUUAUUGACUCGUAAUGAGCAACCUGUAACAGGCCUACAAGGGCAUACAAUGACACCGGUAUUACAAAAUCCCGUAACACCGGCAAGUGGUCAACCCCAAUACCAGGGGGCACUACUUCAGGUAGCUUACAGACCGGUUGUUGUUAAUGCCGGUCAGCAACCAGAAAUAGCAUGGGUAUUGCCACCUCCUCGGCUAGUAGCAGCAUAUCAGCCCCAAAAUGUAGGGGCUAGAGCUGGGGAGCAAGCUCCGAAUAUACAAGGAGCAAACCCUGUGGUACAAAAUUUCGGACUACCACAAAGACCGAAUGUAAUACAAGCACAAGUUCCCUUGCAGGGGAACAAUAAUGAAAUAUACGCACAGAUUGAAGAAGCCAUCCGAAAUACUUUAGAAGUAGGCGCAAGGCCGGCAAUGCGGCCUGUGUUUAGAUCUCCUUAUCCUGCAAAUAUAGAUGCAAAGCAUCCUUAUCCGGCAAAUUGGAAAUGCCGAAGUUUGACAAAUUUUUCGGCGAUGAGACCGAAAACACGGUCGAACAUGUUGCUCGGUUUACGGCACAUUGCCGAGAAGCCGCUGCGGACCCCUUUUUAAAACUUAGAUUAUUUAACAUCUCGUUAACCAAGACAGCUUUUACUUGGUAUACGAGUCUACCGGCUAAUUCCGUCCGAAAUUGGGACGAAUUAGAAAGAAAAUUUCACGAACAAUUUUAUAGAUCAAAACCAGAAUUGUUGGUAGCUGAUCUAGCUCAAUUUAAAUAGAAAACAAGAGAAUCAGUUGAAGAAUACUUGAACUGAUUCAAAACGGCCAGGAGCCGUUGUUUUGUAAGGAUGCCGGAAUCCGAAUUUGCCAAAAUUGUAUUUAACGGCUAACAUUUCAAAAUAAAAGAUCAUUUUGAAGAUAAAUAUUUUUCAAAUCUUUUUGAUUUGGGAGUUCGGGUUGCUCAGUAUGAGCAGUUCCGAAAAGGAGAUAAUGAAGAUCGGCCCAGAUAGGGCCGAAACAAAGAUUGGAACAAAGGGAAAAAGAGGAAUAUCUCUUUCCUUAAAGAAUCUUCGGUCACGAGAAGCCGAAUACAUCUAAAGAAAAAGAGGAUUCGGCUGAUGAAGCCGAAAUAUACGUGGCAGAGAUGGUAAGAAACCGCUAGCCAUACAAAUGUGCUUUGUUAAAACCUGUUAAAUCAAGCGAUGCAAAAGCACGAGUAUCAGCAUAUACUUAUUCAUUUGAUGUAUCGAAGACCGAUUUAAUUUUUGAUCGGUUAUUAAAGGAUGGUCAAAUUCAGCUACAGGAAGGUCAAACUAUACUUCCUGGAGAAGAAUUGAAAAUAAAAAAAUACUGUAAAUGGCACCACUCAUGGAGCCAUAGGACAAACGAAUGCACUGCCUUUAAGAGGCAAAUUCAAAAGGAAAUAAAUGAAGGUCGGCUCAUUUUUGCCGACCAAGAAAACAAAAACAUGGAGAUUGGCAAGAAUCUGUUUCCAUCGCAGGUCAAUAUGGUGGAUGUCAAAGUAAAGGCAGUCGCAGACAAGAAGACCGCCGAAAGCAUUGCCUACACCAAGAGGACUCUUCGGCUUUGCAUUUUAUGCAAAGCCGAAAUAACAAAGAAAGAUUGGGAAGCAAUCAUCAGUGAGAAGAAAACGCACAAUGAAUGGAGAAAAUUCAUGGCGUUUCCUGAGGAAUGGGAGGAAAUUUUUGAAGAAGACAACAAAUCAGAGGACGGCUCAGAUGAAGCCUCCAAUGAGUCCGAGUCAGAAGUCGACUCAAUGAAAAACAAGAAAGAUUUGUUGAUGCAAAAAGUUUUGAAUGACUAUUACAACAGCCGGAAAGAGGAACACAACAGCCGAUGGAGUUACCCAGAAAAACCAUUCGGCUCAAAAUAGAGAUUUCCAGGGUAUCGGCCACACUGGCAACAUCAUGCCAGGCCGAGACCAGAACCAGAGUUUGAGGGGAUGACCGAGGGGGAUAUAGAAUUCCUCGGUCGGAGAUUAGUCUAUGAGCUCGGCAUACAACCGUGGCCGAAACCAUGGACAAGAAGAGAAAUUUUGAGAAACCAUUUAAAAACGGUGAAAAUACCGGCAAACGUGCCAAUUGAUCAAUGGCACGAAGCCAAACCAUCGGCCAAAUGGCAAGGGCCGAUGUUAACAAAAACACAAAAGCGUCGGCAGCAGAGGUUGCAAGCCGAGGCAAGGCAGCACUACGAAGAAGCGAAAGGGAUAAGACUGAAUGUAUGGAGACGACCCAAUGAACCAUAGCUUCCCUUUUGUCUGAUGCGGAAUGAUCACAAAGCAGGCGGUUCAUCACCCAUUUCUUGGCUAAAAUCGAAGAUAGAACGGCUAAUUACGGCCGAACCGGAGGAGAAGAUAAAUCAGAGAGAGCUAAAGGAGAAAAUAGCCUCUCUCGAGACAAUUAUCAAGUGAGAAAGAUAGCCACCCAAGAAAAGGGAGGUGCGAAUGGAAAGCGACUCCUCAGCCGAGACGGCAAAGGAGUCUGAAGAAAAGAAACAGAAGAUACAGGAAAAAUCGGCUAAUGAAAGUCCAGCCGAUGUGAAUAUGGUAUAUACUCUGCCUCAAUCGCUCAAAGAAGAGUAUAUUGAAUACGAGGAGAUGGUAGAUGAAGAAGAUGGGCUCACAGUGGCCCAAUUGUAGCUGGAGGACGCUAAGCGAGCCGAUUCGGUAAUUUUUGAAAAACCAUCGAUUAUGCAAACAAGGUUUGUCAGGACUCUAUUUAUAAGGGCCUUAAUAGGGGGAUGGCCAGUAGGUCGAGUCAUGGUGGACGGCGGAGCAAUGGUCAACGUCAUGCCUACUUCAUUCUUCAAAAAACUGGGCAAGAGCGAAGACGAGUUGAAGCCUACCGACACAAUUAUGACCGACUUCACCGGAAGCGGUCAACAAGCCAGAAGAGUGCUCACAAUCGAGAUUACGGUAGGAUCUAAAACCUUAAGAAUGACAUUUUUUGUAGUGGAUGCAGAUAGCCAUUACAAUUUACUGCUUGGGCGUGACUGGAUUCAUGCCAAUGAACGCAUACCCUCGAUGCUGCAUGGGAAGCUGUUCCAGUGGGUAGAAGAUAAAGUGGAAGAAAUUCGGGCCGAGGGGCGACCCCAAAUGGUAGACAUUAAUGUAGAAGGAAUUGGCUACAUCAAUUGGGCCGAAAUUGUGACGCACUGGACUUUUGCAAAUUGUAAGGUUCGAGUGUUUGUUUCGUGUUCUGAGCUUUUCCACACUUCGUGGAGGGUCGUUUACAGUAUUCCGACCCAUGGUUCAAACCCCGAGAUUGGAGGUUUAAAAUCUAGCACAAAAAUCCAAAAAGUCGAAAUUUUGGUCAGCUCUCGGGUAGCCUCAGCAGGGCUGUGUACCGGUACGGGGUUGAUGGCUGUACCGGUACGCGCUGAUGGCUGUACUGGUACGGGGCUGGUGUACCGGUACACAGACGGAUUUCGUGCAAACCCGAGGCUCGGGUUUGACUGUUUCGCAGGUGUUGUACCGGUACGCGAGCCCAUGUACCGGUACACAGUGCAACGCGAGCAAUUUUUGGGCAGGGGUGUUUUUGCAAUUGUUACAACACCUAUAUAGGUGACCCCAGCCCCCUUAGAGAGCCCUUUUGAGCCCUAAUUCGUGGAGGAACCUGGUGAGGGCCUCUUCUUUGGAUUUUACCCCAUUUUGGCUUGGUUUUUAUGGUUUUGAUCUCUCUUUUCUCCUUCUCCUUACCUCAUGUUGGAUUUCCUCCAUUGGAGAAGCUUUGAGGUUUUUGUUGGAGCUUGUUUGGAGGGAGAACUUCAACCCUAGAACCUUCCUAGCUAGGUUUGGGACUUCAAGAGAGGUGAGUAGGCUUGAUCUCUCUUUUAGAUCAUGUUUUAGUAGAUUUCACAUGAUGAAACCCUAGAUUUUGGAUUUUAGGGUUAGAAAUGGGGAUUUUGAAUUUGUAGCUUCUAGAACCAAAUUAAUUGGUUUAGAACUUUGAUUUAGGUUGGAUUUGAAGGACUCUAGCUCCCUUUUGGAGAUAGAGAGAGGUUCUUUCGCAUUCGGUGGGUUUCUUCACCUUAGCUUAGAUAGCUUAAUGUUUGAGCUUAGCUUUGUUCGUAAGGUCCGUUUAACUCUCAUUUCUAUACCUUUAGGGUGCUAAGAGAGUAGCGGGCAACUUCGUCGGAGGUUACGACGCGCCGCGAAGACUUUGGUGGGUUUGGCUUCAUUGAAAUAGGGGGAAAUGCCUCCUACGUGGUUAAAUGUUUUCGUAUACUAUAAAUGCAUGCAUAUCCAUGUUGAAUAGAAUUUAUAUGAAUUUUAGAAUGCUUAAAAGUUCUAUGUUAUGCAUCAUGAAAAACUGACUCUAUGUUGUAGAGAGAAGCAUCUGCAUUGUUAGUAUGCAUGAGUUUAAUGUUCGAAUGAAUGAGGUAAGAUCAUGUUUCUCGUGUGGAAAAUGAUUAGAAUGACAAGCUUUUAGACUUAUUAUUCAUAUUGGGACAUAGUAAGCAAAAGUGUCAUAAAGGGGCACUUGAACUAGAAAAUCGUUGAACUACAACUUAAAGACAUGAUGAUAGGCCACUGAAAAUCUGCUAUAUUCCAUGUUUUAGACAUGCAUGAUGACAUAAAGAUAGGCCAUUGAGACAGUUACUAUAUUCCGUGUUUUAGACACGAUGACAUAGAGGCAGGCCUUUGGGACAUGUGCUGUAUUCCGGAUUUUAGAUCCAAUGAAACAGUGAUGAACCACUGGAACCUGAGACGGACUUAUUCGCUUGCAUGCUAUUGUGCUCAAUCGUACAUACUUGUGAGGGUCGCUCCCUACAAGUCGGCACUCCGGAGAUAGCCAUCGCGACAUAUGCUCGCCCGUGCGAGAUUGGGCGCCAAAAUGGGAUGCUGUGGGGGAGGCUCAUUCCUAGAGUGGGGAUGUUGACUACCACGGGGUCAUUGUUGGCACGGCGCAGGCCGGACUACCUACGGGUAGCUUCCACAGGAUUGGAUUACUGGUGACAUAUUGUACCUUUUGGACAUUGACUAGAAUAGUAAACAAUGACAUCUGUACUAUUUACAUUGUGGACAUUGGGUUAGUUGCAUACUUAUGCUUUUACAUGUUGGAUACUCUUUUGCACUUACUUGUAGUAGUUGCUUUGUUACUUAUGCAAAUCCAUGCUAAGUAGGGAGCACGUGGUAGAUUAUUGCUGAUGAAAGUAGAGACUUCAUGCUAUAUUGAGCUUCCAUUUCAGUGAUUUAUUUGUUCAUAUUAUUCUCACUUGCCUUACUUACCCUACUUGCUUAGUUUUGGGCCUAGUGGUGCAUUUCACUGAAGUCGGUAAUUGCCCACUGGGAACUAUUAUUUAAUGGUUCUUACGCCCUCUGUUUUAUGUUUUCCUUUCAGAGCCCUCUGCACCGGCGGAGGCACGGGACCGCGGCAAGGGGAUCGCUAGCUAGAUAGCGAGGAUUCACUUUUACUCUUAGGUGGUUUCCCCUCUCUUUGUAUUUUGGGAGAGCAAGAGAUUUUGUUUACCAUGUAUAGAGACCACCUAUAUACUCUUUUAGUAUUUGGGUUUGGAUCUUUGGUUGUACUACUUUAUGGGUUAUUUAGUUUUUUUAGCUCUCUACUCUUCGCAUUGCUUUAGUCUCUAGAUGAUGUAUAUUGCUCUGAUACUUCUAGAUGUUUUCUUUUAUUGUCUCAUUUAUCGUUUUGUUUUAGACGCCUUAUAUGUUUUAGACGUAUAGCGGGUCUGUGCACGUGCCGGGCCGGCUUCCGCUGAGUCCCGGGGCGUGACAGAAACGGACCCUGAUCAAAUUUCUUUUGUAAGAGUGACCGAGAGGGAGUAUAAUUAAUUCUCUCUAAAGAUGAGGGAGCUAUGGUGGCAACCGAAGAGCCACCAAGUUGGUUAAAAUAGAGUACCAAAAAUUAAGAGCCGAAGCUUUAGAAAAGCUUCGGCAGAAUAGGCCGAUCAAUGAGGUCGGCUAUGAAAAUGAUUCGGCCGACCAGGCCGAUGAGAUAACACUUAGCAAGACGGCCGAACUGGCCGACAGUGAUUUGUUAGUGAAAUCGGCCAUCAAGGCCGAUAAGGAAAUAUCUAAUGAACCGAAGAGGCGAACAACUGAGCUAAACAUUGAGGAAUCACCUAUUAAAGUCGGUGACAAGAAGUUAGAAACUCAGGAUCCACUAAUAGAGGUGAACCUGGAAUCUAACGGAGACAAGCAACUGACUUACAUCAGCGCUAAACUUUCAGCUCAACAACAGGAGAAGCUAAAAGAAUUGCUGAUGGAAUACAAGGACUGCUUCGCCUGGAGUUAUGAAGAAAUGUCAGGCUUGAGUCAAGAAAUUGUAGAACAUAGGCUGCUUAUUAAAAAUAGGUAUAAGCCUUACAAACAGCCGGCUUGUAGGUUUGAGCCGAGUAUUGUACUUCAAAUCAAAAAUGAAAUUAAAAAUCUUUUGAAAGCCGAUUUAAUUAGAGCGGACCGUUAUGUUGAUUGGGUAUCCAAUAUAGUUCCGGUACGAAAAAAGAAUGGUAAACUUAGAGUUUGCAUUGAUUUUAGGAACUUAAAUUUGGCUACGCCUAAAGACGAGUAUCUAAUGCCAAUAGCCGAUAUGUUAGUGGACUCGGCGGCCGGGAAUGAAAUCCUAUCCUUUAUGGAUGGGCAUGCCGGUUACAAUCAGAUUUAUAUUGCUGAAGAAGAUGUAGCUAAAAUGGCUUUUAGAUGCCCAGGGUCCAUUGGGACCUUUGAAUGGGUAGUUGUGCCGUUCGGUUUAAAGAAUACCGGAGCUACUUAUCAGAGAGCAAUAAAUUUCAUUUUUCAUAACUUGAUUGGCAAGAUAUUGGAGGUUUACAUCGAUGAUAUCGUUGUAAAAUCUAAAUCGCAAGUCGGUCAUUGGACAGAUCGCAAGUCGGUCAUUGGGCAGAUUUAAAACUCACCUUCAAAAGGAUGAGAAAAUAUAAUUUAAAAAUGAAUCCUUUAAAAUGUGCUUUUGGAGUUUUAGCAGGAAAUUUCUUGGGAUUCCUAGUACAUAAAAAAGAGAUCGAAAUUGAUAAAACAAAGCAAAAGCUAUAUUAGAAUUGCCGCCGCCAAAGAAUAAAAAAGAGUUGCAAAACUUACUGGGAAAAAUUAAUUAUUUUCGGCAAUUCAUAUCAAACUUGGCCGGUAGAAUAGGAGUUUUCACUCUAUUACUUUGGCUCAAAAGUCGGGAAGAAUUUAUUUGGACAGAGGAACAACAGGGAGCAUUUGAAAAUAUAAAAAGAUAUUUGGCAAAUCCUCCAAGUUCUUAUGCCUCCUAAACAAGGACAGCCGAUGAAAUUAUACAUUUCGGCUGUAGAAGAAAAUUUAGGAUACUUGUUGGCUCAAGAAAACGAAGAAAAAGAAGAACAUGCCAUUUAAUAUCUAAGCAGGCGACUGUUAGAUACCGAAAAACGAUAUUCGGCAAUUAAAAAAUUAUGUUUGGCCUUGUAUUAUGCCUGUACAAAUUAAGAUAUUAUAUUUUACCAACCGAAGUAUCGGUGAUAUGUAAAACCGAUCUGGUGAAAUAUAUGUUAUCUAAGCCAGUAUUAAGAGGUCGAAUCAGAUGGUGGAUGUUGGCCUUGUCCGAAUUUUCUCUUAAUUAUGUUCCAGCAAAAGCUAUUAAGGGACAGGCAAUAGCCGAUUUUCUGGCUGAUCAUUCAUGUGUUGAGUUUGAAAAGUCGAAACAAAAUUUAGUCGGCUGUCAACCUUGGAUACUUUAUUUUGACGGCUCAAAAACAGCCGAAUCCGCAGAAGCUGGGGUGGUUAUACAGUCUCCUGAGGGAUAUAUUUAUCGAUUUGCUUUUGAAUUAGAUUUCGGCCGUUCCAAUAAUCAAGCCGAAUACAAGGCCUUAAUAAUUGACCUCGAGAUUCUACAAGAAUUGGGAGUAUACUCACUCAAGGUCAUCGGUGAUUCACAGUUAGUGAUUAAACAAGUAAAUGGAGAAUACCGAUGUGAAAACCGAAAUUUGCAAAAUUAUUUGAGAAAAACAUUAGAAUUACUUUGCAAUUUCGGGGAAGUUGAGUUUGAGCAUUUAGCAAGAGAAGAAAAUGAACAGGCUAAUGAAUUAGCCCAAUCGGCUUUGGGGUAUAGAGAACCGAAACAGGAUUUAGUAAAAAUAGAACGAAGAUUAUUACCAUCGGUUCAUAUACGAGAACCGAUUAUUGCUCCUAUAGCGAUUAAAGAAGACUGAAGAAAGUCUAUAAUUGAAUAUUGAGAAGACCCUAACAAGCGAGUCGACUAUAAUAUUCGAAGAAGAGCACUCGGCUAUUGUCUAUUAAAUGGACAGCUUUAUAAGAAAACAGCCGAAGAAGUAUUAUUGAAAUGUCUAGGGCCUGAAGAAGCUCUAUUAGUGAUGGGAGAAACACAUGAAGGUUUGUGUGGAGCCCAUUUAGUAGGAAAAAGACUAAGAUGGACAAUUCGGCACCUAGGAUAUUACUGGCCGACUAUGCAUCAAGACUACAAAAAGUACGCAAAAGGUUGCCAAGAUAGUCAAUUCUAUGGCUCAGUACAGAGAGUUCCUGCCUUUGAAAUGUACGCGAUAAUUAAACCUUGGCCUUUCCGAGGUUGGGCUAUGGAUUUAAUUGGAGAAAUUCAGCCCAAUUCUUCGGCUGGUCAUAAGUUUUUGAUAGUGGCCGUUGACUAUUUCACUAAGUGGGUGGAAAUAAAACCUGCUAGAUUAGUCACUCAAAAAGAAAUUAUUGAUUUUAUUGAAGACUUUAUAAUUCAUCGUUUUGGAGUUCCCGAGACGAUUACAACUGAUCAAGGAACAAUGUUCACUGGAGGAUAAUUUGUUCGGUUCAUUGAAUCCAGAAAGAUAAAGUUACUUCAUUCAUCACCUUAUUAUGCUCAGGCCAAUGGACAAGCUGAGGCAGCAAAUAAGGUAAUCAUAAGUCUUAUGAAGCUGCAUAUUGGAAAAUAUCCAAGAAAAUGGAAUGAAAAACUUUCCGAAAUAUUAUGGGCAUACCGAACUACAGUAAAAAUGGCAACAGGGAUUACGCCAUUUCAAUUAGUGUACGGCCAUGAGGCCGUGGUACCAGCCGAAAUAACAAUCCCCUCCUUGAGAGUGAAAAAAUAAAAAGAUUUGACGGUUGGUGAAUAUAAUAUUCUAAUGAAUGAAAGAAUGGAAGAAAUAAAUAAAAUUCGGCUGAUAGCAAUAGAUCAUUUAUGAGCUUAUCGGAGCCGAGUACGCAAUGCGUACAAUAAGAAAAUUAGAGCUAGGUCCUUCGCAGUCGAAGACUUGAUUCUUAGGCUAAUAUUUCCAAUUGGUCGAAAGGACCGAGAAUAUGAAAAAUGGUCUCCAAAUUGGGAAGGACCAUUUCAGGUUAAUAGAAUUACAAAAGAAAAUGCAUAUUAUUUAAAAAGUAUAGAUCGGUUAGAAAAUGAGAAACCAAUCAAUGGAAAAUAUCUGAAAAAGUACUACCCAUCCAUGUGGGAAAUUAACUAAGUUAGAGUUAGAAUAUUACAAGUAAUAAGCCGAAUCAAUGUAGUAAAUCCUUAAGUUGGUUCCAUUCGGCUAUUAGGUUGGCUUGAGCGGUUUCGGCUGCUUUCCUCCUGCGCUUCAUUAAGGGAUGUACUUUGUAGAGUUGAGAAAGUUUAUCUUGAAGCUUCAUCCCUUCGCUCUUCUUGAUCUUCAGUUGAUCUUGCAAGAGAAGCCGGCACUCAGAAGUGCGAGCCAGAGCCGAUUCGGCCGCAGCUAGUUCCUCUUUAAGAGUUGAAAUCCUUUGCUGCAAGGCCGAUCUUAGUUUUCUAAGGCUUGAUCUUCUCGGCUUAUGUCAGUUAUUGGAGUCAUCACUUCAGGAACUGUCGAUUUGAAGUGGUCGACUUGAUGGAAGUGGUGGUCAAAAGAUAAAAACUCGGCGGCUAGAGAUUGUUGCCGAGAUAAAAAAAAAAAGAAAGCUGAGAUGAUAAAGUCUCCACAAAGCAUUUGCCAGUGGAAGAAAUGUCAGGCUAAUCGGCUAAAUCAAACAAAAGUGCGCAUAGCCGAUCAAAUUGCUCUGAAUUUUGAGCCAAGGAUGGAAGACCACGACUAUACAAUUUUAGACACUCAUCAAAUUUUUGUUGAGUGUCUAUUGACAUCACGAUGGUUGAUGAGUCGUCUCCCUCGUUGGAAUUAGGACUCGAAACCAACAGAGCAUGAAGAGAUGCAGAAAGAGGGUCUUCAGGAACAGAUGAUGAGGCCUCAGGAGUCGAGUGAAGUACUGGGCUUGUCUCCUUAACACCCUCCUCCAAAGGUGUGCUUACAUCUGCCCUCUCGGUUGUUGUCGUUGGAGUAGAUAAAGGUGGUGCCACAUCACUUGUCGGCACUUCCUUACGCAUUUCUUGGGCGGCCCGUUUCUUUUCUGCCUCUCGCUUCUUCUCAAGACGAGCCUCUCGGCGGAUUUGUCUAUCAAUCUUCAUCUCCAAAGAAGAAGCAAAACGGGUUCUUGAAGUUUCUUCAGGAGGUGACUGUUUUAUCAAGCAUAAAUGAUGAAAAAGAUGAAAUAAUAUAGAAGAAAAAGAGAGCUCGAUUAAUUAAAUCAAUUACCUCAAUCGUGAUUGGCUCAGGAACAGAGGCCUUCUCUGGAACAUCAGCCGAAGGUGUUUCUUCGGCUCUUCCUUCUAGAAUAUCAACCGAAGGUGUGUUUUCGGCUCUUUUUUCCAAAACAUCAGCCGAAGAAAUGCCUUCGGCUCUCAUAGAAAGCGGUUUCUUAGCAACCGACUUGCACCGCUUCGGAGGCGGCGGGGGAGUAGAAUGUUCAGGUUCCAUUGGUCGUUUCUCUGAAGCUAGGACCUAUGAAGAAGUCAGAAUUGGCUAUAUAUGAAACAGAUAUAUAAAAGUAAGCAAUAAUCAUAUAAAUAAAAGAAAAAUCAAAUCAAGAAAGAGUAGAGCUUACUACAGAAGAAGCAGGUGGGACGUCAGAAUUAUGAUCGGAGUUCUCUUCCGAUUCUUCUCUUGGUGCGGAUAGAGCAGCAGUAUCAACCGAACUGGUCGGAAAAGGCACCGCUGUAUAUGAAAGAAAAGUAAGUAGAAAUCAUUUUAAAGAAGAAUAAUUAUAAGAAUUAGCAAGGAAUUUACCAAGUGGAUGGAUGGUCUUGCGAUGUGCCCGAAUAGUGGAUAAAUCAAAACUCGAUCAGUAAACUGAUCCCAAGUCACGGUAUAGCGAAAAAACACCACACCUGUAUAAUUCGGCCUGAAGCUUACUAAUUUGAAGAACCGCCGAAGACGGUUCCCCAUGGCCGAAAUCCGAUCAGUUUCGGCUAUACUUUUGGUAGGAGGCCGAUUGACGGCUGUAUUGGCCGUAAAGAAUUUGGCUGGAGCAGAAAUCGCUUGUACAAAUCCAAAUUGACGCGCUACGUAUUGAGGGGAAUAAACUUCAGUACUCGGUACAGCUUCGAGCGCGAUUUCAGCCCCACAUGCAGAUCCCUUGGAGCCAAAAAAGAAUACCAUACGUCUGAAUAUUCACUGGCACGAGAAGAGGCCAAUUCGCCUUGAAUGGCCUCGUACCAAACAAGGAACAAGGAUGGGGCCAGUGAGACGAUCAGCGAAUGGAGACCAGGAAAUGGCAAAAUGAGGACGCAACUCAUAAAAAGUUUGAAAAUAAGUAAUAAAAUCAAGAGGAUGGCCCGAUGUCUUCAGCUGUGGACAGCCGAGAGCUAACCUAUAAGAAUCAUAUUGAGCAGCCGAAUUUAGAUCUAAAGGAUCUCGGCACAAAUCAGGAAUAUAAAUUUGCAAAACAUUUGCAAAAACCAAAAAAUACCACAACCAGAGCUGAUGGUUACACCAUCUCCAGAAGGUAGUGGUUUGAUAGAAUCAAAAAUCUCCCUAUAGACAAAAGCAAAAGAAUAGGAUCCUAAAGCUAAUCUAUCGUCGUUAGCUAAACCUACGGCAAUCGGGACAAAAUCUCGAUUAAUUUUCUGGAAAUGGGUACAAAAAAGAUUAUGGCAUAAUCAAUACAGAAGGAAGGCUGCGUGCUCCUUUCUCGUAACCGCAGCAGGAGAUUCAAUUGCAAACUUGCGGAGAAAUUUGGACUAAGCCAAGUCAUUGAGGUCAAUGUGAGCCUCAAAAUCAGACACGCCAUCAGGAUUGUAAGACAUGGAGAGGGUAACUCCAUGAGGGCAUAAGCCAAUGAUGGCGGCAACAUCAAAAAGAGUGGGAGUGAGGGGUCCUUUAAAAAGAAAAACGUUGGAAGCAGGAGACCAAAAGUAGAUAGCAGCGGCUAAAGGAAGAUUGUCGGCUACAGGGGGUUGUUGAGAUAAUUUGAUCGCCUCGUAAAUACCUACUUCCCUCCAAAAAUUACCAUAGGCAACUUCCACCCGGUCUAGCCAAGUCAGGUACGCAUCUGAGACACUCGGCCAAGUCCGGAGGCUUUUUCCUGUUGAAUCCGAUAGAUACCAAGACUGGAGAUGAAUGGAUCGGGCCUUCAAGGGGAGGCCAUCACUAGAAUAUGGGAAAUUAGCAGGGGUCGGUUCAUCUAUGAAAGAAGGACAUAAAAUGAAUCGAGAAGGGUCUGAUUCGACGAACUGUCUAAGUAUGGUAUAAUCUAAGGACGAAGAAGAAGGAAAGGGCGGAAGCGGCACCAUUACUAAAACUAAGGAAAAGUGAAGAAAAACCCUAAGGAUGGAAAGAAGGGGGUUAAAAUUCAGAUAGAAGAGAAAGAAGCGGAGAAGACGAUAGAGAGAAACAAAAGAAAAAGGCAAAGAGAAUGAAGCUUGGGGAAGAAGCUUAGCAAAAGGAAGCCGUCGCGUCGAAUCGUCGCAUCGAAGCGAGUUCCGAGGCCGGCUAUAAUGAUGAAGAGACGGCGGCAAUUAAGAUGACCUAAUUAAUGCCGCAUAUAAGACAAAAAGGAUGGCGAGAUCGUGGCUGUAGAAAAGGAAUGAACGGCCGAGACGAAACCGUACAAAGAAUUUGAAAUUGAUUGCAUCGGAAGUCGCGCCUCGGAUCACGCCAACUACCGAAGCGUCCGUUCGGAAGCUGCCGAGGGGUAAUUGUUGGGCCAAUAAGGCGCGGCCAGGUGGUACACCGGUACUCCACCCAACUGUUCCUUAAGAGUAAAAUUUUUAUGUACGCCAGGAGCAUCGGAAGGAGCACCGCAUAUAACUGAGGGAAGUUACAGUAACCACAAGAAGUUACAAGCGGUUCCGAUCUGCUGGAAGUGACCCCGAAAAUAGGGAGAGUGGCCGAUCAUGAGUGAAAAAUAACUGAUCAAUAUAAGCGCGUUAUAAAUAGGCAAAUAACACCCUGAAAAGAUGUCUUUUUUCCGAGAACAGAAGAUUACCUUUAUUUUUCUCUGCAAUUUCCUUGCAAUUCUUAGGAGUAGUCUACUUGUAAUUCUUUAUUUCCCGCACUUAUUGUUUAUCCCUAGGAGUAGUUUUUAAUUUAGAUCAACCGAGUCUGUAUGCCCUCAGGCACACUCAACCUUUGUACUGUUUUCACAAGUCACCUUCAAUCUAUAUAAAGGCAUUCGGCUCUUUCAGCCGACCAGUCGAUGUGUAUUCUAUCCAUUCGCCUCUUCGACCGACCCUAGUCUUUGUGCAGUCCGUACACUUGGCUUGUCCAACCGAACCGGUUUUAUAGUGAAGUUUUUUAACUCGGCUGAUCCGAUCCCUCAUCGGCCGAAUCACUUGAUCCAGUCGAAGGGCGCAAGCUUCGAGGGUCAUUAACUGUAGCUGUUCCGCAUCCCUACACUCUUCCCAAGGGAGAUUUUUUAUCAGGUCAAGGAUCAGGACGUUCGGCAUCUAACAGGCAUGUUUGGUUGUUCGAAAGUGGGUAAAGUGAAAAAAGUUACUUUUACAAAAGUGACUUUUCAGUUCGAUUGUUUGGUUGACUAUAAAGUAAAAAUUAAAACUAUAAUUUUAUAAUUUUAAUUAUUAAAUUAUAUAUAAUGAGGUAAAUAUUAUAUUUUAAAAUUUAAAUUUAAACUUAAGUCUAACUUGAAUUUAUAAUAAAAAUUUAAGACAUAAAUUUAAAUUUUUAAAUUUUAUUCUUAUUUAAAUUUUUAUUUUAUUUAUUUUUAUUUAAAUUUUAUAACUUAAAUUUUAAACUAAAAAUUCAACACAAAUAUUAGAACAUUUAUUCAAAUUUGAAUUCAAAAUUUUAAUUUAAUUUGAAUCAUAUAUUAAUUUACUAUUUGAUCUUAAAUUCCGAAUUCAAAUAUGAAUUCACAAUUUAAAUUAAUAUUUAAAUUUAAAUUUAAAUUUAAAUUUGAGUUUAAAUCACAAUUCUAAUCGAACAUUUGAAUUCAUAAUUCGAAUUCAAAAACUAAAAUUCAUUAUGGAAAUUAAAUGUAAAUAGCAAAUUUAAAUUUGAAUUUGAAUUUGAACUUGAAAAUUUAAAAUUUAAAUUUAAAUUUUGUUCAAUAAUUUGAAUUUAUAGUUUGAAUAAAUUUAAUUCAAACUUCAAAUUGAAGUUCUUAACUAAAAAUAAUUUGAUUAAAAUUUAAAUUUAAAUUUAAAUUCUAAUAUUCAAAUUUAAAUAAAAAUAAAAUUUUAAAUUUUAAAUUUAAAUAUCAAGUCACAAAUUUGAAUUUAAAAUUUUAUGUUGAAUUUUAAUUUACAAAUAAAUUUCAGAAUUUGGUCAUAUUUUUAAUUCAAACUUAAAGAAAAAUUGAAUUUUAGAAGUAAAUUUAAAUAUUAAAGUUAAGAUCAAAUAUAAUCUCUUGGGUAAGUUCUACACUUUUGGUGACUUUCGAAUUUUUUGAGCCGAGGUCAAAAAGUGAGAUUUAGUUAUAACUUAUUUUAUCAGCCCACUUUCAUAAAGUGAUUUUCAUAUUCACUUUUCGCAAACCAAACAACCGAUAAGACGUCAUUUUUUAAAAGUACGUACCAUUUUCCGUGCUCACUUUCGGCAAACCAAAUAUGCCCUAAGUAAAUCUAAGGGCCAACAAACUUACUAUUAAAAAUUAAGAAAAUAAAAAUAUUGUGGGAUAUUUGUGGAUAUAAUAAAUAUAGAUAUCGAUAGAAAAGAAAAAUGUAUGCCUAUGGAUGUGAACAGUGAUAUCAAUAAAACAGAAAAAUAUUGCUAGUAGUUACACUCUUAGUUAGUAAAUUCGCGAAUUUUUGCCGAAUUAUUCACGAAUUUUUGAAAAACCGAAUUAAACAGGCGUUUUCGUAUUUUUUCGAAAAAUUCGGAAAAAAAUGCGAUUUUUUGGAGAAAAUUACUUAUUCGCGAAUUAUUCGCGAUUCGUGAAUAAUUCCUUCAAAAAACGGCCCGUGGGCCAGCGCCCCGGCCCGCGCUCGCGGCAAGGCCCGCGCUCGCUCGCGGGGGCCUCGCAGGUCUUGNAAAAAAAAAUCCUUUUGCGAAAUGUCCGCCCUGCUCUUCCCUAAAAAAAAAAAAAUCAGUCGACCAAAAAAGUUUAAUCUUUUAUGGACUAUCUUAAUCUCUUAUUUGCUUAAUUAUUUAUUUAUUUUGAGGUAUAAUAUAGUUUGCUAUUUUUUUUACUUAAUUAGCUUAAUUUUUUAGCUCUUUGUUCUUAUAUUUAUAAGAAAUAUAAGUAUUUAUGCUAAUAACAUAAAUCUUGAGAGAAAAAAAAAAACUUAAUUUAAUAGCCGAAUUUUUUAUCCCGAAUUUUUAAUUGAUGAACGUAUAAUAUCCGUAUAAAUCACGUAUCCGAAUAAUUGACGAAUCUAUUUUUUAGCCGUAUUUUUCAACAAAUUUAAAAAUUAGAAAACGAAUUUCAUCCGAAUUAUGCCCGUACUGAAUUUUUGUCGAAUCCGAAUUAACUAACUAUGGUUACACUACGCAUACUAACAUGCAAUGCCCAACAUAUAUAACUUAUCGCAGCGGUUCGCACUUGAGUAGGAUUAUGAUUAUCGAUCCACCACCAUUAAUUAAAAGACAACUCAUAAUUUUUAAUAAUUAUCCUAAUCCUGUUAGAAAUAUGUUAGGUUUUUUGUGUUGAUCUAGAACUUUUUUCUUUUUUUUGCUUUUAUUAUAUAUUUCUAUCUCUCUAUUCCCUCUCUUUCCCUACGUCUCUCCCUCAUUCACGCAUGCAUUCAGUGAUCGAUUUCUUUUCCUCCUCCAUAUAUAUAUUCUAGGGUUUGGCUAAGGGUUUAUGGUCAUGGCCAGGUCCACCUUCUUGAUCCCGGCCAACCAAAGGCCUGUCGAGAGCCACCAGCUCGACACCGCGCAGUCGACGCAUCACGAGCACGGCCCGACCACCCCAACGCCGGCAAAGAAAACGACCCCAACUCCGGCGAAGAAAACGACCCCAAUGCCGGCAAAGAAAACGACCCCAAUGCCGGCCAAGAAAACGUCAAACGGCCCCACACGGAAGCAACUGAUGAGGAGCAAAUACAUGCCGAGCAGUACGAUAUCGACGGGGCCGUCGCCGUGGACCGCCCACAGGGUUGCGGUCGUGAUGCUCUGGAGGCACAGGCACCUCAAGAAGUUGAAGGAGAAGAAGAAGGCGAAGGCGAAGGUGGGCGGCGCCAAGAAGGAGAAGGACUUGCAGAAUGUGGUGCUGCCGUAUGAAGGCGACGGCAGCAAGAGAGGGGGGCCCUUCGAGCACCAGGCUAGGGCUUCUGCUGAGGCUUCCGAGAAUAAUACCACAUCUGGUUCCUCAUCUGGCGAUCGUCACCAGUAAUUUUUAGGGUUUUGCUCUUUUCAAGGUUCAUAACGGACUUCGUAUUGUGGAUGGAAUACUUACUUUUCAAUCCGAUAACAGUAUAUAUAGAUUUAAUGAUAUGCUCUCUCUUUUUCUUUCUUUCUUUCUUUCUUUCUUUCUAGGAGACAGUCGCGGGAUAUGUAGUAAUAUUCUUUGCACACCAUCGAUGUGAAGUACAGGAUCGAUAUAUAUAUAUAUAUAUAUAUAUAUAUAUAUAUAUACGCAAUGAGUUGCAAUUUAAUAGUUCUUCGGAUGCUUUGGUUCUUGAUUUUUCAUCUUUGGUUUUCUCAUUUGUGAAACGUAUGUGGCUAUGUUAAGUGGAUUCGGUAGCAAAAAUGCACAUUUAUUGAAAAAAUUCAAGAUUGUUUAUAAUAAACAUAUAAGAUUAAGAUCAACGAAUAGAGAAUGACAUCACAGAUGAAGAGAAACUAAAAACAAUAAUUGGUUUGGAAUAUCCCUAAUCUGUUUUAUCUCUUUUUUCUGAUUAAAACAAACCGUUUGAGUAAAUUUUAUCGAUUACAGAACCAAAUAACAUACAUGCUAGCUUAUCAAUCCGCAGCGAAAGGCGUACAUAAAUACUUAAAAAUUCAAAAAUUUUGUCAUACAUAUACAUCACUGCUACUAUUUCCAAACAAGAAAUAAAACCUAGCUGUAAUUCUUGCUGAAUUUCAUGAACAAAACGACUGAUGUAAGAAAAGAUGAGGCAAAAAAAAACUAUUAUUUUUUAUACAGAGAAAGAACCCACUAAUUUAACAAAACUCAUUAUUUAUCUGCCCUGCUGUCGACCAUCAUCGUCGCAACAAGUCAUGAAACACAACUAGCCGCAUAAGGACUAGCUCUUCCUUUCUUUUCUUUUACUGAUAAGAAAAAAUGUGCAUAUUUAAAACCAAUGAGAAAUCUGGAUAGUUAUCUGUGGCGUUUCUGUACAAAUUAAAGGUUUCAGGAGACCAACUUGAAGAAAACCAUAUAUCUGCUCUCCUUUUUGGUCUCUUCUCCUCGGAGAAAGUUCUCCCGAUUCUCAUGACGCAUAAGUUAGACGAAACUUAUAUAAGUGACUCUGACCACGGGGAAACCAUUCCAGCUCGUACUUUUUGAAGUGUGUGCCAUGCUCCUCUGACAGCGGUGGCGCACAUUGACCGAUAACUCUUGGUCUCGGUUGAGUAACAUCCGCGUGAUCUGUAAUAUUAAUGUUGCUAUCUUCUCAGGGGUGCCUUCUGACAUACGAUUCCAUGAGACUCUAUCAUACAAUUGCCGACUUUGGGAUCCACGUGCUGCACAGAAACCUACUACUGUUUGUUCAGAUAUAUUAUACCGAUUGCUGCUGCGACCUACAAGAGAAUUCUCAAUAGCAAUUGCUUUAAAAAAAGAUGGAAUAGAAGCAAUUGAGAAAUAAUAUUUCCAAAACGCCGGACAUUAUAAUUUAUAUUAUAUAGAGAGAGAGAGAGAGAGAGUGGAGAGAGAGAGAGAGAGAGAGAAAGUCCAGCCUACUACUCUAGAUCAUGUUUAACAGUGUAGAUCGUCGAAUCGAAAACCCCAACAUCAAAAACAACUUUAGAGUAAAAGGGCUUUAUACUCCAUAAGAGUAUACGUAGCCCUACUCUCUCUUCUCUCUCUCUCUCUCUCUCUCUCUCUCUCUCUCUCUACUAUAUAUAUAUAUAUAUAUUAUGAGCAGGGGGCUGCUUUAUAUAUAUAUAAUUAGAGAGAGAGCUGGCUCGGCUGUCAGGAGCACGGAGGCCUCCGGUGCUCCUGAGCCCGUUUUCGGAUGAUGGAAUUUUUCGAAUCGAUCGAUCGACGCUACCGUUAGACUUGAUCUAGCGCAUUUGAAGUUUCUAAAAAAUAAUUUUUGCGCUGAAAAUAAAAAUCCUAUAAAAGUGGAGAUAUAGCACUAAAAUUUUCAAUCAGAAAUAUUGAUCUUGUCGUAGAUAGUAUAAAGAAUUUUCUAUUAAAAUUUCAUCUGAUUUGAAUACUUCUACACCAUUAAACUUGAAAACGGCAAAUAUCAACCAUUAAAAAUUAUGGAUUUUGAAUCCUUUCGAUCGCUAGGUAAAUGAUAUCAAAUCAUCGCAAAAAUUAUUUUCUAGAAGCUUCAAAUGCGCUAGAUCAAGUCUAACGGAGCCGAUCGUCGAUUCGAAAAUUCCAUCAUCGAAAACGGCUCAGGAGCACGGAGGCCUCCGUGCUCCUGAGAGCACAGCAGCCCUGCUCUAUAUAUAUAUAUAUGGAGUCCGGCUUCUAUACUCUUAUGAGUACGAUCGCCCUUGUACUCAUAAGUUGUUUUCGAUGAUAGAGCUUUUGAAUCGACGAUCCAUACCGUUAAACAUUAUCUAGAGCACUUAAAACUUCUAGAAAUCAAAUUUCAUAAUCUUUCGACAUCAUUUACCUUACGAUCAAAAGCUCACAAAAUUGACAAUUUUUAACGGCCAGUAUGAGAAACUUGCUAGUUUAACGGUGUAAAAGAAUUGGAAUAGGUUGCAUUUUUGAUAGAAAAUUCUAUUCACUACCUAGAUAAAGAUCAGUAACUCCGAUCUUAAAUUGAAGGAUCCGAUCAUCCAUUUUUACGAUGUCGUUCGAUUUUGACCGUUCAUUUUAUGCCCAUUUAAUGGACUUUAUUAUGAUUUCGAAAAAUUACGAAAUUUAUUUUUUUGAAGUUUCAAAUACUCUAGAUCAUAUUUAACAGAGUGGAUUGUCGAAUCGGAAGCCCCAUCAUCGAAAACAACUUAUGAGUACGAAAGGCCCAAUACUCAUAAGAGUAUAGUAGCCCUACUCUAUAUAUAUAUAUAUAUAUAUAUAUAUAUAGAGAGAGAGAGAGAGAGAGAGAGAGAGAGAGCUAGGCUGGUAUAUUAUCGGUAGCACGGAAGCCUCCGUGCUACCAAGUUGUUUUCAAUGAUGUGGCUUCCAAAUCAACGAUCGGCUCCGUUAGACUUGAUCUACACUAUUGAAGCUGUUUGGAAACUAAAUUUCAUAAUUUUUCGGCAUCAUUUACCUAUCAAACGAGUAAUCUAAAAAUGAACGGCUGAAAAUAAAAAUCUCAUAAAAAAUGAUGAAAAAACUUGAAUUAAGAUCAGAGUACUGAUCUUACUCUAAAUAGUGAAAAGAAUUUUCUAAAAAAAAUUUAUCAGAUUUGAAUUGUUUUACACCGUUAAAUUCACAAACGUGUUACAUCUACCAUUAAAAUUGUCAAUUUUGAGGCCUUUGAUCACUAGCCAAAUGAUGUCGAAAAAUUAUGAAAUUUAGUUUCCAAAUACUUUCAAUAGUGUAGAUCAAGUCUAACGGAGCCGAUCGCUCGAUUUGAAAGCCGCAUCAUUGAAAACAACUUGGUAGCACGGAGGCCUCCGUGCUACCGGAGCCUCCGUCGUAUCGGAUAGUAUACCAGCCUAGCUAUAUAUAUAUAUAUAUAUUAAUAUAUAUAUAAUAUAUAGGUCCGGCUACUAUACUAUUAUGAGUACGAUCGCCCUCGUACUCAUAAGUUGUUUUCGAUGAUAGAACUUCCGAAUCGACGAUCCACACCGUUAAACGUUAUUUACAGCAUUUAAAACUUUUAUAGAAAUCAAAUUUUAUAAUUUUUCGACAUCAUUUACCUUACGAUCAAGAGGUCACAAAUUUGACAAUUUUUAACGGCCGGUAUGGAAUACUUGCUAGUUUAACGGUGUAAAAGAAUCGGAAUUUGUUGAAUUUUUGAUAGAAAAUUCUAUUCACUACAUAGAUAAAGAUCAAUAACUCUGAUCUUGAAUUGAAGGAUCCGAUCAUCCUUUUUUAGAACGUCGUUCGAUUUUGACCGUUCAUUUUAUGCCCACUUGAUGGACUUUAUUAUGAUUUCGAAAAUUUACGAAAUUUAUUUUCUAGAAGUUUUAAAUACUCUACAUCAUAUUUUGGAUCGUCGAUUCGGAAGCUCCAUCAUUGAAAACAACUUAUGAGUACGAGGGCUCCAAUACUCAUAAUAGUAUAGUAGCCAUGGCCUAUAUAUAUAUAUAUCCCAACAAAAUAUUGAAUUUGUGUGUUCAUCAUCUAAAGUUGAUAUUAUCCUAUUACAUCUCCAAGUCCAUAAGGAAUAAAUUCCUCCGGUUUGACAGCCAUCAUGUUUUUCUAUAAAUCUUUAUUAUGUAUUUUUAGGGGGAUGAGCAAGAAAGCAGCUAACAGUUAUGAUAGCACAAACGACCUAGCAGAAACGGACAACAAAAAAAAAAAUUAAAAAAAAUAAAUAUCAUUGUUAAAUUCUUGAGAGGAACAACUUGGCAAAGUACGUAUAACAAGCAUUUAGAUGUAUCAUGUAAAACAAAAAUCUUUCUUGAGAAUUGAAACUAGUCAAAUGGGAAGUAUACAUGCAAGUGGCAAAGGGCUUAGUGGUUGGUACCCGAGGUCCCAAGUUCGAAUCCUAGUUGAUUCACAUUUCCAGCUAAGUUUAUUUCUAAAUGAAAUAAACGAAGCGGGUAGCGUGCUACCUAUCUCUCAAAAAAAAAUAUUCUAAAUAUGCAAAUAUACUCCUUUCCACUAAUCUAUAAUAUCUAAUUCCCAAUAAAUUUACACAUUCCAUAUUGUUCACAUGUUUGAUAUAUGCCAACAUCAAAGAUACAAGGCACUACAAAGGCAUGAUUGUAUUGAACUUGUGCGGCAAGACAGAUAUGCAGCACACUGAUUUAGUAAAAUUUCUCAAAAGUUAAGUGGCAUAAAACAAUUACCCCAAACAGGUAAGAGGUUGGUCAUUUUGUGUUAUUUGGAAUCACACAUAUCAUAAAUUUAUUGGGUUUGGGGGUGAAGUGCGCAAUUUCUCCCAUCCUUCUUAAGUCAUGACAUACAAGCAUUCCUUCUAUACAAAGGUCUCUAUAUUUUAUUAAUCUAUUUAAGAUGCCACAAGUGUUUUACAUACAAUCUUAAGCGCCUUUUUGGCUUCCCCAGGUAUGAACUGUUUUCUUUCAAUCUUUAACUACCAACAUAAUUCCCUUCAGGUUGUUGUUAGUAAAAAGAAUAUAUAUUAGCAUGAAAAGCCAUGUCACAAUGAAAUCACUUCGUUUUAUUUCAUUUUAGUGAUUAAAAUCUUCUGUUAUAUAGGGAAAACCAAAUAACAAUGGAAAUAAUAGAACAUAAAGUAAUUACCUUUAACCAGUUAGGAAACCCAGUUGAACCUCUUUCGCGAGACUUCAAUACACGUUCAUCCUCAAUCGCAGUGGACAGGUCUUCACACAUAAUUUCAAAACCAGCAGUGCUUGUCAUGGAUUUAUUAGUUAUUCUAAUAAUGGAGAUAUCUUGGUUUUGUAGGAUGAUGUUGCUAAUACUAACAGCUGAUUCUGGAAUCACUUGCAGUUCUUCAAAUGACGACCUGACUUUCUUAUUUGAAGAAAUUAUUUUUCCAAACUCUUGCCUCCUCGUAAUUUCAUUGGUAUGUGCAAUAUCAACACUAAAAACAGACUUUACAGGUUUAUGAUCACUGUCAUUCACAUCGAUGCAAGCUUUGUACCUGAAAAAUUAAGGCACCGAGUCAAGUUAAUUAGGAUAAUGAUGCACUUUUAUCUUUUCUUGUACAUUUAGUACCAAAAACAACUUACAUGGAUAUUGAAGAAACUACAGGGCAUUCUAAAGAGCAUUGAGCUCCUGACACAGAUUGAUUGUCACGAUACAAUAUUCUGUCGCACCAGGCUGGAAUGCGCUUCUUAUCACUAGAAUCAUACCCUAUAAGAAAUUUCUAUAUUUUAGCGUCAUGGUAAUUAUUAAAAACCCAGAAAAAGAUGAAUAUGCAGAAAAUAGUUCUAGUCAGGUUUUUUUUAAUAUUGAUAGAUUCAGUACUAAAUUGUCUAUGAACAUUCAGUUGCCUUUUAUUAGAACAUAACAACAUACCUGAAAGACCUGCUUGAUUCCUUUCAAAUUUGUAUGUAGGAGGAAAAUCGAUUUGUGCUUCACGCAGUCCUUGAAAGACUCUGCCCGCUUUCAUUUCGGCCCGGAGCUGGUCUUUUUCUCUAAGACGGUCAAAUCGUCUUCGAGAAAUCAACUCCAUUGCUUCUUCAUAGGAAACAUCAUGAAGACGGUAGUUGAAAUCACCCAGAAACACGACCAUGUCUGCUUCCGAUAAUUCAGGCUUUCUGUUAUUAGUAGCCUGCCAUUGCAGCAAAAAAGUUUCUUAUAAUUGCAUAAAUUGCCAUAGCAAAUUUUAGUUUCAUGAGAGAGACAACAUGAGAUGUAUUUUUGCAUACAUUCGCUGCACGGUUCAGCUGAACAGAAGUGCAGCCUGCAACAAACAGAAAAAUUAGAAAGUCAUUACAAAGAACCUAUAUGUUGCAACCAAGUGGCGCGUGUGCAAUUUUUAAAACUAGUAUUUUGCUAAAAACCAUGGAGAAAAUGCAACACUAACAUAAGACAAAAAACUAUUUAUUUGGACUUGUAUUUGUAUCAAAACCUGCUGCAGCAAGAAGCCCACUGGACAGGGAAUUGAAAGUCAUUGUACGGAAAACAUGUUCAAAGUCCUCAUUCCGCCGGUCCACUGCUUCCAUAUGAGCAGCAAAGUGGCAAUUCACGAAGCAUAUAUUUCUGUCAUAUAUUCUCAUCCGCAAACCUACAGCACCCUAAAAUAAGCAUUUCACCACAUAUUAGGAAAAUCAACAUGUCAUAAACAAAACGACAUACUACGAACAUUUACUCAUCACAAAAGAAGAAAUAAAUCUCAAAAAAUCUUUUGUGCAUUAUUGAUGAAGAUCUGUGGCAGAUUUCUGAAGCCAUGCAAAGAAAGUGUUGGAUUUUAUUUGACACACUGCAAUAUUCACUAUGGUUGGAUACUCAUUAUAGAGCCACAAGAAUAUCCUGACUCUGUCGCUAAGAUGAGACACCAAAUAACCAAAAGGCACAAAAGUUUUAGAAACCAGUUUAUUCUGAUAAUUUUUCAGAGUUAAUUAAACGUGAUAAAAUAGGAUAGUUUACACAGAUGUAAGCAAUCAAUAAAAUGAGAAUUGUUAUACUUGUACAGAAAGAGAUUUUUUUUUUUUUUUUUUUCAUAGCAAGACUGACUCAACACCGAUAUGGUAGAAAAAAAUGGAAAAAAAAAAUGUAUCGAGACCCCUUCAACUAAAGGACAUUUUGAAAUGGGACCCCAACUUUCAUUUUUUUUUCAUUGACAACCUUUUUAACUUUUAAUUUUUUUCGAAUUUGAGUCUUCUAGUUAGUCAAGUUGAAAGUUAUGUUAAAUUGGGCUUUUUCACAUUUAGCCCCCCUCAAAACUUUUUUUUUUUUACAAAUAGCUCUAGCAAAUUUAUAUUUGCAUAUAUGGCCCUCUCCUUACCACGCGAGCGCGCCACGUUGGUAUUUUUAAGUUGAACACGAUGAUUAAAUCACCAUGUUCAUAUCCACGCUCUAGUCUCUCUUUUUUAACAUAGGGACGGUAAAAAAUACAAAAAGAAACACGACGAUCCAAUCACCGUGUUUAAACAUCGUGAUUGAAUCACCGUGUUCAACAGCGUGGCAAGGAGAGGGCUAUUUAUGAAAAUAUAAAUUUAUUAAGGCCAGUUGUUAAAAAAAAAGUUUUCAGGGGGCUAUAUGCAAACAAAAGCCCUAAAUUGAUCUAUUAGCUAUUAGCCAUUAAUUAUUUCAAUUUCACUCCCAAAAAGUGAUUAAAUCGUUAAAGCCAUUAAAUUCGACGAAAUUCCCAAUGAAUUAACAAAAUCACCAAAAUAUUGACAAAAAUUAUUUAAUUCUACAAAAUUAAAAAUUACGGGGUUCUCAAUCAAAAAAUUUGAAGUUGAUGUCAUUCAAAAUGGUCUAUAGUUAAGGGGUCUCCAUACAAUUUUACCAAAGAAGCCUGCACUGCUCUCUGACCAACCAAAAAUUCUGCUAAAACUUCUGUGCAGAUAAAAGCUAUAUAACCAUAAACUUUUAAUUAAAAGGGAGUAACCAGUGGCAAGUUGUGCUCACAAUUACUUUUCAUGAUCAGUUGCCACAUGAGUGAAAAGGUACAGAACUCUGUGAGCAGUGGAUAGCAAAUGAUCACAUGCCUCCAUUACAAAACAGAAAAAAAAAAAAAAAAAUCCCACCAAGUAACUCCAAGAAAAAAGUAAGAGAAAAGAACCUUGUUCCCAAUUGCGCGCCCAAACCCACAUGGUACUGCAGCAGAAUCAAUGUCACCAAUGUACUGCUUAAGGUUCCUCCUAGCCCUAGAGAAAUGUGAAAACCAGGUGAAUGAGUAUAACCAUAUUAAAAACGAAAAAGUUAAAAAAAAGUUUUUAAAAAGUAUUUAAAAAGCUUUUAAGGAUCUACAUGCAAAAAAAAAUUCGUAGUAAAAUUACCAUACAGCAAUAAGUAAUCCUGCCAACUGCCUUGAACCAACACGCUCGAAGGAGGCUCCAUUUAAGACAUUCCCAAUAGAAUCCAACCACCACUGCCCGUUUGGGCUUCCUUCUAAUCCUACCUAGAAGUCAGUUAAAAGCCAUCAAGAUAACAACAGCAAAAAGGGAGAAAUAUACCCACCAAUCUUGCAAGACCUGACAAAUCAAAGCAUCAUACACUUGGUAAAGCAAUUCAAACUCUCUAAUAUAGCUGCAUAAUAAAAUUUGGCCAACCACAACUUGGCUGCAAAUAUUUCACUAACGGCAACAUUUAACUACUACAAAUAUUAAAAUCCACACUAGUAAUGCUAAAAUUAUUAAGGCCUAUUUGGAUAUUAUCACUAAAUAACUUGUCUACUACUAUGAGAGAAUUUCUUCUGUGAUUGCAAGCUAGGAGUUUGAUUUUAGAUCCUCGGAAGGCCUUGGAAACCAUGGUUUACCAAAAUAGUAUACCUUACCUAUAAGGUGAUUUAUCUUAUUCUGAUGAUAUAAUUCAAAGACCAAAUAUAGUAUAUGUAACACCCCAUACUUUUAUUUCUUUUGUUUGGACCCCAGUUCUUUUGAAAUUUGGACCUUUUCGUAAAUAUUAAAAGUUGAGAGACUUGGCAGCAUUUUGUGUUAAUUAAAUCCCUAAUUUCAAUUUCCUCUCCUGUUCGUAUCUCAGCCAUCCCAUCUCUCAUUCUCUCUCCCUCCCACGAUCCUCUCUUAUCUCGUACCGUACAGGCAUCCCGCACACGCAACGCGGCGCCCAUUGGAUCACCUCCGUCCUCCAUCACCGUCAUUCGCCGCCACCGCCAUCAACCGCCGCACUUCUCAAGCAUGGUCGACAUCUUUGGUUCACUGUCGACGGUAUCUCGUCGUCGUUGUUUCCGCAUUUGAAGAGGUUUCUUUCCUCUCUUCUCUUUUGUCUCUUUUACCAAAUCUUGAGAACAUCCAACCUCCUUGUUCAUGGUUAUGUUACGAUCCUGACCCUUUCGCAACCCGAUGCUAAUCGUAGGAAGGCGAAAUGGAAUGAUGUAUCGCUUACCUGAUCCGAUUCUUUGAUCCGAUGACGUUGCGCGCAGAGGAUCGAAGAAGAGGAGAUGAUGGGAUUCAGAAUUUGACUGAAUCCAGAUCCUUCGGUAUCAGUGGGAAGAGAUCGGGGAGUAAGUAUAGAUCUGAGAUGAGAAGAGAGAUGGGGAAGAAGAAGAAGAAGAGGGGAGAAGAGUGGAGAAGAAGAGAAUUGGGGAGAAUUGGGGAAUUUUAUUCAAACUUCUCAUAGUUCGUUACAGGCGUAGAGUUGCUACUUAUACUCCUCAGCGCGAGGAUCAAAAUGUAAGAAUUACAAUGGCGAGGGUUAAACUGUAAUUGUAAUUACACUCAGUGGGCUAUAGUGGGCCUAAUCCUGACUUGGGCUGGGCUCCUUCACUGGCUUCAGCUUCCACCGCCUCUCUCUAAACCUUCCGGAUUCGGGUCGGUGUCACACAGUAAAAGGUAAGCAGACCCGUUACCGCUAUGGCUCCAUACUGCUUCAGAGACGGCCCGUCACCCGUUAGCUGAUCCAGAGGUCGGAGUCGGGCGCGGUGAUGCUACAGUGAGGGAACACGAACCCGUUGCCCGAUAACCCUUCUUCUAUAGAUUCCACCGCCGCGCCGCUCUUCUUCUUCACCUUCGAUCCUCUCGUGUCUCACCCUCUACUCCGCCUACUUACCCUACUCGUCUAUCUGAUGCAACGGUCGUGACAGGUUAUGUGAUUGUUUUUUGAAUAUUUAUCUCCUGAUGGUUCGAAUUAAAAUCAUUAAAAUAUGAUUUAUAUCAAUCUACAAUUGUUGUUGAUUCUACUGUUAUCUUUAUCUUGUAUCUUCAUGAAUUUUGGUUGUGUGAUUUCCCUACAUUCUACACGUUAGUCAAAAUGCCCUCUAGGUGUUCGACAAAAUGCCUAAGAGAAAGAAUAUGUCAUUUUUGUUUCUAAUUUUGAUCCCAUCUGGUUACAGGUUGCAACCUUAUGUUUCAACAUCUGAAAAAUUGUUGUUUCGAGCACUAGAACCUUCGUUUAAUAAUUAAAGUUCCAUUCAUGUUUUCUUGUUCCAUUGAAUUGUCUAGUUCCUUGGAACCCUUUCUUUUUCUUGAUUAAUAAUUAAAUUUUCGUUGAUUUAUUAUUCUAAAUCUCCUUCGUGCUCCGUCUCAAGCUAUUUGCAGGUAUUUGUAACCGACCUUGUCAGCUUAUGUGAGCCUAUAUGAAUUUAAUUGUUUGUAUAAGCUUUUCUUUCUAAGUGCUUAUAUCAUCUUUAUAAUCUUAUUUUUAGUAGCUUAUAGAGAAUCGUAAUUUUUAAUUUAGGUUAAGGUGAUUGACUUCCUGUGCAUUUUCGACCGGAUAGCUUCUUAGCUUCGAAGCUGCUUUUAAGAUAAACGACCAGACACUCGUUAGUUUUUCGCAAAAUAAUUGAGAAAAAUAUUCUGAUUGUCGAAAAUCUUUAUUUUGAUGAUUUUAAAUUAAGGGUUAAGCGUAUUAUUAAAUAUUUCUAAAAAGUUUCAACUGUGAUUGACAUAUUCUAUUAGCAAAACAACUUUAAAAUUUGAUAAUCUGUUCUGCAAAUUAGUGGCUGGAUAAGUAUUUUAAAUUAUAAUGUUUCUUGCACUUUUUUGGUAUUCUGCUAUGCUAAUAUUGGCCAUGUCGACAUGUACUCUGUUCUAAAAGCUAGUUUCGUCUCUGUAUUGCGCCUUCAGGUACUUGCGCCUAUCUACGCCUCUAUUCUGUAUUUGCAAUUUCUAGUGCCUCUGCUCUGUAUAUGUACCUUCGGGCAAGGAUUUAAGUGCCGUGGUACGGGAUCAUGCCGAAAACUUACCGGUACGGUACGAUAUGGUGCGUACCCGGCUGUGCCGAUGAGUGCCGAUCACAAAAAUAUGUCCCGACACGUAAUGGCAUUAAAUAUUUAUUUUCUUUAGCAACAAAAUAUGCCAAUUAUUUACUACGUAUUUUUAUCAAAUCUUUUGAACUUUAUUAAGAAAAUUACUUAGUAAUUUCAAGAAUAAAGAGUUUUGAGUUAUGUCAUUGGUAGGGAGGUUGUAUCGUGCCAAUAUCUUGCUAGCACGAUACGACACGGUGGAUACGGCCCCUACCGAUAGGCACUUUAAUCCUUGCCUUCGAGUGCCUCUAUUCUGUAUUUGCGCCUAUAGGUACCUCUGGAUCUCGUUAACGGAUCACAACUAUAUAGUUAGUUACCGAGGCCUUAAUUUUUAUUUCGUUUAAUUACUGCAAGAGAAAAAAUACUUUGUUUAUUGGGUUAAUUUCAUACAGCUCCCUGUAAAUAUAUCGAAUGGCAAAUAUGGUAUUCCUACAAAGUUUAACUUUUCAUAUUUAUCCUUGCAAAAGUCCAGUUAUAUUCAUAUGUGCCCCUCUGGUUUGUUACAAUUAGAGCACUGUUUAUUUUUUAACUGAAGAUAAGUGAAAUGACAUUUUUACCAUCAGAAAUAUGUCCCUCCACAAGUAGGGGUGGAAACGUGCCGAGCUCGAGCGAGCUUGCCUCGGCUCAAAUUCGGCUUGAAAUUAAUUUCGAGCCUAAAUUUAAGCUCAAGCUUGGAUUGAAAUUAAUUCGAGCUGAGCUCGAGCGAGCCUAAUUUCGAGUCGAGCGAGCUCGAGCCCUAAACGAGCCGCUUGAAAUUCUCAACAUCAUACGAUCAAUAGUUUAAUUUGUAUAGAACAUUAUCUAUAAUUUGAUACAAAAAUAUGUUUAAUAGCUCAAAGUAUAAAAUAAUUAUAUAAAAUAUAGUAUUAUAAUAUGAAAAAAAAAAAUUAUGAGUUGAAUAUCUAAUCUUUUCAGCCUCACAUGUCUUUUCUUCCGCCUUCAAUCUCCAUAUUAUUCAUUUUCAUUUAUGCAGUCAAAAAUAAAUAAAUUAUAUAGAUAAAUAUUGGAUUAAACUAUCCAAUCAUAUAUAACUAAAAUUAAAAUUUUAUAUGAACAAUAAUUUUUUACUUUAAAAAUAUUCUGUAUAUUUUCUCAAGCAUACAAUUAAUAGCAAGAUAGGCAACGGCAGACAUAUGCUGCUACUUGGUAACUUGGAGGGCUUCCGGCUUGGCCACAUAGGGUGAGAGACAGAAAAAGAGAGAGAGAAACAUAUUGAAAAUUUAGAGCUCUGUGAAAGAAAGAAAGGAAAAAUAUAUAAAUUUAGUAAAAUUUUGCUCUUUUAUUUGUCUAUUGGGUUUGUUUUUAUGGGCCAACAAUAUUGGCCCAAUUUUAACUAAACUCAGAUUAUUCACUCAGCCUUUAUAUAAUUAAAAUAUAUUAUAUUUAUAUAUUUUUUAAUAAAUAUAUAUAUAUAUAUAUAUAUAUAUAGAGAGAGAGAGAGAGAGAGAGAAAGAAAGGGGCAGUAGGUGUAAGAUCAUUUGGGGAGCUAAUUAAGUGUUUGAGAUUUGUGCAUGCAGGUGCAAGGAUGAAGCGAAUCCACCAAAGAAGGGGUACAAGUUCAGCAACCAGAGGCUCCAGGAACUGGGGAUUGAGUUCACUNAUGGUAUAUAUAUAUAUAUAUAUAUAUAUAUAUAUAUAGCUUGUAGGUUUUUAGCCGUUAGAUCUGCAUUGUUGACCAUUUACACCCUUUAGAUUAUACUAUUGGACCAACCACCCACUCAACCCUAGGGGGCCCACAUUAUCCUAACCAUACAUUUCUUAAUCCAAAGGCUGAAAAUCUACAAGCACCAAUAACUUGGUACUUUUAAAAGCAUAGGAUAGAAGUCAUGAUAUAGGGCUAGGAUGAUAUAUAGUAGGUCACUUUGGAUGAAAAGUGGAUUGUUCCCGAGAAUAAGAAAAAUAGUGUUUGGAUAGGUGCGAAAUAAGAAAAUAACGGGGAGUUAUAAAUAAAAAAAUUAUGAUAUUACUCCUCUCAUUAAACUUGAUUUUAAAAUUUUAAAUUUUAUAUUUGACUUUUUAAAUUUAAAAUUUUAAUUUUUAAAUUAAAAUUUGAAUUUANAUAUAUAUAUAUAUAUAUAUAUAUAUAUAUAGAGUUGAGCUGGAAUACUAUCGGUAGCAAACGAGCUCCGUUACCACCUAUUUGUUUUCGAUGAUGGAGCCUUCAAAUCGACGAUCGGCACCGUUGAAAAUGAUCUAUACUACUUGAAGUAUCUAGAAAUCAAAUUUCAUACUUUUCCGAUAUUGUUUUCUUGUCCAUCAAGUGGGCGUAAAAAUGAAUGGCUGAAAAUGAAUAUCCCCCAAAAAGUGAUAAUAGAAAUUUUGUAAUCAUGAUCGAGAGUAUAGAUCAUGUUCUAAAUAGUUUAAAGAAUUUUCUAACCAAAAUUCAAUUGAUUUGGAUAGCUUUACACCGUUAAACGAGAAAAGCCCUCAUAUCAACCAUUAAAAUUACUAAUUUUGAAACCUUUUGAUCAUUAGGUAAAUGAUGUCGAAAAGAUUUGAAAUUUGAUUUCUAGAUACUUCAAGUGAUAUAGAUCAUGUUCAACGGUGCCGAUCGUCGAUUUGAAAGCUCCAUCAUCGAAAACAAAUGGGUGGCAACGGAGCCCGUUUGCUACCGAUAGCAUUCCAGCUCAACUCUAUAUAUAUAUAUAUAUAUAUAUAUAUAUAUAUAUAUAUAUAUAUAUAUAUAUAUAUGUAUAGAGUCCGGCUAUGGUACUUUUAAAAGCACAAAGCACUUGGUGCUUGUAGGUUUUUAGCCGUUAGAUCUGCAUUGUUGACCAUUUACACCCGUUAGAUUAUACUAUUCAACCAACCACCCACUCAACCCUAGGGGGCCCACAUCAUCCUAACCAUACAUUUCUUAAUCCAAAGGCUGAAAAUCUACAAGCACCAAUGUCUUGAUACUUUUAAAAGCAUAGGAGCUCAAUUCUAUAUAUAUAUAUAUAUAUAUAUAUAUAUAUAUAUAUAGUGUAGAACUACUAUGCUAUCGAAAAUAUAGAGGAUUUGAUGUUUUCGAAUUUUUGACCCUUUGAUUAAGAAUUGUAUGGUUGGGAUGAUUGCGGUCCCCCCUAGGAUUAAAUAAUAUCCCUAAGAUUGAGUGGUCCCUACAAGAUAAUAAUAGUAUUAAUUCAAAGAAAUGAUUAGUUGAUCUAAAAAUCAAAAAAUCGAAAGCACCAGAUCCUCUAUACUUUCGAUAGCAUAGUAUAUAUAUAUAUAUAUAUAUAUAUAUAUAUAUAUAUAUAUAUUCGAGCUUUUCGAGCCUAAUUCGAACGAGCCGAGUAAUACUCAAGCUCGGCUUGAAAUGAAUUUCGAGCCUUUUUUUUUGUUCAAGCUCGGCUCAUUUAAUUUCGAGUCGAGCUCGAGCGAGCCAAAUAUCGAGUCGAACGCGAGCCGGCUCGCUCAUUUGCCAGCCCUAUCCACAAGCGCCAGCUCUUAAAAUUAUGCAAAAUUUCUUCCCAAAAAUCUCCAACUAUCAUUUUCUUCUUUUCCACCAUCACAAAUAAUAUAAAAGAAGCAAAAAGGUCAAUGUACCUCAUGCACUAACCAGAGUUAAGUAUUUACCUAUGGUUAACUACAUUUUUCUAAUGGAUCAUAACAGCUGGGAUAUAUUUAAAAACAUUAGGAUUUUUGCAAGGAUAAAUAUAAAAAGUUGAACUUUAUAGGGAUAUAUAUGCUAUUCGAUAUAUUUACAGGGAGCUGUAUACAAUUAACCCUUGUUAAUUUAUAGUCCUUAUUGUUGGCUAUUUAUUAUUGGGCUAAAAUAGGUCCAACUUCCUGCCCCGUGACUAUAGGUCUAGGAGACUAAUAAGUUGAGUUGGGUGAACCUAAUAACUUGAGUGAGGCUGUGGUCCACCAGAGACCUAAUGGCAAGAGGCCCAACAAUAGACCCAAGUCCGGGUAGGUGAGUUAGGUCGAAGCCACCUGUAAUAUACUGAAUUCCCCAUAUGUUGUACCGAACUUUAGUCAAAUUGACCGAAGUGUGGUGAGGGACGAUUGCAGAGGUUUAUGUAAUGUUCCAAAAGGCUUCGGAGCUGCUGGAAGAGAGUUUGGGGAGUAUUCGAGUGUUUUCGGCUCAAAUUGGGCGCAAAUACAAGCUCCGUAAUGCCAAAUCCGUCAAAGCUGUAGGCUUUGCAUUGAAUACCGGUAUUGGAUUCUAGGUACUGUACACAAUACAAAGUGCAGAAGAACUAGCUCUCGGAUUUUGCGGAAUUGAACCGGGGGUACCGAUAUCGGAAGGUUGAGUAUCGGUACUGGAAAACUGUGUAUCGGAACCCAAAAGAAGACCCAAAAAUCCAACGUUCGGGUUUUGAGGAACCAGGUUCGGGCUACCGGUAUUGAAGGCUCGUAUACCGGUAUGCCAAUUUAAGUACCGGUACGUAGCUCUACAAGAUGCAGAAAUACAAGGGGUGUAAAUAUUGAAAUAAGAAGGGUUAAAUUGCAAUUGUUUGGGGCUUAUAAAUAUGCCCAAUACACACCUCUUAUUCUCCACAUGAGAACCCUCUUUCUUUCACUCUCACUCAACUCCUCUCCCUCUCUCUCUAGAAUCUCUCCAAGAGCUUGGGGAGUAAAGGAGGCAAAGGUGAGGUUUUGAGAUUUUGAGUUAGAGUUUGGUUUUAACUCUCUUUUAAUGGCAUUUUGGGAAUCCCUAUGAAGUCCUAGCCUAGACUAAACUUGAAAUCCCAAGAGAUUUUGGUGUUCAAACCCUAUGACUAAAAUUGGGGGUUUUGUGGAAAUGGGGUUUAUGGUGAAAUUGAUCCCUUAUUUCCCUAAGUGAAGGGUAAAUCGACACGUAAGGCAACUCAAAUUGGGAUUCCUCCGAGCCUACGGCAUCCGAUUGAGAGAAUUGUCGGUUUCGUCUUCGUUAGCCUUGGGUCGAGCCAAAUCGGCGACGAUAAAUUGUGAGGCUUGGUUUCUCGCUUCUAGACGACGACACGAGGUGGGUGGUGCUAUCCGAAACAGUUGGAUUUUUUCCUAUGUCUAUGUUGCCAUUGUUGGUAUGUGUGUAGAAAUCAUGCAUUAUAGGGUUAUCAUUAUAUUAGGCUUUCAAUUCCUUGCAUGCUCCUAAAGUAGAGUUAGAUAACUUGAAUCGGAAACUCGGACAUUGGACGCAUAAGGAUUGGGUCAUUGAAUAUUGGGAACCCUAUAAGUGCAAAGAACCAAAAUGUGAACCUAGAUAACAUAGUGAAACAUUGGUAGCAUUUUAUGACUAGAUGUGUUCAAUAGCACCUUGUGGCAUUAGAUGCUUGGGAUUGGUAGAUUUCCGAAUGUUAAUACCCUGGUUAGUAGGGUAUCCUCGAGAUUAGAGGAUUGAAUCAUACUCACAUAGUCUGUUUGGCUUGUUGGUGGUCGCGACACCACAAGCAGUGAGCUCCGGAGUUGUCACAUAUGGGUGUAGCGGAAUUCUCCCCAACAAACAAUCUCAGAAGGGUUGUAGCGGAAUUCUCCCCAACUAAGGGCCUUAGUUUUGUGAGUUGGGCUUGACCCUCGAGUUAGCUGGUAAGAUCGGGUUAAAAGAACAUGCAUCAUGAGCAUAGUUGUAUAUUUGUUUAUUCAGUUUCAUACCGUAGAGGCAUGGCAGUUGCAUCAGCUGUGUAUUAUUAUUUCCCUUUCUUACUACUCAUGCUUGAUUAGACCUAGUGGGAAAGUCGGCGGGGUCGGUGGCUGAACCUACUGGAAACUUCUUUUAGUUCUCACCCCUUUGUUUUCCAGAGUCUAGCGUGAGUGGUGCGGUCGAGGAUUGCGGCAAGGGCAUAACGCCCUAGGUAGUGGACUUCCUUGUGUUGGCAAUACUUUAUGUUGUGGAGAGAUGUCUUGUAUAUUGUGAGAGAACUUGUAGAAGCUUCACUGGAGAAAUGAAUAUGUAUAUGUCAUGUAAUAAAGUAUGUAUGUAAUAUAAGUAGAGAUGGUUGUAUUUUGGAUUGAUGUAUGUGAAGCUUAAGUGUUUAGUUGUAAUAGUUAAGUUAUUUUUCUCUCGCUCUUGCAAAUUUUGCUCGUGCAAAUCAUGUAUGUUGUUGUUUUUCGUGGGCGAAACUCUAUGUCAUGAUGUUGUUGAACCUUGGGCGAACAGGGGAGACUCUGUCAGUUCGGUGGUCUGUGUACGCGCCCGAACCAACCAAAUUGGCGGCCCCGGAGCGUGACAGACUAGAGUGGUAUCAGAGCGUAGAGAAGUCUAGGAAGGACCUAGGAAACCGUAGGACGGUAACCGUAAGGGCAUACGUACGCGAGUGACGUUGAUUAAUAAGUAGUGGCAGAAGUCAAGUAAAUUGAGUCUAGUUGUUAGCAUGUCUCUAAUGGUGGUUGGAGACUGAUUCAAGGUGUUAUUUAUUCUCAACUCAAGAAGGUUAUGUUGGCGGCCGACAAUAUGAUACCUAGGGAUGGGAAUAAGUACACUUGUAUGCUUUCGCCUAAUUUGGUUUUGUUUGGUUUAGCUCUUGAGUUGCGUGGAAUUCGUGGGUCAAGGUGAUUAAUCUAGUUGUUGCGUUUUAGAAGGUAAUGGUGCCGAAGAAACGCCCUGCGACGAGAUCUACUCCGACACCACCUUCUGAGGUGCAUGGGUUAUCUGGGUCUGGUGAGGUUCAGGAUUUGCGUGCUCAAAUAACUGCAUUAGUUUGGGUGGUGCAGCGACAGGAGAAGCAGAUUGGGAAGCUUCGGGAAUUGGUGUCGCAACCUGCAGCGACGACGACGGUGACGGUGACAGCACUCAAAAGCCAGGAACCGCCUGCGACUUCGACACACAUUACCAGUGCUACUCAGGGAGCGAAUGUGACAGCGGUGCCAGUGACGACUCGCCCUGUUCCGGCGAGCACUCCUCCGACGGCUUCUAGCUCCUCGGCCCCCGUCCCCGAAUUAGCGGCAGUGAAGGCAAAGAGAGAGCGAGCGCUUGCAGCCCUCAUAACCUUCAAGAGGUUCAACCCUCCUACUUUUGAUAGGGAGGUAGUGGAUCCUUGGGUUGUGGAGACUUGGAUCGCCUUGAUGGAGACCCUGUUCGAAGAUAUAUAUACUCUGGAGCGGGACAAAAUUAAUUUGGCCGUGCACUGCUUUGAGAAGUCAACCCAAAUCCGGUGGAGGGGAGUUAAGAAGAAUCGAUCCCCGGACCUUCCCCCAGUUACGUAGGAGUUUCAAGGGUUGUUGUUCAUUGAGUGCUUCCCCUACAGUGACAAGAGGAAGCUGAAAGAGGACUUCCAAAAAUUGAAGGGAGUCGCUCAGUAAGGGAGUAUGAACGAGAGUUCUCGCAUAUAGUGAACUGUGUCCCAGGCGUGGUUCAGGGAGACUAGGACAAGGCGGAGUGUUUCGAACGAGGACUUCGGCCGAGAUUUUCAGGGUUGUGUACUCCUUCAAGCUUCAAACCUUUGUUGAGGUUUUGAACCAGGCUCUUGGAUGGAGCAAGGAAAUGCGGUCGCACGAGAGGAGCGCGAGUCGUUUGAGAAAGAUAAAGGAAAGAAACGGACUAUGAGUGGUGUCGGGGAAUAGUCGAGUUCUAAGAAGCCCCCUAAGUAUCCGCGAGCAUAGUCGAGAAGCCGCGGAGCCCUUCGGUGUGUUAUUUGUGGCGGGGAUCAUCGACCGACAAGCUAUGGACGGCGAGACGGGAGGUGUUAUAGGUGUGGCCAGGCUAGACACAUCAGUCGUGAGUGCCCGAGUGGACUAUCACCUGUCCCGUCAUCUGCUUUGGUUCAGUCAACCCCUAAACAAUAUGCAGGAGUUUCGCCCACCACCAUAUCAGCUAGGCGCGCUAUGAUGCCGCAUCAAUCCGAGGAACCCAGAUUAGCGCCUAAUGGUCGUGUAUUUGCCGCUCAGGUGGAGAAACCUGUCGUGGUUGACGAUGUCGUGGCAGACAUUGUGUUAAUAAAUAGAAUCGGAUCUAGAACUUUAUUUGACACGGGCGCAUCUCAUUCAUUUAUUAGUCAACCAUUUGCAAGUGUACAUGGCAUAGAUGUUAAAUAGGGCAUGCAUGCUAAGUGGGUCCAUAUUUCUGAUCAUGCGUUUUGUGCUACGGAUGUAUGUGCAGCUUGUCCAGUGCAAGUAGGUGAUUGGAUUAUGUCGGCGAACUUGCUUAUGUUGAGGCAGUUGAAAGGGUUUGACCUAAUUUUAGGUAUGGAUUGGCUCUUAAAGUACUACGCGACUAUUGAUUGUGAGAGCAAGGUACUAACUUUUCGUGAGCCUAGGCAAGAGGAGUUCACCUAUCGUGGGUGUAAGAGCUCACUCUUCGCCAUGACGAUGACUACAUCCCGUGCGAAGAAGUUAAUUAAUAGUGGCUGCGUAGCUUAUUUGGCAACCGUGGUGAAGACUUGUAGGGAGAUUCCGGUGCUCGAAGACAUUCCAGUGGUCCAAGAGUUUUCGAAUGUAUUUCCCGGAGAGUUGCCAGGAAUGCCAUCAGACCAGGAAAUCGAGUUCAUGAUAGACUUGGUUCCUGGGACCGCGCCAAUUUCGAAAGCCCCGUAUAGAAUGGCACCGGCCGAGUUGAAGGAGUUAAAAGCUCAAUUGCAAGGUCUUUUUGAUAAAGGCUUCAUCAAACCAAGUAUGUCACCUUGGGGAGCCCCGAUACUAUUUGUGAAAAAGAAAGAUGGUACGGUCCGGCUUUGUGUGGAUUAUCGCGAGCUAAACAAAGUCACGAUUAAGAAUAAAUACCCGUUGCCCCGCAUUGACGACUUGACCAAUUGCAAGGGUCUCGGGUGUAUUCGAAGAUCGAUCUUUAGCCGGGGUAUCACCAGUUGAAGAGCAAGCCGGAGGAUGUACAUAAGACCGAAUUCCGUGCGCGAUAUGGAUAUUAUGAAUUCAUGGUUAUGCCGUUUGGGCUUACCAAUUCCCCUGCAGCAUUUAUAGAUUUAAUGAACCGUGUCUUUAAGUCCUUCUUAGAUCAAUUUGUCGUAGUGUUCAUAGACGACAUAUUAGUCUACUCUCGAAGUGAUGAAGAGCACGAAAAGCAUUUGAGAAUUGUGCUACAAGUUCUUCGGGAGGAGAAGCUUUAUGCGAAGUUGAAGAAGUGCGACUUCUUCCUUCAGUUGAUCUGUCCUUCAUGCUCACUAAGCAGGAUCACUUGAUAGAGGAGUUUCGUCGGUUGGAGUUGGAGAUUCUACCCACUGGAGCCACUGCCCAGCUGUUGACUCUAGUAGUGCAGCCUACCUUGGCAAACUAGAUUUCGCUCGGGUAGCAAUCAGAUCCGCAUCUAUAGAAGAUUCAGGCAGAUGUCAAGCAGGGUAAAGUGGGGGAUUUCACGGUCCACUUCGACGGAUCGCUUCACUUUCAAGGCUGGAAGUGCAUGCCUGAGGAUCCGGAUUUGAGGAGAGACAUCCUAUCAAAGGCACAUCGAUCCCCAUACACUGUGGCAGGUUUAAAGUGUCGUAGCACAGGGGUGUGCCGCUGUCUGCCUGGCACAGUACGGCACCGGCACGCUUCCGUGCCGACACAUGGUACUCUUGUCUGCCAAUGGAUACGCGUAACAGCCUACUGGCACGCUUUGGCACGGACUUAUUUCAGUUUUUUUAUUUUCAAUAAGCUCUUAUAAUAUUAUUUUGAAAGAUUUAAUCAAAUAAUUAUGAAUAUGUGCUAUGUAUAACUUACUAUACUCAUCAAUUAACAUGCUUGUAAGCUUUUUUGUAUGUAAUAUAAUUAUAUCUAAUGCAGAACAAAAAUUUUUAAAGGUUAGAAUUUUUAAAAUGCAAAGACAUUUUUUUUUCUUUUUUUUUCUUUUGACCAUAUUAGUCUUUCUUUUAUAAAAGAAAAAAAAAUUUAUUUUAAAAAUUAUUUUAAAAAAUAUUUUAAAAAGUAUUUGAAAAAAUUAUUUUUUUAAUGAAUUUUUUCAAUAAAUUAAUGGAUCUAUCAAAAAAAUUAAGCGAUAAAUUAUAUGACAAAUAAAUUAAAUAAAUUUCAGUAUCAAUUGAUUUAAUUUAGCUUUUAAUUUUAUCAGUAUUUUCAAUCUUCUAACGCAAAAAUAAAAUUUUAUAUUUGAUGUGACUCAAAAUUUGUUUAUUGAGUUCAAUUUUGUUCCCUUAAUUCGCCAAAAAUUUCGUGGUGCGACAAAUUUUGAUAAAAUAAUUUGUGAAAAAAAUAGAUGUCUGUGGUGGAAGCGAAGGGCUAGGACAAAUCUUUUGUCCGUAUAUUGAUAAACAAAAAAAUUAAUUUAAUUUUUUUGACUUACCUAAUAAGUAAAUUUUCGAUUUGCAAUGUCUUUGGGGGAGUGUGGGAUACCCAGAAUGCUAUGAAUACUUCAAAGAACAAAACAAAAAUAAAAAAAAAUAAAAAAGCAAAAAGAAUAACAAAAUAGCAAAAAAAAUUAGUAUAGUGCCGGCACGGCACUGUGUAGUGGCACACUACGCCGUGCUGCUCUGUCUCGUGCGGCACAGCGCUGCGUGCCACGGCACGCAGGGAGGUCCGAGGCCCCCCGUACCAUGCCACCCCAUACCGUACGGCACUAGUCGGCACUUUAAACCUUGCACUGUGCAUCCCGGCGGAACCAAGAAGUACCGCGACCUGAAGCAACACUUUUGGUGGCCCAAUAUGAAACUGGACGUAGCUCAGCACAUGGCUCAGUGCCUGGUUUGUCAGCAAGUGAAGGCUGAGCACCAGCGACCUACUAGAAAGCUACAACCACUUUUGGUGCCUAUGUGGAAGUAGGAACAGAUUACCAUGGAUUUCGUCACAGGUUUGCCUCAAUCAUAGCGAGGCCAAGACGCGAUCUGGGUUAUCGUGGACCGGUUGACAAAGUCGGCCCACUUUCUGCCGGUGCACACGACUUAGUCCCAUGACUGACUGGCACAGCUUUAUCUCGACGAGAUCGUCAGGCUUCAUAGGGUGCCAGUGUCGAUCGUCUCGGAUCGGGACACUCGCUUCGUAUCCUAGUUCUGGAGGAGCUUACAACAGACCUUGGGUACAAAGCUGAACUUCAAUAUGGCUUUCCACCCACAGAGCGACGAUCAGUCCGAGCGAGUCAUUCAGACGCUCGAGGACAUGCAUCGUGCUUGUGUCCUGAACUACGGCAAAUGAUGGUUCAAGUACUUACCGCUGGCAGAAUUCGCCUAUAACAAUAGUUAUCAGGCGAGUAUCGAGAUAGCGCCGUAUGAGGCAUUGUAUGGACGUCGAUGUCGGUCCUCUAUCAGUUGGGACGAUGUCAGUGAGCACCGGGUGAUCGGGCCAGACUUGUUGGAAGAUGUGGAAGCCAAGAAUCACAUUGCGAGGGACCAGCUACUGACCGCGCAGAGUCGAUAGAAGAGCUAUGCGGACCAGCGACGGUGUGACUUGUUCUAGGUCAGCGAGCAUGUGUUGCUUAAGGUGUCGCCGUCUAGAGGGAUCAAACGGUUCAGGUUGCGGAACAAGCUUAGUCCGUGAUUUGUUGGACCGUUUGAGAUCUUAGAGCGUGUUGGUCCGGUGGCGUAUCGGUUGGCUCUUCCUCCGAGUCUCGCCCAAGUGCAUGAUAUGUUUCACGUGUCCAUGCUUCGGAAGUACAUCCCAGAUCUAGUCCCACAUUAUCAGUCCAACAACUAUUCAGCUACAGGAGGAUCUGAGUUAUGAUGAGGCUCCGUUGCGGAUUUUGGCACCAGAGGUGAAGCGGCUGUGGAAUCGGAGUAUUCCGUAUGUGAAGGUUCUGUGAGAGAACCACAAGCGUGAGGCUACCUAGGAGCUUGAGUCUGCUAUGCGGGAGCAAUAUCCUCAAUUGUUUAGAGGAGCUGAGUGAUUAAAUUUCGGGGACGAAACUUCUUGUGGGGGGAUGAUGUAAUACCUAAGAAUUCGAAUUUGAAAUUUGAAUUUGAAUUGUUAUAUAUAUAUAAAUAUAUAUAGGUAUACUUGUGGAGGUAGAGAGAGAUGACUUUUGUCGCAAAUCGACAACCAAUUCUGGCGAAAUAAAAUCACAGGUUUGAUGGUCGGGCAGUGCCGGAGGUGCUAGCGUGAUCCAUUCGUAAAUCCGACGAACCGAUUGUCCAGAAUCGCACGUUGUUUGAGGAAGGGUCAAGAUUGCAUAUUAGGUUUUCCGCGAAAAAGCUAAUAUUUUAUGUACCGAAUCGCGAGGGAUCGCGCGUAUUACACGUGCCUAGAGGGACUAGGGUAGAAAUGUUGAGUUUUUAGGGAGUUACCUGCAAUUAUACUUCUACGUAUAUAAUGGCAUUUAGGGUUUCCUCCUCCCAAACCCUAACCCUAGCCUUCCCUCUCUCCUCUCUCGAGUCCUAGCCAGCUCCCCACCCUCUUCUGGCAGCGCCGUGCACUUUCCCAGCCGCCGGCAAGCCUCCUCCGGCCGGCCAAACCUCGGCAACAGCACCCUCUCCCUCUCUCUCAACUCUCUCCCUUUCCCUUUUUCAUUUGGCUAGGCCUACCUGGGAGAAUAGCAGCACCCUGCGGAGAGGUUUUAAGUGCCCGUCGGCACGAGCCGUAUCCACCGUGCCGUACAGUGCCAACAAAAUACCGACACGAUACAGACCCCGUGCCGAUGGCACAGCUGAAAACCCUCUAUUCUUUAAAUUAGUAAGUAAUUUUCUCAAUAAAGUUCAAAAAAUGUGAUAAAAAGACAUAAAUAGUUAGAAUAUUUCGUUGCUAAAGAAAAUAAAUAUUUCAUACUAUUAUGUGUCGGCACACAAGAAUUUUUUUGACCGGCAUGUAUCGGCACGGCUCGACACGCACCGUGCCGUACAGUGCCGACAAGUUUCCGGCACGACCCCGUGCCACGGCACUUAAAUCCUUGCUGCGGACCUCACCUCUGGCAGCACAGGGCUCCAAUCCUACUCCCUCCGGCAACCCCGUCGUCGCUGAGCGCCACCGCGGGCUCCACAGUCAUCUCGGGCUAUCCCUAGCAAUGGCAGCUCCACCUCCUUGCAGCGACGCCGUCGCCGCCCCUAAGCAGUGCCACCACCUCCCUCCGGUCCUGGGGAACACGCCACUCCCCGCCGCUGGCCAAGGUGAGCAUUGUGUUCCUUCCCCCCCUCCGCACUCACCCCUAGGUCACACGCCGACAGUCGAUGGCCGACCGAAGCGAGCAGCUCCCUUCCUGGCCCAGAUUUGAGCCUUUUUGGCUCUACUUACUGUUCCGAACAUCUAGGAGCUCCCCGACUCUCCAGAAAGUGAGCACGGUGACCUAGAGUCGUCGAUGAUCACCGUGCUCACCUCGGUUUAUGUCUGAGGAGCUCCGACUCGCUGUUUUUGCAUUGUCACCCCCAAAGCCUUUAGUUAAUUGUAGUAAUCUUGGCCCUGGAGCGUUCCUCAGCUGACUUUCUUACCCCAGAAAGCGAGCAUGAGCUUCGCUGCGUCAAGACCAAUCCGCUGGUGCUCUUGGUUGGUCUAGCAGACGCACGGUGUUCUCUAUCGGCCCUAAUUUGCAUGUAAUUUAACUUAUUUUGUGAUAUAUCUCUUGUUUAGGGGCCUGUUUGCAAUUGUGAUAGCAGAAGCUGUCUUGGGCAGCAUGAGGCCACUUGGUGUGACUCUCUAGACUGGUUGUCCAAGCUUUCGAUGCCCUCGCGGAAUCAGAGUUAAUUCCUGAAGCGUUUUUCGAUAAAAUCGUAGGCGAAACGCGGUGACUGUUGUGGGGUCCACUUGUUAGUAGUGUUAUCACCCAGAUGCGUCGCAGAACCUUGUUGGCUGGUUACACUCGUUGUCUCGAGUUUCCAAAGACAACGAGUGAGCGACGGAGGGUUCCGAUGCCGAAAACGGCAUUUCCGGAAACCCAGAAUGGCAUUAAGUGCUUUGGUGUAUCUGUAUUCCUUUGGCUUAUGUUUGCUGUCCGAACACCUAUGUCGGUGUGUUUCGGGACAGCGGGUGUCCAGGAUUAUGCUUGGGUCCCUUGGGAAACACUUCGUUGAGUUUGAAAGUGUUUCGGCGGACUUUUUGAAACUUUUGACUGUUCCGGGGCUAUAUGUUUAGGGUUUUGGAGUCGACCUAGUGAGUCUUGACUUGGUGGGUCGUUCAUAGGUCCAAUUGAUGUCCCAGAGCGCCUCGAGUAUUAGACGCUGCUACGAUUACAGGUGGGUGCUUCGAUUAGGAGUCGGUACAGUAGUGCUAGCUCGGUGAUAUUCUUCCCUUACUCUUUCCCGUUAACUUGCAUUCUCUUGAUGAGCAUUUUACCACUAGACUUCUGGUUUGUUUACUCUACUUCUGCUCGUUCACAUAUUUGUAGUAGAGAGGUGUUGGAUUUAUUGCAUGAUCUCUACUUGUGAGACCUGAUUGGUCGAUGCCGAUCGGUUCGCCGAUCUGGUGAUCUUGUUUAGAAAGGUGUGGAUUGUUGACUUCGGCUAUUUGCCGUAUUGAUUGACUUUUGAGCAUUUUGCAUCGAUCGUCACAGCUCAUGUAGCAUAUCAUGUACACCAGCAGUUUGGCCACUGCGUGGGUGUUCUUUUCCGGAAAAGUGGUCGUCUCUACAACCUACGGGCCCCUGCAAGGGUUUUGUGCUAGGUGGGUACGCAUACUGUGACACUUCCUACGGUCUUUAAACCUAUACGGUGAGGUGUUUGGAUACCAGUUUUCAUACAGUUGAUGUAUAUGUUAUUGUUUACAGUAGCGGUAGGUGAUUACUAUUAUGCAUAUCUAUAUUUCCUUAAUCCGCUAUUGUACAUGAGUAUCUAUCUAUCUAUCUUAGUUGUUUUUCUCCCGCAAGUGAGUACACUCGCCCUCGUUGGCUUGCGGUAUCCACUGGAAGACCCUUGUUGGUUUCUCAUACCCCCCUUCAGAUGAUCUCGGUGGUGGGAGUCGAGACGGUGCGCGAGGUGCGAUAGCUAGCGAGCUCUAGAGGUCCCGACACAUCUGCAUUGGUUACGGUUACUCCGAUUAGACCGAUUUUAUUUAUGAUUAAUAAAUUAGAAAUUAUAGUUAAGUUACAUGUUUUCUUGACUAUUGGUUUUAAAAUAAUCCUGGUUGUGGACGAUCAUUUAGUUGCAAGUAUUUGAAAUAACAAUUCUUUUGGAAUUUUCGGUGAGAUGGUAUUUUAGUUGUAUGAUAUGUGGUUUUCUAACCCUCGAGGUAGUCGGCAUUUUCAAAAGAUGGGUUUCCGUGUAGGAGACUGUUUUCAAAAGGCUUUUUCGGUUUUAUCGAUCCUUAGUAUUUAAAAAUAAAGUUUCCGGAUGGGAAACACCUUCAAACGAUAGAAUUGAUUGCUGUAAUGUGCAUUUGCAUCAUCCUUCGUCUAAGGAGUGCUUAGAACAUGCAUCAUUUCAAGGAUUGCUAACUGAAUGAUUGUCGUGAGCGUAUACAUUGUGAAUGCUGCUUGUGUGAUUGAAUGUAGUGUUGCAACGACUCUUGUAGUAGUACACCGUGUAAAUAUAGGGGAGACCCUGUCCUAAUGGAUAGGGGAAAACCUAUAGUUGUGGCAGGUCUGGUCUGUUCUGUCCUAUGGCAUGUUUGUAUUUCAAAAAAAAAAAAAGACAUUUUCCGAUGGCUUCACUUUCGAACCGGCUUCUUCUUCGAAAAAACUUUACAAAAAGAGCCCCCGGGCGUGAUAGAUUAAGAUGGUAUCAGAGCCAGGUUACAGCUACACACUCAUUCAAGGUGUUUAACUAAACCACUGGUUAGGUUGACCCAUAAGAAGACCUAAGGUGUAGAUGCGCGAGUACGGGGUGUUUGGGGUUGAGUUCCAAUGCGAGUCGAGUCAAUUCUUAUCACUUGACAGUGUUCUUUGUUGAUAUAGAUGGCUCGUGGUAGACCCCCACAUCCAGGUCGCGGUGCUGGACGUACACAUGAGGAGGCAUCCGACAGUGCGCGGACUCGUGUGUCUUUGGAGGGUGUCUGUGGAGACUAGAUGGGCGCCGAGCAGCUGGGGGCUUCUCAUAAACAAUAGCUCGAGGCCGAAAUAGCCGAUAUGAGUAGUCAACAGACAACCCUCUCAGGCAUGUUUCAGCAGUUCUUGCAGGAGCAAGCUAUAGCUGCUGUCGCUCCGGUCCCACCUCCGGCGCAAAGUACUCCAGUGACCACAGACCCCCCUGUAGCACCAGCACCAAUCACGACUGCGGCCAUGACGACGACAACUAUGACGACUCUUCCCUCAAGGGUGCUGACUUACUGUCAGCAAAUGGCACCCGUAUCAGGGCUAGGUUGUCAGAGUUCAAGGAGUUCGACCCGCCGUAGUUCGAUGGCAAGCAUAACGACGGUUGGGCAGUCGAGCGUUAGAUCGCCCACAUGGAGAAGCUGUUUUGCAACCUCACAUCGACAAACAGGAUAAGGUCCCGUACUCACGUUAGCCGCCCACUGCUACGUCUCGUUGAGAAAUUAACUUUCUCUACAUUGUUUCUCUGUUUAACCACUUAAACAUGAGACCCAAGCACAACAAAAGUUAUAAUUAACAUGAAUAACUUACUGUAUUUUAGCAUUGAAUGGCUUGCUUGAACUUUUAUAUAUAAGUACCAUCAGAAAAUUCGAUAAAGUUUAGAUGUCAACAAAGUAAAACCAUUUAAUGUUCAAUAAUGCCUUAUCCACUCUAAUAGUCUUGCAGACCACCUAAUUCAGGUAAUGAACUCGACAACAAAGUACGUUUCAGAUCUUAGAUAAGAAUAGGCCACCAAACUAAAACUACCAGUUGAUAUGAUCUGGAUGGACAUAACAAAAGCUACCAUUAUCUGUUUGGACGGAUCAAAUUGGUUCAAAAAUUGCACCAUGGACCAACAUUCGAGUCAAGAAGCAAUUGUUCAGUUAAGUUCUAACACAGUUUAAAACACAGAAUGGUCUGACGAAAAUCAUGCUUCAAUUUUUUUUAUGAUCAUCUGGUGGACUAUUCUUGAGCAUUAUCAACUAAGGCUAAGCAAUACAAGCUGUUAAACUGAAAAAAUGGUCAAAGAGGUGUCUUACUUUCUCUUUAGCAGCAGCAAUCGCAAGAUAACCAGCACCCAUUUCAACCUCUUGCAGCCCAACAACAACUAAUCCAACCUCUGAUUCAGAGAAGUCCAGCAAAGCUGCAAGUGAAUUAUAAGAUGCUCUUUCUUGCCCAACAUUCCAAGUACCCACUAGAAUUUUCAGAUGUUCAAAUUUGCUGUAUAGUGUCUCUUUCUGUAUCAACUCGGAUUGCAAGAUGUUGUCAAUAGGCCCUGGAGAGGACAGAUUCCAUCCACAAAUCCCCCCGUGAUUAGCCAAUGUAAAAAUAUACAAACCAGCAACAGCCAUUUUUAUAAUUGGAUUGUUAUGGGCUACCCAUCCUCCUAUCAAAUUUCCUUCAAUAUCCAUUAAAUGGACUGUACCAUCCAUGUAACCCACCCACACUCUCAAACCGAAUGUACAAAUGCACAGAAUAGAAGAAGCGUGAUGUUGAAACUCUUGUAGCCGAUUACCAUUACCAUCCCAAAGAGCAAGUGAGCCAUUUGCACUACCAGUCCAAAUCGUUCCAUCCAUUGACAUUGCUAAUGCCUCUAUUCUUCGAUUAUCAUCCCCAAAUCCAGCCUUGACUGCAACUCUCCGAACAGCAUCAGCUGCUCCUAUCAAGGCAUUACGCGACCUCUGGAAAAAACUGACAGAACUUUGUGAUUUAUCCUUCUUAAAAGAGGAGAAAAGGUUUAUCUUUGUAUCAUCCUCUUCAUAAGCACCCUGAACAGACAAGAUAUCAAACCGAGUCUCAACCUGGACGUCUAUGUUAAUGACCUUGAGAAGCUCCUUUGUACGAGAGUCCCUGUUUGGUUAAAUAGUGAACAUUUUGAGUCGAUAACAGUUAUAGUCAAAAUUAAACUAUGGUAUCUUAUUUAAAAAUAGCAAAGGAAAGGGAGCUAGUGAUGGCAUACCAAAGUGCAAAUGAAAGAUAACCACCACUCCACACUUUUGAUCUAGAAUUAUCAGACAACAAAUGUUUAACAUCUACAGUAGGUAAGGGGCAGACUCCUCCAUAAGUGACUAGGCUCUUAAGGUCAACAUAUGACCUCUCAACCAAUUGAGAAACUUUAUGACUUUCUUCUAUUGCUACAGAGAGGGAGUGCUCAAGAGCAUCCUUAGACCAAACUUUAACAAUUCCAACUUCAGAUCCGGACCACAAGUCACCUGGAACAAAGGAAGUAAAGAAUAACAGAGUAAGAAUAGCUCGAUUGAAAAGAUCAAAUAAUUUCAGCUAACAUAAGUAGGAAAACAGGACUCCUAGUAGAGGCACUUAAGUUAAAGGAAAUCCCAAGUCUAUGCCAACCGUCAUUUCCAUGAGCUUCACAUACUUAUAUGCACCAGGGGAUAUGUGUAAGAGCGUAAAGAAGUUGUCUCUUGUCAAAGCGAUCCUUCAGACACAAAUCAUUCUUGGCUGUGCAUAUCAAUCUCUUUUGGUUCAGUGUGAACCACAUAAACCAAGAAUACUUCCACCCGUUAAACUCCUUGUUUAUGAGAUGAUGUCAUUGAAACAUCUUAAAAGAACUUUAAUCACCUUUAUCUCACCUUCAUUCCUAAAUCACUAGAGUUCCUAAAGAUACAAAAGAAGAGCCACCUAAUCAAAUUAAAUGUGGAAAAAAAGAGAGAAGAAAGUAGCUUAAAAGCAACAAUUCAGAACUCCCAAGCAUUUCAUUAAUUAGCAUACAGAUGAACAUAUAACUCUUCUUAGAGCAUGUAUUACCUACUCAAGAGAGUGGAAGAGACACAAGGAGAGAGAAUAGGAAGGUAGAAAGUGGAUAUUUGGAAGAGGAAAGCAGAAUUUAGGGAAGAAAUAGAACAGGCUUACUAAGUAGUGGGGAUUAAAUGCAAUUUCAUCGAGAAAUUAUUGCCUGCACCCAAUGGAUCCUUACGCUCCAUUCACCACAUACAAUCUUUGAUGAUCAAUGUCGUAAAAUAAAAUAUAAUCUGCUAGAUGUGAUCUGCAACAUCUAAAGGUCCUAGGUAUGAAAAUCAUAAGUUUUAAAAGCCUACUAGCUAGGCAUCAAGUAAUUUCAAAGAUCAACAGUAUAGAAGGGGACCAUUUUUUAUUCACCAGAAGUUAGUGUCCAAAAUUUAUGAGUUUUUAUAUAUAGGCCUUUCAAACAUCAUAGAACACAUCAAGCGAAUUAGAUUUUGAUUUUGAGACCUCUAGCAGGGGAGUUUUAGGGUGCGGUGUAUGUGAUGUACUUAUACACCUGGUGCAAGCAAUAGCUUCUCCUUUUCAUCUCCUGAUACUAAACCCGCUCAAAAAGACUUUCCAGGACAACUAAUGUGCACAAGAAAAAAUUAUCUGAGGGACCAUCAUGUAAAUAACAAGAAUUUAGAGAACUAUAGCAAUAUUGGAAAAUUCCAAAGGAUAAUACAAUAGUUGCCUAGAAAGCAGAGAGUUGUUGCAUUUUGUAAUAUCCCAAACUUGUCGCAACCCGCCGAUGACGAGAAUUUGCCGAGGCGUGGACGGCGACGAGGAUGAUGGUUGAUGUGGGCCUUUGAGCUAGGGUCUCGCAAUGGGAAUUGAGAGGAAGAAGGGGAAGAAUUAGAGGAAGAAGAGAAGCUGAGAGGAAGAGAGAAGGGAAUCAGAUUGAGUGGGAUGGAGAAGAGAGGGGAGAGGAUGAGAGGAGAAUUAGGAAGGAAGAAAAGCUCUAUUCAUUUUCUAUAAUCCCAAAAUUACAUCUGCCUGCUACUUAGUAACUGUAUUUGUGCUGAAAUGAAAAUUGAUUACAUUGGUUGAUUAAACUGUAAAAAUAUGGAAAGAAAUAGUAUAGGCCUGGUGGGCCCAAACUGAUGGAGUCGUGGGCCUUCUGGGCUGUUGGAGAGCCCGACACCUCUGGCUUCUAGCGGGUUUGGAUCCGAUGCUCGACCAACCCGACCCGGUUGGAGGUUUGAGAUACUCCACUUCCAGCAUGGAAUUACUAGAUCCUGUCGUUGCACAUCUUGUCUCUUGACCAGGCGAUCUGAACCCUAGGUCUGCUCCGCCUCCCGCCAAUGAUCUCUAGCCUCCUUCUCUCUUCUUCAAGAACAAGCAACAUCAAAAUCCCCUAAAAAGCUACGGUCUCCAUCUCCUUCUUGUUCCUCACCAUGCUUGAUCUCUCUAUAUAUAUCUAUAUGUAUAUAUGUGUACUUAUGCUUCAUGCUCUUCCCGGCAGAUGUUACACAUUUUCAGAAGAACAGUACUUCAACCAUCCAAAGGAUCAACCCUUUGUUUUCCAUGACAAUUAGCUCUUGAUAGGAAGUUAGAUCUCCGUUCCACUAGUCAAAAAUUGCUCGAUGUGUUCGAUAACUUAUACUUUUGUGGAUUGUUUAGUUGCUGUGAUUUCAAUAAUUCCCUGUUCGCACGCAUUUUAAUUUUUCUCUUUUUCGUCGGAUGUAAUAAAUUUUUUCCACAAAUGCUUAAAACACGUUUCAUCCAAACACAAUACGGCGCGUUCUGAGUGCUACUUUUCAGUCGUGCAAUUUCCAAGCUAUGUUAUCUACACAAGUUGCUGAAUUCAUAUCUCGAAGAGAAAGAGCAAGAGUAAACAAGAGUUAUCUACACAAGUUGCUGAAUUCAGAUCUCAAAGAGAAAGGGCAGGAGUAAACAGAGAAUUACCGUACGGAGUAACGACCAUCGAGAGGACCGGAGCACGGUGGGCGUUCCACGCGAGGCACUCCUUGAAAUCGCCGCUCUGAUCCACCGACGAGUUUGGCGGCGGCGGUGGCGGCAAAGGGCCCCUCGACUCCGUCCUCCAUCCCAGGAUGCGCCCGUCCCGGUGCCCGCUCCACACGACCCUGCGGCCGCGAUCUACGGCGAGGCACAGGGCGGGCGCCGUGCGGCACGACUCCCAGAACGGCGCGCUCUCCUCGUCGCCCCUCCUCGCCCUCCCCCGCGCGCCUCCGUCGCCGAAGGCCUCGCAGAGGUUCCAGAACCGGACGCCGGACUCCUGGGCGGCCCAGAUCUGGUCAUCGUCGGCGGCGGCGGCGAUCGCGCGGAGGAAGGAGCCGGCCUGCGUCUCGCGGAGCGGGCGCGGGCGGAGGUCGAGGGAGGGGGGGCGGGACGGGCGGGGCGGGGGGCUGAAGAUGCCGUCGGCGCGGCCGGAGAAUUCGGGCAGGGGGCCGGCGGGGCCCGAGGGAGCAGGCCAGCUGGUGUCGGCGGGGGCCGAGGGAGGAGGCCGGAGGGGAGCGGUGGGGGUGAUGGUGGCGGCGGUGAAGAAUUCGGCGGGCAGGUCGUCCCAGUCGCUGAAGAAGUCGGGAUUUCGGGACAUUUUGGUGGUUUGUGGGAGGUGGGAUUUUGGGGGGGAAUAUGAGGGGAGUGAGAGGUGGAGUGGCUUUCACGAUGGAGGACGUGGGGGAGUGUGACCGUACGUUAUUAAAUUAUGUAGUUUUGGUCGUCAGGAGAGGUGACCGUCAACAACCGGCGGCGGUAAUCCAUGAGUUUGGUUUCCGAAGGGCUUAGUUUGGAGUUUGGAGGUCAUUUGCUGGAAGGGAAACGAUCAACAAUUCCUAGUCCGAGAGUGUUAAAGAUUUACUGUUCACUUUUCGGUCUUUAGUAAAAAAUAAUAAUAAUAAUGAUAACAGAUUUAGUAAAGAAAAAAAUAUGUGUUAGGGCUAAUAAUAAAAUGUCACUUGACGGGUUGGUGCGUGAUUCAAUCGGGAUUCAGGCUUAAAUAAUAUUUGGUGCUGUUGCGUGCCGAAUUUUUUGACCCUUGAUCCGGUCAAAAAUCCUCCUCGGGGAGCGCAUCGGGAUGAAAACGGCUUUGGAUAGUAAUCCUCGAAGUUUGCGCCCUUCGAUUGAUCAAGUGAUUCGGCUGACGAGGAAUCGGAUCAGCCGGGUUCGAAACCGAAUGCCUUUAUAUUAACUGGUGAAGAGCCGAAUGACUAAAGAACACAAAAAUUGGUCGGCUUGAACAGCCGAAUGCCUUUAUAUUAACUAGUGAAAAAUACAGGAUUUGAGUGUGUCGGAUGACAUGCAGACUCGGUUGAUCUACUUAAUGAACUACUUCUAGGAAGAACAGUAAAUGCGGGAAAGUAAAAGUUACAAGUAGACUACUCCUAGAAAAUACGAGGAAAUAAGGGUAGUCUUUUGUUCACAGGGAAAAGAUCCCUUUUUAGGACGUUAUUGACCCAUUUAUAGAUCGCCCCUUGUGAUCAGUUAUUGCCUAUACAGGAUCGGCCACUAUUCCUGAUUCUCCGGACCGCUUUCAGCCGAUCGGAACCGUUUGCAACUGUUUGCGGUUACUGUAACUUCCUUUAAAUCGUGCGGUUUAAGAUCCUUCCGAUGCUCCUGGUGCAUUGCGAAUCAAUGCAACUGAAUGGAGUACCGGUGUACCAUAUGUCCGCGCCUUAUUGGCUUAACAAUUACCCCCUCGGCAGCUUUCGAAGUAACGCUUCGGUAGCUGGCUUAAUCCGAGGUGCAAUUACUUUUCAAAUUCCUGGUACGGUUUCGUCUCAACCGUCUGCUUCUUUCUACCGCUAAAAUCCCGCCAUCACUUCAAUAACAAGCGCGAUCCGAGGCAUGGUUCUCGAUCCAAUCAAUUUCAAAUUCUCUGUACGAGUAGCUGAUGUAACCCGAGGCGUGAUUCCAAACCCUCUGUACGGUUUAGUUUCGGAUGUCAAAUUCUUUUCUACGGCCCUGAUCUCGCCAUCUAUUUUUGUCUUACCUGUGACAUUAAUUAGGUCAUCUUAAUUACCGCAGUCUAUUCAUCAUUAUAGCCGACCUCGGAACUUGCUUCGAUGACUAUUCGACACGACGGCUAACCUUUCUUCUUCGCCAAGCCUCUAAUUCCCUUUUAUACUCAACCUUUGUCUUUUUCAUUUCUCUUUACUUCUUCCUCGUUCUCUUCGACCUCUUCUCCAUCUCUCGUCCACAGCUUUUGCUCACUUUCUUCUUCCUUAGCAUCUUUUCGCUUCGAGUAAUGACGCCACUUCCGCCUUUACCGACUCGUUCUUCGCUAGAUUAUACCCUGCUUGAAUCAUAUCUCGCCACGGACCCUACUAGAUUCAUUUUGGGUCCUUCCUUUACUGAAGACCCGUCUGUCGAUGAUUUCCCUUAUUCUAGCGACGGUCUCCCAUUGGUGGCCAAAUCCAUUCAUCUCCAUUCCUGGUACCCUUCGGCUUCAACAGGAAAAAGCCUUCGAACCUGGCCAAGUGUUUCAGAUGCUUAUUUGACUUGGUUAGAUCGAGUGGAAGCUGCCUAUGGUGACUUUUGGCGGGAAGUCGGGAUCUAUGAAGCUAUUCAGCUAUCUCGGAAGCCUCCUAUAGCCGACAACCUUCUUUUGGCCUCUGCUCUUUAUUUCUGAUCCCCUGUUUUCAAUGUUUUUCUUUUUAAAUGGGGACCUCUUACUCCGACUCUCUUAGAUGUAGCUGCCAUUAUUGGUUUACGGCCUGAUGGUGUUACCCUCUCCAUGGCCUAUAAUUCUGAUGGCGUAUCUGACUUUGAGGAUCAUCUUGACCUCACUGAUUUGGCUUUUCCAAGUUUCUCCAUAAAUUUGCAGGUGAAUCCCCUGCUCCUGUCACUAGGAAGGAACACACAGCGUUCCUCCUAUAUUGGUUAUGUCACAAUCUCUUAUGUACUCGUUCGCAGAAGAUUAAUCGGGACUUUGUCCCAAUCGCCGUUGGUUUGACUAACGACGACAGAUUAGCUCUUAGGCCUUAUUUUUUUGCCUUUGUUUAUAGAAAAAUUUUUGAUUCCAUCAAACCUGUCACGCCCCGCGACCGCCUGCCUAUUUGGCCGGGUCGCUGCAUCGUCAACAGACAGCCGAACGGACAGAGUUUUUCCUGUACGUCCUAGGUGUCGCAAUCAAAACAAAACAAAGAGUCUUCCAACCAGGAACUGAUAUCAAUCAAGAUUGCAUAAAGAAGUAUCAAUAACAAAAAACUAACUGAUAUUACAACCAUUCAUUUCAUACAACAUUUUUCUCUUACAUUUACUUAACUUCCAAAUACAAUCACAUUAUUACAUUUAAUACAAGUUGGUUGUUGUCAUUCCAUUCUAACCCCUAGGCCCUGCUGACUCGGGGUACUGCUAGCUCUGGUCUCUGGGGUAGGGCGCUAUCUACGAAGCUACGCCCUUGCCUUGCGCCGCCGCGCCGCUCACGUGCGAACCUGAACGUGGGGUGAGAACCAACUCCAUGGUUCCCAGUGGGUACGGCCACCCAAGGAAAAAGCUCGACCAAUAGGUCCGAGGAGGCACUGCAACAUGUUAGUUCAACAAUAUACAACAGAUACAUAUAUUCAAUUGAAAUACAUGCCAUGCCUCAUGAUAUGCGAUAUGAAAAUCAUGCAACUCUAUGCAACAACUAGUAGAUCAAUUGAUUCUACACUUUACUUGGCUACUCUUAGCUCAUAUCAUUCACUCUAAGGUUUCCAUUACCUUAGUAUCUCACUCAAGUCCACUGGCUACUAAGGUCUCUAUCCCCUUAGCCCAAGCCUCUAUCUCUAGCUCAUAAAGGUUCCACUACCUUAUCGAACCUAACCACCCGACUCGGCUUAGAGUCAAUCAUCCGCGGAUAGUCUGCGCACUGGCUGCUCAACAGCCUACCGCUCUCCGUGACUUAGCCUCUUAGCGGCGAAAUCAUCGCACACGUUGAACCCGGCUCAAGUCCCUUGACAUAGCCAUUCUGGCGACGAACACGUUGCACUUACCCAGCGAGGACUCAAGUCAUGACCUAUCCAUCUGGCGGUAAACUAAUCGCACCUUACCCAACAAUGGUUUCAGUCACGACUCAGCCACCUAGUGGCACCCGCACCGUACUUACCCAGCAAUGGUUUCAGUCAAUCCUAACGGUCUGAUCCACAAUCGGCUUAACCAUCCGGCGGCGAAAUCGUCGCACACGCCACGUCGAUGGUCCAAGCCCCGGGCGGUGAUCUCCAUGCGAUCGCCCCCAAUCCUCCCUCGGUAUCAACCUCGGCGGUGAAGUCGUCGCACACGCCCUAGCCUUGAUACCACAGUCAUCACAAGUCCUGGGAUUCCGGAAUCCACUUUUCGCAGGUCAAGGAUUCAUAACCAACCCUAUGCUGUCGACCUAGAACAUCCUAGUGGCUAAUACCACUAUACUCAACAACCUAGAUUCAAUACCACUCUAGGCUCCAAGUCUCAAUCACAUAACCUAGGGACAAAUGCUAGGUUCCAAGUCAUCUCUACCUAGAUGUCAAUUUCUAGGAUUACUUGUCCGACCUAUGUUUACUAACACUAGGUUCGAUGCCACACACCUAGACUUGUUCAACUCUAGGUUUACUCGUUCAACCUAUAUUCUUUAACACUAGGUUAGGUGCCACUCGAUCUAAUUGACAUCCUAAAUGUCCAAUCGAGUAUUCUAUUGUUCUCAUGUCAUUCAACUCUACACUUCUAGAGUUAUCACCUAGUUUACAUGCAUAUAUAUAUAUAUAUAUAUAUAUAUAUAUAUAUAUAUAUAUAUAUAUAUAUAUAUAUAUAUAUAUAUAUAUAUAUAUAGUCAUGCUACUCAUGCAUUCAUGCGAUCCUUUAGCAUUUAUACAUCAUGUUCAUCAUGCAUUCUACUUAGCAUUUUAAUAUAUGCAUUAUCACUAACAUGUAUCAUUUAACAUUGUCUACAUGCAUCAACAUGAAAACGUAUGUUCUUAGACAUAAAGGGCGACCUAGUCGCUUCGGUAAGCACCUUAGCUAGCUUUCCGAUUGCUCGACAACACUUGCAAUCGGCCUCCCGCGGCACUCGGCACCCUUUUGGACCCGAUCUUGUAGUUGCACUCUAAUAGCGCGUCGCUUUGCCGUUUCAAAAGUUAAAGGUCUUUGCCUUGCUAUUACGGCGCUCGGAACUCGAUUUCGCGAUUUAUGGACAUCGCUUCGGCCUUCCAGGCGGAAACGAAGCUCCAAAUGUCCGUUCCUUCAAUAUCUUUGUAACGGCUUGUUGGAUUGCCAAACCGACUUCGCCAACGCGUUUCGUUACCUAUCAAUUAGGUUAACAGAGGGUCAAAUGAGAUCAAACUCUCCCAAAUCACAAAACCUCAUUUUGGGUGCCCUAGAUGCUAUUAUAGCCAAAACCACCAAAUCGAUUCAUGAUUUGAGCACAAUACAUCUCAAUAGCAUGCUAGGGUACCAAAAAUACCAUUUCUAGGGUUUAAAAUCCCCUCCUUAAAGAUUCACCAUGAGAGGAGGCAAAGAGCUUACCUCUCUAGGUUGCUCCAAGCACGAGGAAGACGAAGGAGAGGAUGAAGAUCUCCUUCUUGAUCUUCUUCCCCCUUCCUUUCUCUUUUUCUUCUUCUCUUCUCUUCUCUUUUCCUUUCAUUCUUCUUCACGAUCGGAGAGAGAGAGAGAGAGAGAGCAGUGAGGGAGUGAGAGAAAGAGAGAGAGAAACCCUCUCUUAAUCCCCUUUCAUAUUGUAACAAAAUGCUAAGAAGCCCCUCAACUUUCCAUCUCUCAACUGGCCUUCACUGGGCAAAACCAGCGCGGAGGGACCGGUCUCCCCGACAUGGGACCGGUCCCAGAGGACCUUCCUAUUUUCCACGCAUUCGGGGACCGGUCUCUCAGGGAGAGGCCGGUCCCCCGGAGACCGGUCUGCCCACCAGAGACCGGUCCCCGAGAGCUCUUUCGCGGGACUUAGCCAAUUUUUGGCCAUUCUCGCUCGUGUCGCUUGCAGGGACCGGUCCCUCCCUGCCAGGGACCAGUUGCAUCGGCAACCCCGCAACCCUCGGCCGAUGGGACCAGUCUCUCCUGCCAGAGACCGGUCCCCGAGAGCAAAUCUGCUAAAGAUGCAGAUUUUGCAUCUUUGCUCUCGCGGACUCCAUUCCAAUGCACUUUUUGUGUUUCGUGCAUCCUUAGCUUUUCCAAAGCCUACCAACUCGACCAUUAGUCGAUUCUGUACGAAGUCCAACUCUCGGAUUUUGAGAAUUCACAUUGUUACAAAACCACUACCCUCUGGAGAUGGUGUAACGAUCAGUUCGGGUUGUAGUGUUUUCUGGUUUUUACAAAUGUUUUUAUAGAUUUAUUUUCCUAAUUUGUGCCGAACUCCUUUGGAUAUGGAUUCGGCUGCUCAUUUUGAUUCUUACGGGUUAGCUCUCGGCUGUCCUCCGCCGCUAACAUUGGGACACCCUUCUGAUUUUCUCUCUUAUUUUAAAAUGUUUUAUGAAUCUCGUCCUCAUUUCUCUAUUCAUUGGUCUCCCUUUGCUGACUGUGUCACCGGCCCGUCUUGGCUUCUAGCAAGGUAUGAAGCCUUUCAAGGCGAACUUGCUUCUUCUCGUGCCGGCGAAUAUGCAGAUGUUUGGUACUCUUUUUUGGCUAUAAGGGAUCUGCACAUUGGCAUGAAAUCGCGCUCGAAACUGUUGCCUAGUACUGAGGUUUAUUCUCCUCAGUUCGUAGCGCGCCAAUUUGGUUUUACCCAAGCAGUCCCCUCUCCAGCCAAGUUCUUCAUGGCCAAUACUGCCGUUAACCGAGCCCCUACCAAAAGUACAGCCGAAGCUGAUCAGAUUUCGGCUAUGGGGAAUCGCCCUUGGUGGUUCUUCAAAUUAGUGAGCUUCAGGCCGAAUUAUACAGGGGCGGUAGGUUUCCGUUAUACGGUUACCUGGGAUCAUUUCGCCAAUCGCAUCUUCAGCUUAUCCGCGACACAGGCGUACCGCCAGACCAUUCAUCCUAUUGGUACAACUCUUACUUAUAAUUAUUUUCCUUUCUUUUUGUAACAAUAGUUCUUACUUACUCGUCUCUCAGCUACAACAAUACCUUUCCUAAGCAAGGAUCUUCCAGUUGAUCCCGCUACUCCAACUAUACCGAAAGAAGAAUCAGAGGAGAUUUUUGAUACUGCCUCUGAUGUCCCACCUUCUUCUUCUGUAAUAAACUCUGCUUUACUUUAACUUUUCUCUUUUUAGUACAAGUAAUGCUUAUUUUUCUUUAUUUGUUUUUGUCUAUAGUCAUUUCCAGUUUCUCCAUCGGGUCCCGGCUUCAGAGAAAAGGCCGAUUGAAACUACACAAUCCACUCCUCCACCGCCCCCAAAGCAGCGCAAGUCGGUCGUCAAGAGACCACAUUCGCAUUCCCAACAGGCCGAAGGCGCUUCUUCGGCUGAUGUUUUAAAGAAAAGGGCCGAAGAUAUACCUUCGGUUAUGAUUCCAGAAGGAAGAGCCAAAGAAAUACCCUCGACUGAUGCUCCGGAAGAAAGAACCAAAGUACCAUCUUUGGCUGCUGAACAAAGCUCUGUUUCUAAUGAGCCGAUUGAGAUUGAGGUAAACCCAUUUAGUUACCUACACUCAAUCCUUUUGUUUCUACAUCUAUUUAUCAUUUUCUGUUAAUAAAACAGUCAUCUCCUGAAAGAGUCCAUUUUGCUCAUUCUUUGAAGACGCAGAUGGAUAGGCAACUCCGUAGGGAAGUUUGCCUCAAAAAGAGACAAGAAAUUGAGAGAAAGAGGGCUGCUGAGGAAAUGAGCAAAACACUGCCGACAAGUGAUGCAGCACCACCUCUUUCCACUCCAGUGCCAGCAACAGAGGGAGAAAAUGUAAGUGCACCUUUGGAAGAAGGCGUUGAAGGAACACGAACAAUGUCUUACUCGACUCCUAAAGCCUCAUCAUCUACUCCAGAAGACCCUAUGUCCGCAAUCUUUCACUCUUUAUUAGUUUCGAGCCCCAAUUCCAAUGAAGGAGAUGAUUCGACUACAAUUGUGAUGUCGACAGACACUCGACAGAAAUUUGAUGAGUGUCUAUAAUUAUAUAGUUAAGGUCUCCCAUCUUUGGCUCAAAACUUAGAACAGUUUGAUCGGCUAUUUGCCCUUUUGCUUGCUCUAGUCGAUCAAUCAGAUAUUUAUUCUGCUGCUAAGUGUUUUAUAGAGACAUUAUCGUCUCAACUUUCCUCUUUUUUAUCUCGGCAACAAUCUUUAGGUGCCGAGCUUUUAUCUCCGGAUCAACAUUUUCAUCAAAUUGAUCAUUUUAAGAAAACUAUCCCUGAAGUAGCGGCUCCUAUCACUGAUGUGAGCCAAAAAGAUCAAGCCCUAGAAAACUAAGAAUCGGCUUUGCAACAGCGAAUUUUGACUCUUAAAGAACAGCUAGCUGCAGCCGAAUUAACUUUGGCUCAUACUUUUGAGCAUCGACUCCAACUGCAAGAUCAAUUGAAGUCGAAGAAAAGCAAAGGGAUGAAACUUUAAGAACAACUUUUCCAACUCUAUAAAGUGCAUCCCUUGAUGAUACGCAGAAGGAAGGCCGCCGAAACUGCCCAAGCCAAUUUAAUAGCCGAAUGGAACAAGCUCAAAGAUUUACUAUCUUGAUUCGGCUUGUAAUAUUUUAACUCUAACUUUGAUUAUCUUCUCACAUGGAUGGGUAAUACUUUUUUAGAUACUUUUCAUUGAUUGGUUUCUCAUUUUCCAACCCAUCUAUAUUCUUUAAGUAGUAUGCAUUUCCCUUUGUAAUUCUGCUAACUUGAAAUGAUCCUUCCCAAUUUGGAGACCAUUUUCCAUAUGUUCGGUCUUUUUGACCGAUUGGAAAAAUUAACCUAAGAACCAAGUCACCAACUGCAAAUGACUUAGCUCUAACUUUUUUUAUUUUAUGCAUUACGCACUUGGCUUUGAUAAGCUUGCAAAUGAUUCAAUGCCAUCAACCGAGUUUCAUGUAUUUCUUCCAUUUCUUCCUUUAUCAACUUACUAUAUUUAUUAGCUGAUAGUUCUUUAUGUUUCUCCACUCUUAACGAAGGAACUGUUAUUUCGGCUGGUAUCACGGCCUCGUGGCCGUAUACUAAUUGAAACGGUGUCAUUCUCGUUGCCGUUUUUACUGAAGUUCGGCAUGCCCACAGUAUUUCAGAUAGUUUUUCAUUCCAUUUCCUUGGAUAUUUACCGAUAUGUCGCUUCAUAAGAUUGAUGAUUACCUUAUUUGCUGCUUCGGCUUGUCUAUUCGCUUGAGCAUAAUAAGGAGAUGAGUGAAGCAACUUUAUCUUCCGAGAUUCAAUGAACCGAACAAACUGUCCUCCUGUGAACAUUGUUCCUUGAUUGGUUGUAAUUGUCUCAGGAACUCCAAAACAAUGAAUUAUCGAGUCUUCAACAAAAUCAAUAAUCUCUUUUUCAGUGACCAACCGAGUGGGUUUUAUUUCUACCCACUUAGUAAAAUAAUCAACGACCACUAUUAAAAACUUAUGACCAGCCAAAGAGUUCGGCUGAAUUUCUCCAAUCAAAUCCAUGGCCCAACCUCGAAAAGGCCAAGGUUUAAUUAUUGCAUACAUCUCAGAGGCAGGAACUCUCUGUACUAAACCAUGAAAUUGACAAUCUUGGCAACCCUUAGCAUAUUCUAUACAAUUUUGAUGCAUAGUCGGCCAAUAAUAUCCUAAGUGCCGAAUUGUCCAUCUUAGUAUCUUUCCUGCUAAAUGGGCUCCACACAAACCUUUAUGUGUUUCUCCCAUCACUAAUAGAGCUUCUUCAAGCCUUAAACACUUUAAUAAUACUUCUUCGGCUGUUCUCUUGUAGAGCUGUCCAUUCAACAGACAAUAGCCAAGUGCUCUUCUUCGAAUAUUAUAAUCGACCCUUUUAUUGGGGUCUUCAAAAUAUUCGAUUAUAGAUUUUCUCUAAUCCUUUUUCACUUCUAUGGGGGCAAUAAUCGGCUCUCGAACAUGAACUGAAGGUAAUGGUCUUCUUUCUAUUUUUAUCAGACCUCUUUUUGGCUCUCUAUAUUCUGAAGCCGAUUAGGCUAAUUCAUUCGCCUGUUCAUUUUUCUCUCUUGUCAAAUGCUCAAAUUCAACCUCUUCGAAUCUGCAAAGUAAUUCUAUCGUCUUUCUCAGGUAACCUUGCAAAUUUCGGUUUUCGCAUCAGUAUUCUUCGUUGACUUGUUUAAUCACUAACUGCGAAUCACCGAUGACCUUGAGCGAGCGAACUCCUAAUUCUUGUAAGAUUUCAAGACCAAUUAUUAAGGCCUCGUAUUCGACUUGAUUAUUGGAACAGCCGAAAUCUAAUUCAAAAGCAAACUGAUAGGUAUAUCCCUUAGGAGACUGUAUAACUAUUCCAGCUCCCGCGGAUUCGGCUGUUCUUGAGCCGUCAAAGUAAAGUAUCCAAGGUUGACAGCCGAUUAAAUUCUGUUUCGGGUCUUCAAUGUCAACACAUGGAUGAUCAGCCAGGAAGUCGGCUCUUACUUGUCCUUUAACAGCUUUUGUUGGAACAUAAUUAAGAGAAAAUUCGGACAAUGCCAAUAUCCAUUUUCCGAUUCGACCUCUUAAUGCUUGCUUAGAUAACAUAUACUUUACCAAAUCAGUUUUACAUACUACCAACACUUCAGUUGGUAAAAUAUAAUAUCUUAAUUAUACAAGCAUAAUAUAAGGCCAAACACAAUUUUUCAAUUGUCGAAUAUCGUUUUCGGCAUCUAAUAAUCGCAUGCUUAAAUAAUAUAUGGCAUGUUCUUCUUUUUCUUCAUUCUCUUGGGCUAACAAGCAUCCUAAAUUUUCCUCUACAGUCGAAAUAUAUAGUUUCAUCGGCUGUCCUUGUUUAGGAGACAUAAGGACCGGAGGAUUUGAUAAAUAUUUCUUUAUAUUUUCAAAAGCUCCUUGUUGUUCCUCUGUCCAAAUAAAUUCUUCUUUACUUUUAAGCCGAAGUAAUGGAGUAAAAACUCCUAUUCUACCGGUCAAAUUUGAUAUGAAUCACCGUAAAUAAUUGAUUUUUUCCAAUAAACUCUGUAGUUCUUUUUUACUCUUUGGUGGCGACAAUUCUAAAAUAGCUUUCGCUUUGUUUUUAUCAAUCUCGAUCCCUUUUUUAUGCACUAAAAAUUUCAGGAAAUUUUCUGCAGAAACUCCAAAGGCACACUUCAAAGGAUUCAUUUUUAAAUUAUAUUUUCUCAUUUUUUCAAAGGCACGUUUUAAAUCCGCCCAAUGUUCGACUUGUGAUUUGGAUUUCACAACUAUAUCAUCGAUGUAAAUCUCCAACAUCUUGCCGAUCAGAUCAUGAAAAAUUAAAUUCAUUGCUCUCUGAUAAGUAGCUCCGGUAUUUUUUAAGUCGAACGGUAUGACCACCCAUUCAAAGGUCCCAAUAGACCCCGGGCAUCUAAAAGCCGUUUUAGCUACAUCUUCUUCAGCAAUAAAAAUUUGAUUAUAACCAGUAUGUUCGUCCAUAAAAGAUAGGACUUCAUUACCGGCAGCCGAAUCCACUAAUAUAUCGGCUAUUGGUAUUGGAUACUCAUAUUUAGGAGUAGCCAAAUUUAAGUUCCUAAAAUCAAUGCAAACCCUAAGUUUACCAUUCUUUUUUCGUACUAGAACUAUAUUGGAUAUCCAAUCAACAUAUCGGGCCGCUCUAAUAAAACCGGCAUUUAAAAGAUUUUCAAUUUCAUUUUUAAUUUGAAGUACAAUACUCGGCUCAAACCUAUGAGCCGGUUGUUUGUAACCCCUUUUUAAUAGGUAGCCUAUGUUCUACAAUUUUUCGACUUAAACCUGGCAUUUCUUCAUAGCUCCAGGCGAAGCAGUCGUUGUACUCCAAAAGCAAUACUUUCAGCUCCUCCUGUUGUUGAGCCGAAAGCCUGGCACUAAUAUAAGUCGAUCGCUUGUCUUCAUCAGAUCCUAAGUUUACCUCAAUUAGUGGAUCCUAAGUUUCCAAUUUCUUCUCACCGACUUUGAUAGAUGACUCUUCUAAGUUCAAUUCAGUUGUUCGCCUCCUUAAUUCAUCUGAUAUUUCUUUAUCGGCCUUAACCGCCGAUCUCACCAUAUUUUUCGUAUCGGCUUUAACAGCCAAUUUUACCACAUCAUCAUUACGGUCAUUUCAACCGCCUUCCUAACUUUUUUGUUAUUGGCCUAUUUGGCGGAAUCAUUUCAUAAUCGAUCUCGUUGGUCGGCUCCCUCAGCCGAAGCUUCUCUAAAGCUUCGGUUUCUAAUCUUUGAUGUUCCAUUUCAACCAAUUUGGUGGCUCCUCGGCUGCCACCAUAGCUUCAUAUUUAGAGAAAAUCAACUGUACUCCCUCUUCAGUAACUCUCACAAAAGAGUCUGGAUCAGCAUUGGCCCAAUUGAUGUGGCCGAUUUCUCCCGCGUUGAUGUCCACCAUUUGGGGCCGCCCUUCGGCCCGGAUUUCUUCGACUUUUUCUCCAAUCCACUGGAAUAGUUUUCCGUGGAGUGUGGAAGGUACGAACUCGUUUGCGUGGAUCCAAUCACGCCCAAGUAGUAGGUUGUAAUGACUAUCUACAUCUGCCACAAAAAAUACAGUUCGUAGAGUUUUAGAACCUACCGUAAUCUCGGUCGUGAGCACCCUUCGAGCUUGUUGACCGCUUCCAAUAAAGUCUGUCCUAAUUGUAUCGGCGGGCUUCAAUUCGUUCUCGCCCUUGCCUAACUUUCUGACCAUUUGGGGUUACCCUUCGACCCGGAUUUCUUCGAUUUUUUCUCCAAUCCACUGGAAUAGUUUUUCGUGGAGUAUGGAAGGUACGCACUCGUUUACGUGGAUCCAAUCACGUCCAAGUAGUAGGUUGUAAUGACUAUCUGCAUCUAUCACAAAAAAUGCAGUUCGUAGAGUUUCAGAACCUACCGUAAUCUCAGUCGUGAGCACCCUUCGAGCUUGUUGACCGCUUCCAGUGAAGUCAUAAUUGUAUCAGUGGGCUUCAAUUCGUCCUCGCCCUUGCCUAACUUUCUGAAGAACGAAGUGGGCAUGACGUUGACCAUUGCUCCACCGUCCACCAUGACUCGGCCUACUGGCUGACCUUCGAUCAAGGCCCGAAUGAACAGCGGCCUCACAAAUCUUGUCUGCAUGGCCGAAAGUUUUUCGAAAACCACCGCAUCGGCCGGUUUGGCAUCCUCUAAUUGUAAUUAAGCCACAAUGAGCCCAACUUCUUCAUCAACUAUCUCCUCGUCAUAUUCAAUAUACUCUGCUUUGAAAGAUUGUGGCAGAGUAUAUACUAUAUUGACAUCGGCUAGUCCUUCGUCAGCCGAUUUCGAUUGUAUUCUUUGUUUUUUUUCUUCAGACUCCUUAGCCGUCUCGGCUGAGGAGUCACUCUCCAUCCGUGCCACCCUUUCCUUAGGAAGUCAUCUCUCUCUCUUGAUUAUUGUCUCGAUGGAGGCUAUUUUGUCCUCUAACUCCCUCCUAGUCAUCUUCUCCUCUGGUUCGGCCGUGGUUGGCCGUUCUAUCUUCUAUUUUAACCAAGGGACGGGCGAUGAACCACCCGCCUCAUGAACGUUUCGCAUCGGCCAAAAAGGGUGUGGUGGCUCAUUAGGUCGUCUCCACACGUUCAGCCUCAUCCCUUUCGCCUCCUCAUAAUGUUGUCUCGCCUCAGCUUGCAUCCUCUGCUGCCGGCGCUUUUGUGUUUUUGUUAACAUCGGCCCUUGCCAUUUGGCCAAUGGUUUGAUUUCAACUUCAUGCCACUGAUCUACCGGCACAUUUGCCGGUACUUUCACAGUUCUCAAAUGAUUCUUUAAAAUUUCCUUUCUUUCCCAAGGUCUCGGCCAGGGCUAUAUACCGAGCUCAUUGACUAAUCUCCGACCAAGGAACUCUAUGUCUCCUUCGGUCAUUCCUUCGAAUUCUGGUUCUAGUCUCGGCCUGGCUUGAUGUUGCCAGUGCGGCCGGUACCCAGGAAAUCUCUGCUUUGAACCAAAUAAUUUUUCUGGAUAACUCCAUCGGCUGUGAUGUUCCUUUCUUCUACUAUUGUAAUAAUCGCNGGUUCUAGUCUCGGCCUGGCUUGAUGCUGCCAGUGCGGCCGGUACCCAGGAAAUCUCUGCUUUGAACCAAAUAAUUUUUCUGGAUAACUCCAUCGGCUGUGAUGUUCCUUUCUUCUACUAUUGUAAUAAUCGCGCAGGACUUUAUGCAUCAAUAAGUCCUUCUUGUUUUGAACCGAAUCAAUUUCCGGUUCAGACUCAUUGGAGGCUUCGUCUGAGCCAUCCUCCGACUUGUCAUCUUCUUCAGGAAUCUCUUCCCAUUCCUCCGGAAAGGCCAUCAUCUUUUUCCAUUCGUUGCUUCUUUUCUUGUCGUUGAUGAUGACUUCCCAGUCCUUCUUUGUCAUCUCGGCUUUGCACCUUAUGCAAAGCCUAAGCGUCCUCUUGACAUAAGCAAUGUUUUUAGCGGUCUUCUUAUCUGCAACCGCUUUUCCUUUGGUGUCCACCAUAUUAACCUGCGAAGGAAAUGGAUUCUUGUCAAUUUUCAAAUUUUUAUUUUCUUGGUCGGCAAAUAUGAGCCGACCCUCAUUUAUCUCUUUUUGAAUCUGCCUCUUAAAGGCAGUGCACUCAUUUGUUUUAUGGCUCCAUGAAUGGUGCCAUUUGCAAUAUCUUCUUCUUUUUAAUUCUUCUACAGGAGGUAUAGUUUGACCCUCCUGCAGUUGAAUUCGGCCAUCUUUUAGCAACCGAUCAAAAUUAGAUUGAUCUUUGAUACAUCAAACGAAUAUGUAUAUGCUGAAAAGCGCGCUUUUGCCUCACUUGAUUUAGCAGGCUUUAGCAAGGCACAUUUAUAUGGCUGUCGGUUUUUAACCAUCUUGGCUGCAUAUAUUUUAGCUUCAUCAGCCGAAUGUUUAGCCUCUUCAGACGAAUUCGGCUCUUCAUGAGCCGAAGAUUCUUUAAGGAAAGAAAUGUUUUUCUCUUUCCAUUUGUUCCACUCUUUGUUUCGGCUCCAUCUGGGCCGAUCCUCAUUAUUUCCUCUUCGGAAUUGCUGAUAUUGAGCAACCCGAACUCCCAAAUCGAAAAGAUUUGGAAAGUACUUGUCUUCAAAAUGAUCUUUAAUUUUGAAAUGCAAGCCGUUAAAUGCCAUUUUGGCAAAUUUCGACUUUGGCAUUCUCACAAAAUAACGGCUCCUAGCAGUCUUGAAUCGGUUCAAAUAUUCUUCAACCGAUUCACCCGUCCUCUGUUUAAACUGAGCCAAAUCAGCAACCGAUAAUUUCGGUUCUGAUCUAUAAAAUUGUUCAUGGAACUUUCCUUCUAAUUCGUCCCAAUCUCGGACGGAAUUAGCCGACAGACUUGUAUAUCAAGUAAAAGCCGUUUUUGUCAAAGAAGUGUUGAAAAACCUCAAUUUCAAAAAAGGAUCUGCCGCAGCUUCUCGGCAUUGUGCCGUGAACCGUGCAACAUGUUCGACCGUAUUUUCGGUCUCAUCUCCAGAAAAUUUAUCAAAUUUCGAUAUUUUUCAGUUUGCCGGGUAUGGAUGCUCUGCAUCUAUAAUCGCAGGAUACUGUGAUCUAAACACAAGCCGCAUUGCCGGCCUUGCACCUACUCCGAAAGUAUUUUGGAUGGCUUCUUCUAUUUGCGCAUAUAUUUCAUUAUUGUUCCCUAAUACGGGAACUUGGGCUUGUGCUGGAUUCGGUCCUUGCGGUGGUCUGAAAUUUUGUGCUAUAGGAUUCACUCCCUAGAUAUUUGGGGCUUGCCCUUUAGCCCCUAUAUUUUGGGGUUGGUAUGCUACUACUGGUGGAGGAGGUGGUAACCCCCAUGCUAUCUCCGGUUGCUGACCGGCAUUCCCAACAGCCGGCCUAUAAGCCGCUUGAAAUGGUGUCCCCUGGUAUUGGGGUUGACCAUUUACCGGUGUUACAGGAUUUUGUAACACUGGCGUAAUUACAGGCCCUUGUAGGCCUGCUAUCGGUUGCUCAUUGCGAGUUAAUAAUUGCUCUAUUCGGACAAUAUUCUCGUUAGAGCCCGUAAUCGCGGCCAAUACUGCAUCUAGUCAUGCAGUGCUAGCAUGGCUAUUUUGGUCUAAAACUUGUAGAGCCCGUGUCAUUUGUCCGAGUGUCUGAGCCAAACUAGUCUCUUGCUGGUCAGAUUGACCACUAGUCUCACCCUCGGCAGGUAAGACUGCUUGGCGUUUUGCAGCAUUUUUCGAAUUACUGGGCUGAUCGCUCCCAGAACUUCUAGGAACGGCCCUAUUACGUAGAUUCAUGGCAUUAUCAUCAGCCAUUAUAUCAACAAAUAAUAAAAAUUACCUUAAAAAGUGUCCCACCGGGCGUGCCAAAAAUUAUUGCGUGCCGACUUCCCUGACCCUAAACCCGGUCAAAGAUCCUCCUCGAGGAGCGUGUCGAUAUGAAAACGGCUUCGGAUAGUGACCCUCGAAGUUUGCAUCCUUCAAUUGAUCAAGCGAUUCGGCUGACGAGGGAUCGAAUCAGCCGGGUUUGAAACCUCUGCAGUAAAUUCGGUUCGGCUGGAUAUGCCGAAUGUACGUACCAAACAAGAACUAAGGUCGGCCGAAGAGCCAAAUGACUAAAGAAUACAAGAAUUGGUCGGCUUGAAGAGCCGAAUGCCUUUAUAUUAAUUGGUGAAAAAUACAAGAUUUGAGUGUGUCGGAUGGCAUGCAGACUCGGUUGAUCUACUUAAUGAACUACUCCUAGGAAGAACAGUAAAUGCGGGGAACUAAAAGUUACAAGUAGACUACUCCUAAAAAAUGCGAGAAAAUGCGAGGAAAUAAGGGUGGUCUUUUAUUCACAGGAAAAAGACCCUUUUUUAGGGCAUUAUUGACCUAUUUAUAGAUCGCCCCUUGUGAUCAGUUAUUGCCUAUACAGGAUCGGCCACUAUUCCUGAUUCUCCAGACCACUUUCAGCCGAUCGGAACCACUUGCAACUGCUUGCGGUUACUGUAACUUCCUUUAAAUCGUGCGGUUUAAGAUCCUUCCGAUGCUCCCAGUGCAUUGCGAGUCAAUACAACUGAAUGGAGUACCGGUGUACCAUAUGUCCGCGCCUUAUUGGCUUAACAGGUGCAUCGGGAGUAGAAAAAAAAAAAAGAAUUACAGCAUAAUCGUAAGGCAUAACCGCAAGCGAUUUUGAGUAGAGAUGUCAACGAGUCGGAUUCGGGGCGGAUUUUUAAAAACCCGAAUCUAAACCCGACUCCAAAUCCGAGACCCGAAUCCAAACCCGAACCCGACGGAUUUUAAAAAUCCAUAUCCAAAUCCGAACCCGACCAAAAAUCCAAAACCCGAACCUAAACCCGAAAAUUUGAACCCGAAACAAUUAUUUUUUUUUUCAAUAUUUCAAAAUAUAUUAUAUUAAAUCUAAAUUUUUAAAAUACAAAUUCAAAUAUAACAUCAAAUUUAUAUAUAUAUGUUAUAUAAUACAAAAUAAAUUCGGGUUCGAGUUGGGUUUGGGUCGGGUACAGUCAAAAUCCACAUCCGAAUCCAUAUCCAUUUAGCAUCGGAUAUAUCAAUUUCAUUCGAGUUCGGAUUCGGAUAAAAUUUCGGAUAUCCAUAUCCAUUGACAUCCCUAGUUUUGAGCGGUUAUGAUCGGUUCGUAGUGGCCCAUAAAAAUAGGAGAGAGGCCGAUCGUGUACAUAACUGCACAAUAAUAAGCGGAAUAUAAAGAGGUGAGUAACGCCUUGUUAUGAGCCAAAUUCCUCCACCGUUGACCUGGUCAAAGGCCUUCAUAGGGAACCGUGCAGGAACUAGAUCCGGCUUCAGAUGGUGACAAGCUUGCGCCCUCCGACGGAUCAAACGAUUCGACUGAUGAGGGAUCGGAUCAGCCAAGUUCGAAAACCCUUACUAUAAAAACAAAUUUGGCUGAAUGAGCCGAAUAGAUGAAAUACACAGUAAUUGGUCGGCUGAAAGAGACGAAUGCCUUUAUAUAUUGGAAUUAAAUAUGCAAACUUGUACAAACGCUAGUGUGCCUUCGGGGCAUACAGACUCCGGGAAUCUUACUUAGAACUACUCCUACGAAAAGCAGUAAAUGCGGAAAAAGGAAAAGAUUACAAGUAGACUACUCCUACGAAAAGCAAUAGAAAAUGCAAAGGGGAUAAAAGUGGUCUUCUAUUCUUGGGAAAAAGACCUCUCUUUUGAGCGUUAUUUGCCUAUUUAUAGUCCGCCCUUACUGUUCAGUUAUUGCUUCAUGAUCGGCCACUUUUCUAUUUUUGCGGGCCACUUCAAGCCGAUCAAAAUCACACAUAACCGCUUGUAGUGAUACCUUGCGGUUAUUGCUAUUAAUUCGCUAAUACUCCUGGUGCACCAAAAACCCCCUUUAAUUCUGGCUUCUAAAGAUCUAGGCUGAACCUUGCACCGAUAUGCCACAUGGUGAUUUAUUAUUAGCCCUAACAAUUCCUCCCUCGGCAGCUUCCGAACAGACGAUUCGGUAGCUGACGUGAUCUUCUCCCGAGGUGCGAUUUUCGAAAUAGUCAUUUCGAAUUCCCUUGUAUGAUUUUCUUCUCAGCCGUCCUUUCUCCUUCGACGGUCAUGAUCUCCACAUUCCUUUUGUCUUAUCUGCAAUAUUAAUUAGGUCAUAUUAAUUGCUGCCAUCUCUUCAUCAUUAGAGCCAGCCUCGAAAAUCGAUUCGACAGCUUUUCUCUUCCUUAUUCUCCAAGCUUCUUCCCCUUUGCUUUGCUUUUCUUUGGCCUGAACCUUCAUCUUCUUCACCCCCAUCUUCAACCUUCUCAUCCUCGAUUUUUUAGGAUUUUUCUUCGUCGUUUCUUUUCUUUUCUUCUUAAAAAUGGCACCACUUCCGCCUCUUCCUUCUUCCUCAUCUAUUGAUUACACACUACUUCGACAAUUCGUCCUGUCAGACCCCACUCGAUUUCUUCUAGGGCCUUCCUUCACUGAUGAUCCUGCUCCUGAAGAUUCACCCUUCUCAGUUGAAGGCCUUCUUUUAAUGGCUAACGCCAUUCAUCUUUCUUCUUGGUAUACUUCGACAACUUCUAAGUCGUCUGGAAAAAAUCUUCGAACAUGGACAGGUGUUUCAGAUGCUUACCUAGCCUAGUUAAACCGUGUCGAGGUUGCGUAUGCUGACCUUUGGCGCGAAGUCAGAGUUUAUGAAGCUAUUCAACUUUCCAGAACUCCUCCUAUAACCGACAACCUCCUUUGGGUUGCGGUUCUUUGCUUCUGGUCCCUUAUUUCCAAUGUCUUUCUUUUCAGAGUUGGGCCUUUCACCCUUACUCUUCUAGAUGUGGCGGUGAUUGUGGGCUUACGCCGCCGCGGCAUUACCCUUUCGAUGGCCUAUAACCCUGAUGGUGUAGUUGAUUUUGAGGCCCACCUUGAUUUGGCUGACUUAGCUUAUACUAAAUUCAUUUGCUGAUUUGCUGGUCAAUCUACUACCCCUGUCUCUAAGAAGGAACAUACAGCUUUCCUUCUUCACUGGUUAUGUCGCAAUCUUUUCUACACUCGCUCGCAAAAGAUUAAUCGCAAUUUUGUUCCCAUCACCGUUGCUUUAGCCAACGGCGAAAAGUUAGCCUUAGGUACUUAUUUUCUUUCCUUUGUUUAUAGGGAGAUUUUUAAAUCCAUCAAAUCAUUGCCAUCAGGUGGCGUGGUUAUUACUUCAGGAUGUGGUGUUUUGUGGUUUCUGCAGAUGUGUCUGCAAAUUUAUUUUCCCUAUUUGUGCCGAACUCCUUUAGAUUUGGACUCGGCUACUCAGUUUGAUACUUUCGAUUUAGCUCUUGGUUGUCCUAAACCUUUAACUCCUGGUCAACCGAGUAAUUUUUCCCGCUACUUCAAAGUGUUUUAUGAGAAGGAUUUCCGCCUUCAUGUCCACCGAUCCUAGUUUGGGGAACGUACUACUGGUCCCUCAUGGCUCCUGAUUCGAUACGAGGCCAUUAAAAAUCAGUUAGCCUCUUCUCGAGCUAGUGAGUAUGCCGACGUGUGGUUUUCUAUCUUGGCCACCAGAGAUCUGCAUGUCGGCUUAAAGAACCGUUCUAAAUUGACGCCAAGCACAGAGGUUUAUUCUCCUCACUAUGUUGUAGCACACUGGACUUUUGCAAAUUGCGAGGUUCGAGUGUUCGAUUUGUAUUCCGAACUUUUCCACACUUGGUGGAGGGCCGUCGAUGGUAUACCGGCCUAAAAGUUCGAUCUCGAGAGUUUUGGCAGAGUCCUGAGAGUUUUUACUCUCGGGGACCGGUCCCUGAUAGGAGAGACCGGUCCCCCAGUAAUCAGUGCUGCACUGCCGGCGAGGCAACCGGUCCCUGGCUGUCGAGACCGGUCCCCGAGCGCGUCUGCGCGGGGAGAGACCGGUCCCGCGCAGGGAGAGACCGGUUCCCGAACGUUGGAUUUUCGGGGGCAGGCUUAGAGACCGGUCCCAGGUCCGGAAGACGGUUCCCUCUGGGCAAAAACUGCCCAGACGGCUGAUUGAAUUUGAAUUUUUGAGGGACUAAUGGAUUUUGUUGGCUUUUAAUGGCCUAUUUGGCCAUUUCACCCUCUUCUCUCCUCAUUUCUUCCCUUCCACCCUAUCUUAGAGAGAGAAGAAGAGAGGGAGAAGAAGAAGAAGAAGAAGAAGAGAGCAGAAGGAGCUUGCUUGGAGCUUGUGGAGGCAAUCAUCUUCUUCCCCAUUUUCUCACCUUGUGCUUCGAGCUGUGGUUGGAGCUUUGUGGAGAUCAAAACUUCAACCUACUAGGUUUUGAGCCUUAGAUGUGAAGCUCUCUUUGAGGGUUGGUACAGUAUCUCUACUUGAUACAUUUUUCUAGGUUUUACUAGAUGAACCCUAGAUUGGGAUUCAUAGGGUUAGAUUUGGGGCUUUUUGAUUUGAGGGCUUUGAAACCUUUUUGAUGGUUUGGAACCUUUAUAUAGGUUAGAUUGGAAGACCCCUACCUUCCAUUUGAAGAUUAAGAGAGGGUUUUUCACUGAGGUGAGUUUUUUUCCACCCUAGCUUGAGUUGGUUAAUGAUUGAACUUAGCGUCAUUCGUUUCGACUAGAUGACACUUGUUUUCAUACCUUUGGGUACUAGGAGUGUGGUGGACGCCUUCGUCGUGGCAAACGAAAGCUUUCGUUGACGACGGUGGUUUGGCUUCGUGGAAUGGGGCGAAUGGACCUUAUCUCUUUCUAUUUGUUGUAAAAUAUUUUUAAUUCAUUUCUAUGCCUAAAUGGAAUUUAUAUGAAUUUAGAGCACUUAAAAUCAUGCCUUGUGUAUAUAAAAUUUCACUAUAUAGUAGAGAUAUAUGAGUAGAAUGCAUGCAUAUGGGAAAAGUGUUUAUUUGCAAGUGGAAAAUACAUCACUUAUGAUGAUUAUGACUUGGAAUAUGUACUUUGGAACAUAGUUGCCAUGCUCUGACAUAGAGAAACAAGAGUGUCAUCAAGGGCCACUUGAAACUCAGCAAACUAUGAAACUGCACAUAGAGUAUAUUGAUAGGCCACUACUUAUCCGCUCAUUCCAUGUUAGAGACAUGAUGACAUAGGGAUAAGCCGUUGAGAUACUUGACACAUUCAUGUUAUUAGACAUGAGGACUUGGUACUUGCGACAGAUCGUUGCCGACUUGCCAAUUGUGCUCAUUCGCACAUGCUUGUGAGGGUCGCUCCCUACAAGCGGCACUCCGGAGAAAGCCAUCGCGAUUCAUAUUCGCCGUGCGGGAUUGGCGCCGAAGUGGAUUGCCGUGGGACAGGCUCAUUCUAGGUGGGGAUGAUGAACUACCACGGGGGCAUUAGGCUCGGACCGGCCAGACAGCCUACGGGUGAUUCAGGCCAUAGACAGUCUCGGUGGGUCUCUUCAGAUUUACUUUGAGUAAUAUUAUGACAUGGGACAGAUGAUGACUUAGUGUACUAACUUGGACAUUGACUAGAAUAGUAAACAACGGAACUUUACUAUUUCGCAUUGUGACAUUAUGAUAUUGGAGAUUUUACUUCAUGCAUAGUUGCUUCAUACUUAUGCUAAUUAUGCUAAGUAGAGAUAUCAUGUUGUAGUAAGUUACAUUUUUACUUACCUUUCGCUUUUCUACUUUUAUAGUCACUGACAUCUUUUGUAGCUUUGGGCCUCGUGGUGCAUUCACUGAAGUCAGUAAUUGCCCACUGGGAACUAUUUUUAAUAGUUCUCACGCCCCUGUUUUAUGGUUUACUUUUCAGAGCCUUCGGCACCGGCGGAGGCACGGGAUCGCGGCAAGGGGAUCGCUUAGCUAGCUAGCGAGGAGCGGUACUUUGCCUAGGUGGUUUACUUUUUCUUUUUGUAGUUGAGAGAGUAAGAGGUUUUUGUAUCCAUGUAUAGAGACCACCUAUGUAUCUACCUAUAGCACUUGUAUCUGGAAUUUUCUUGUAUCACUUUAUGUUUUAUUUAGUGGAUUUAUAGUUCUAUCCUUAUCCCUUGUUGUAGCAUUUAGACAUUUAUUAUGCUCUGAUACUCCUAGAUGUCUCUUAUUAUUGCUUUUAUUAUUAUUGUUUUAGAUGCCUCAUAUGUUUUAGACGUAUGGCGGGUCUGGGCACGUGCCGGGCGGGCUUCCGCUGGGUCCCAGGGCGUGACAUAUGUGGCGCAUCAAUUUGGUUUGGUUCAGGGAAUUCCGGCUCCAUCUAAACUCUUCACGGCCAAUACUGCUCGCGACCGUCCUCCUACAAAAAGCAACGCUUAAGCCGAUCGCAUUUUAGCACUGGAAAAUCGUCUUGGACGAUUUUUCAAGAUGGUGAGCUUUCAGCCCAAUCAUGCAAGAGUGCUAGACUUUCGUUUCACUCGGAGUUGGAACACCUUUUGCCAGCAACAUUUUUACAAUAUUAUGACCUCUCUUUUUGCCAAGAUUUUUCAUACAGAAGGUAUCUUAUCUUUUGAUUAAUUUGAAUCUUUUUCUUUUUCUUCUUCUUUCUUUUAACUCUUUGCAUUUAAUCCUGGUAUUUCAGGCAAUGAGCCUUUACCCAUUCCACAAGAAGAUGUAUAAGACGAAGACCCUACGAAUUCACCUCGUCCAUCUACGAUAAACUUUACUUUUGUUAUGCUUUCUCUUUUUCUUUGUAUGUAACUAUGUCAUCUGAUACAUAUUGUUUAAGCCGAUUCCUACCAUCCGACAAACGACUGAUGGACUCUAUACAAUUGACUCAGCCGCCGCCACAAAAGUGGCGUAAAACAGUUGCCAUCAGGAUCCGUUCUGCUUCUCCGUCUCAGCCACCAGUACCUGUCGAAGAAUCUCCGGCAAAAGAACCAAGUGUUGAUGUCCCAGUCGACAGGGAAAAAUCGACUCCCCCUAUUUUCGUCGCCCCGAUUUCUUCUGAGGUAACUCAGUCUAUUCAAAUUGAUUCCUCUUCUUCUCAUUCUUCAGCAGGGUCAUCUCCACUAUCUUCCGUCAAAUACACCUCAUCACAAAAAACUUCCCAUGCCCACUUCACUUCAUCCUUGGGCCGAGAAAUGUCUGAUAUUGGACGACAGGCUCGUCGAGAAGCUCGCCUGGAUAGAAAAUGAGAAGCAGAGCGAAAGUGAAUAGAAGCUGCGACGGGUAAACAGGAAAAGAAAAGAGAAAAAAUGAAGAAAACAUCUGCCUCACGGGAACUAGAGAAUGAAAAGAGAGACAGAGAAGAGAGUGAAAAAGCAAAAAUCCCGAAGAAAAGAAAUGAGGAAGGAAAAGAACAAGAAAAAGAAGGACAACAGAAGAAUGAUGAAAGAGAGGCGGAAAUAAGUACGGUUCCUCCUUCAAAUCCUCCAACCGAGGCCUCAACAUGGGUUCCUUUAUCGAUACCUAAAACAGAGGAUUUCAAUCAAGGAUUGCAUAAAGAAGUAUCAAAAACAUAAAACUACUUGCUAUUACAAGCAUUCAUCCUCAAGGCCCACAUAAUACAAUCCGAUUAUUACAAUUAAUUUAUUUACAAGUUUUCGUACAUCAUGUUCUUUUCAUUUCCCUCUACCCCUAGGCUAUGCCGACUCGGGGUACCGCUAUCUCUGGUCUCUGUGAAAGGCGCUAUCUACGGAGCUACGCCCUUACCUUGCGCCGCCGCGCUGCUCACGUGCAAACCUAUAACACCCCAAAACAACGUGGGGUAAGAACCAACUCCAUGGUUUCCAGUGGGUACGGCCACCCAAGGGAAGAGCUCGACCAAUAGGUCCAAGGAGGCACUGCAACUAACAGAUAUUAUGCAACUAAUAGAUAUUAUGCAUCGCAACAUGCAGUAUGAACAUUAUGCACCAACUAGUAGAUCUAUUGAUUCUACUCACAACUUUGCUAUCUUUAGCUCAAGUCAUCUAGCCUCUAAGGUUCUACUACAUUAGUUCACAAUUCAAGUUCCACUUGCUCAUAAGGUCAUUAUCGCUUUAUCUCUUGCCUUUAUCACUAGCUUAUAAGGUUUCCACUACCCUAUCCAAGCUAUCUACUCGACUCGGCCUCGAGUCAAUCGUUCGCAGACUACCGCGUGCUGGCUGCACCUCAGCCUACCGCCCUCCGUGACUUAGCCCCAUAGCGGCGAAAUCGUCGCACACGCUGAACGGGCUCAAGUCACCUGGCGGCCUAAUCCACAAUCGGCUUAAAUAUCUGGCGGUGAAAUCGUCGCACACGCCCAGCCAUGGUUCAAGCCUUCGGGUGGCGAAGACUGUACACACACCCAAUCCACCUUGUUAUCCAUCUCGGCAACGAAAUCGUCGCACACGCCCUAGCCUUGAUACAGAGGUCAGCACAAGUCCUCGGAUUCCGGAAUCCACUUCCACAGGUCAAGGAUCCAUAUUUAACCCUAUGCUGUUGACCUAUCUAGGUUCGACCCAGAACAUCCUAGUGGCCGCUGUCACUAUGCUCAACAACCUAGGUUUAAUGCCACUCUAGGUUUACUACAUGUCAUAACCUAGGUUCCAACACUCUAGGUUCUGUACCAUUCAUGUCUGACCUAUGUUUAUUAACAUUAGGUUCAAUGUCAUUCCUGUUCAACCUAUGUUCACGACACUAGGUUGGAUGCCACUCACCUAGAUCUAUUUAACUCUAGGUUCAUUCACAACCUAUAUUCUUUAACACUAGAUUAGAUGCCACUCAUGAUUCACCCUAGGUUCAACAACACUAGGUUCGAUGCCACUUGAUCUAUUCAACAUCCUAAAUGCCCAAUGUCGAGUUCUCUACUCACUCUAAAGUCAUCGAUCUAGUUCACAUGCAUAUCCUCACAAUGCUAAUCAUGCAUUCAUGCAAUUAUCUAGCAUUUACAUAUCAUGUUCAUUAUGCAUUCUAGUAUUUCUACAUUAUGUCAUUAACAUGCAUUCUUCUAGUAUUAACUACAUGCAUCAUCUAGCAUUUAUAUGCAUCAACAUGAAAUCACAUUUUACUUAGACAUAAAGACGACCUAGUCGCUUCGGUGAGCACAACCCACCUCGAUUCGCUCUCCGAUUGCUUGUCGACACUUCCAAUCGGCCUCUCGCGGCACUCGGCACCCGGUUUGGCCAGAUCUCGCCAACGCUCAACAACCAUGCGUCGCCUCAUAGAUCCGGGUAUUAAAGGUCUUCAGCUAGACGCCACGAUGCCCGGAAACCAUUUUCAUGAUUUAUGAAAGUCGCCUCGGCCCUACAGGCGGAAACGAAGCUGAAAACCCUUUUUUCGGCGAUAUCUUCUCGUAGGUUCGUCAGAUCGUCGAACCGACUUCGCUAACGCGUCGGAAAACCUAGCAAUUAGGUUUACGGUGUGUCAAUUGAGAUCAAACCCAACUAUUUCACAAAACCCCCUUUUUGGAUGCCCUAGAUGAUCACUAUUGCAAAUACUCCAAAUCGAUCUUCGAUUCAUGCAAUAAACAUCUAUCUAGCAUCAAUGGGUUCUACCAAAUCCAUUUCUAGAGCUUAAGAACAAAACCCUAAAAUUCUACCAUUGAAGAGCUCCAAGAAACUUACCUCUCUAAGCUUGUUCCAAGCACAAGAAGAAGAAAAUGAAGAUGGCUCUCCUCCUCCUUGCCUUUUUCUUCUUCCAUCCCUCCUCCUUGCUUUCUCUUUGAUGAGAGAGAGAGAGCUAUCCUAGAGAGAGAGAGAGCGUUAGGGUUGGGUUGAAGGAGAAAUGAGAGAAAGAGAGAGAGGCAACCCUCUCUUAACCCCCUCAUAUGUCCAAAUUGCAUAAAACCCCCUACACUUCUCACCUCUUGCACAGCCCUGCACUGGGCAGAUUCGGGCUACGGGGACCAGUCUCCCUACGGAGGGACCGGUCCCCGAGGGCAAAUCCUGCGGGCAGAGUCUGUCUGCCUAUUUUCACGCUUACGGGGACCGGUCCUCCCGCUGAGGGACCGGUCCCCGACAGCAAAACAUGUAGGCAGGCUCCUUCCUGCGAUUUCCCACGCAUACGGGGACCGGUCCUCCGGCUGAGGGAUCGGUCCCCGAGAGCAUAAUUCCUGCACUUACAGGAAUUCUCCAGCUUGCUCUCGGAGGCCUUCCUCAAUGCACUUUAGGCCUUCUCGAUGCCUUCGGCCUUUCCGAAGCGUCCCGAACUCACCUUCAAUCAAUUUAGAUCGAAGUUCCGGAUCUACACAUCGAGUUUUCAGGUCUUUACAAGAGUUUACUGGCUUCGAGUCCUAAUUCUAAUGAAGGAGAAGACCUUUCUGCCGUUAUAUCGGCUGACACUCAAUAAAAAUUGAAUGAGUGUUUAAAAUUGUAUAGUUAUGGUCUCCCUUCUUUGACUCGAAACAUAGAACAAUUCGAUCGGCUUGGAGUAUUGUUACUUGAUUUGGCAAACCAACCAGACCUUCCCCCUGCCGGUAAGUAUUUUGUGGAGACUUUGUCAUCUCAACUUUCUUCUUUUUUAUCUCGGCAACAGACUCUUUCUGCCGAGUUUCUAUCCCUAGAUCACUACUUCAAUCAGGUCAACCACUUCAAAAUGAAAAUUCCUGAAGUGGCGGCUCCGAUUACUGACUUGAGCCGAGAAGAUCAAACUUUAGAAAAUCAAGAUGCAGCCGAAUCGGCUUUAGCCUGAACUUCUGAGCGACGGACUCUCUUGCAAGACCAGCUGAAUGUCAAGAAGGAUAAAGGGGUGAAGCUUCAAGAUCGGCUUUCUCAAUUCUAUAAGCUGUAUCCCUUGAUGAAACGCAGGAGAAAAGCAGCUGAUGCUGUACAAGUAUAUUUAGAAACCGAAUGGAAUCAACUUAGAGAUUUAUUAUCUUGAUUCCAUUUUUAAUUCGGCUAUUGGCUGUAAUAUUUUAAUGUUCUUGACUCUAGCUCUAUUCAUCCCCCCAUAUAGAUGGGUAGUAUUCUUUAAAUAUUUUCCAUUAACUGGCUUAUCAUAUUCUGACCCAUCUAUAUUUUGUAAGUAAUAUGCAUUACCUCUUGUGACUUUGCUAACUUGAAAUGGUCCUUCCCAAUUUGGAGACCAUUUUCCGUACGCUCGGUCCUUUCGACCGAUUGGAAAUAUUAAUCUUAACACUAAAUCCCCAAUAGCAAAGGAUUUAGUCUUAACUUUUUUAUUAUACGCACUGCGUACUCGGCUCUGGUAAGCUUGUAAAUGGUCAAGUGCUAUCAGCCGAGUCUCAUUCAUUUCUUCUAGUCUUUCAGUCAUCAAAAUCUUAUAUUUACUUGCCGUUAGUUCCUUUUGUUUUUCUAUUCGUAAAGAAUGAGCUGUUAUCUCGGCUGUGUUGCGUGCCGAAUUCCCUGGUCCUUGACCUGGUCAAAGAUCCUCCUCGGGGAGCGUGUCGGAAUGAAAAACGGCUGUGGAUAGUAACCCUCGAAGUUUGCGCCCUUCGACUGGAUCAAGUGAUUCGGCUGACGAGGGAUCGGAUCAGCCAAGUUUGAAAACUCUCUUAAAGAUUUGGUUCGGCUGGAAUGAGCUGAAUGUACGGACCAACUACAGAUUUGACUCGGUAGAUGAGCCGAAUAGAAGAAACACACACCAGCUGGUCGGCUUGAAGAGCCGAAAGCCUUGGAAAUUAAGCUUGAGGAAAAAUACAAGGGUUCAGUGUGCCGAAUGGCAUACAGACUCGAUUGAUCUACUUAGGAACUACUCCUAGGAAAAAAUAGUAAAUACGGGAAAGUAAAAGUUACAAGUAGACUACUCCUAGAAAAUACAGAAAAUUACAAGGAAAUAAGGGCAGUCUUUUGUUCACAGGGAAAAGACCUCUUUUUAGGGCGUUAUUGGUUUAUUUAUAGAUCGCCCCUAUUGAUCAGUUAUUGCCUUUCCACGAUCGGCCACUAUUCCUGAUUCUUCGGACCACUUUCAACCGAUCGAAACCGCGUGCAACCGCUCGUGGUUGCUGUAACUUCCCUUGAUUUGUGCGGCAGUUUUGCUUAAAAAUCCUUCCGAUGCUCCCAGUGCACGUCAAGAUUAUUACUUUAAAUGGAAUAUCGGUGUACCACGUGUCCGCGCCUAAUUGGCUCAACAAUUGCCCCCUCGGCAGCUUCCAAAGUAACGCUUCGACAGCUGGCGUAAUCCGAGACGCGAUUAUUUUUCAAAUUCCUGGCACGGUUUUGUCUCAACCGUCCGUUUCUUUCUAUUGCUAAAAUCCCGCCAUCGCUUAACGCGAUCCGAGGCGUGGUUCUCGAUCCAAUCAGUUUCAAAUUCUCUGUACGAUUACGCCUCAGUAGCUGGCGUAAUCCGAGGCGCGAUCCUCGAUCCAAUUGAUUUCAAACCUUCUGUACGGUUUAGUUUCGGCCGUCCAUUUCUUUUCUACAGCCUCGAUCUCGCCGUUUAUUUUUGUCUUAUGUGCGGCAUUAAUUAGGUCAUCUUAAUUACCGCCAUCUAUUCAUCAUUAUAGCAGACCUCGGAACUCGCUUUGAUGCGACGAUUCGAUGCGACGACAAUCUUUUCUUCUUAGCCAAACUUCUCAUUCCCUUUUAUACUCAGACCUUGUCUCCUUCGCCUUUUUUUUGCUUCUCUUCGUCUUCUUCGCCCUCUUCUUCAUCUCUACUUUCCAGCCUGGCCUAUUUUCUUCUUCUUAUCGAUUCUUAGGGCUUCUUCUCCCUUCUUUAGCAAUGGCGCUGGUUCCAUCUCUUCCCUUUUCUUCGUCCUUAGAUUAUAACAUCUUUAGAAAACUCGCCAACUCAGACCCAUCUCGCUUCAUUUUAGAUCAUUCUUUUACAGACGAACCAACGCCUAGCGACUCCCCAUAUUCCAAUGAUGGCCUUCCAUUUUCAGCUAGAACUAUCCAGCUCUAAUCUUGGUAUUCAUCAGCUUCAACAGGCAAAAGUCUCCGAACCUGGCCAAGUGUUUCGGAUGCAUACCUGGCCUGGUUAGACCGGGUAGAAGUUACUUAUGGUGACUUUUGGCAGGAAGUCGGGAUCUAUGAAGCUAUUCGGCUAUCUCGGAAGCCUCCUGUAGCCGACAACCUUCUUUUGGCCUCUGCUCUCUGUUUCUGGUCCCCUGUCUCCAAUGUUUUUCUUUUCAAAGAGGACCUCUUACUCCGACUCUCUUAGAUGUACCUGGCAUUAUUGGUUUACGGCCUCAUGGAGUUACCUUCUCCAUGGCCUACAAUCCUGAUGACGUAUCUAACUUUGAGGUUCAUCUUGACCUCGCUGACUUGGCUUAUUCCAAGUUUCUCCGUAAAUUUGCAGGUGAAUCCCCUGCUCCUGUCACUAGGAAGGAACACACAGAGUUUCUCCUAUAUUGGUUGUGUCAUAAUCUCUUCUGUACUUGUUCGCAGAAGAUUAAUCGAGACUUUGUCCCAAUCGCCGUUGGUUUGACUAACGGCAAUAAAUUAGCUCUUGGGCCUUACUUUCUUGCUUUUGUUUAUAGGAAAAUUUUUGAUUCCAUCAAACCACUACCCUCUAGAGAUGGUGUAACGAUCAGUUCGGGUUGUGGUGUUUUCUGGUUUUUACAAAUGUUUUUGCAAAUUUAUUUUCCCAAUUUGUGCCGAAAUCCUUUGGAUACGGGUUCGGCUGCUCAUUUUGAUUCUUACGGGCUGGCUCUCGGCUGUCCUCCGCCACUAACUUCAGGCCACCGCUCUGAUUUUCUCUCUUAUUUUAAGAUGUUUUAUGAAUCUCGUCCUCAUUUUUCCAUUCAUUGGUCUUCAUUUGCUGACCGUGUCAUCGGCCCGCCUUGGCUUCUAGCAAGAUAUGAGGCCUUUCAAGGCGAACUUGCUUCUUCUCGUGCCGGCGAAUACUCAGAUGUUUGGUACUCUUUUUUGGCUACAAGGGAUUUGCACAUUGGUAUGAAAUCACGCUCGAAACUGUUGCCCAGUACUGAGGUUUAUUCUCCUCAGUUCGUAGCGCGUCAAUAUGGAUUUACCCAGACAGUCCCUGCUCCAGCCAAGUUCUUCACGACCAAUACUGCCAUUAAUCGACCCCCUACCAAGAGUGUAGCCGAAGCUGAUCGGAUCUCAGCUAUGGGGAAUCGCAUUCGCCGGUUUUUUAAAUUAGUAAGCUUUAGGCCGAAUUACACCAGGGUGGUAGGUUUCCGUUAUACGGUUACCUGGGAUCAUUUCGCCGAUCGCAUUUUUAGCUUAUCCGCGACACAGGCAUACCGUCAAAUCAUUCACCCAAUUGGUACAACUCUUACAUAUACCUAUUUUUCUUUUCUUUCUUAUAAAUUAAUUUCUGUUUACUUAUCUCCCAGAUAUAGCGGUACCCUCUUCGAUUGAUCCCGCUGCUCCAUUUGUCCCAAAAGAAGAACCGGAGGAUACUUCUGAUAUCCCGCCUCCUUCUUCUGUAAUACACUCUACUUUUCUUUUGAUUUUUCUUUUCUUAGUACAUCAAUGCUUACCUUUUCUUUAUUCACUCUUACUUGCAGUCGUUUUCAAUUUCUCCAUCGGUCCCAGCUUUAGAAAAAGGACCGAUUGAUCCUGAACAAACUACCCCUCCGCCGUUUCCAAAGCGGCGCAAGUCGGUCAUCAAGAGACCACGUUCGCAUUCCCAACAGGCCGAAGGCGCUUCUUCGGCUGAUGUUUUAGAGAAAAGGGCCGAAGAUAUACCUUCAGUUACGAUUCCAGAAGGAAGAGCCAAAGAAAUACCUUCGGCUGAUGUUCCGGAAGAAAGAACCGAAGUAGCACCUUUGGCUAGUGAACAAAGCUCUGUUUCUAACAAGCCGAUUAAGAUUGAGGUAAACCAAUUUAGUUACCUACACUCAAUCCUUUUGUUUCUUUAUCUAUUUAUCAUUUUCUCUUAACAAAACAGUCCUCUCCUGAAAGAGUCUAUUUUGCUCCUUCUUUGAAGACACAGAUGGAUAGGCAACUUCGCAGGGAGGCUCGCCCCAAAAAGAGACAAGAAAUAGAGAGAAAGAGGGCUGCUCAGGAAAUAAGCAAAACACUGCCGACAAGUGAUGCAGCACCACCUCUUUCCACUCCAAUGCCGACCACACAGGGGGAGAAUAUAAGUGCACCUUUAGAAGAGGGCUUUGAAGGAGUACGGACAGUGCCCCACUCGACCCAUAAAGCCUCGACAUCUGCUCUUGAAGACCCACUGCCUGCAAUUCUUCACUCUUUAUUAGUUUCGAGCCCCAAUUCCAAUGAAGGAGAUGAUUCGACUACAAUUGUGAUGUUGACAGACACUCGACAGAAAUUUGAUGAGUGUCUACAAUUAUAUAGUUAAGGUCACCCACCUUUGGCUCAGAACUCAGAACAGUUCGAUCGGUUAUUUGCCCUUUUGCUUGCUCUAGCCGAUCAAUCAGAUAUUUCUUCUGCUGCUAAGUGUUUUAUAGAGACAUUAUCGUCUCAACUUUCCUCUUUUUUAUCUCGACAACAAUCUUUAGGUGCCGAGCUUUUAUCUCUGGAUCAACAUUUUUCAUCAAAUUGAUCAUUUUAAGAAAACUAUCCCUGAAGUAGUGGAUCCUAUUACUGACGUAAGCCGAGAAGAUCAAGCUCUAGAAAACCAAGAAUCGGCUUUGCAACAGUAAAUUUCGGCUGUUAAGGAAGUGCUGGCUGCAGCCGAAUCAACUUUGGCUCAUACUUCUGAGCGUCGGCUCCAACUGCAGGAUCAAUUGAAGUUGAAGAAAAGCGAAGGGAUGAAACUUCAGGAACAACUUCCCAACUCUAUAAUGUGCAUCCCUUGAUGAAACGCAGGAGAAAAGCUGCCGAAACUGCUCAAGCCAACCUAAUAGUCGAAUGGAAUCAGCUAAGGGACUUAUUGUCUUGAUUCGGCUUGUAAUAUUUUAACUCUGAUUUUAUUCGCUUUCCCACAUGGAUAGAUAAUACCUCUUUAGAUAUUUUCCAUUGAUCAGUUUCUCAUUUUCCAACCCAUCUAUAUUCUUUAAGUAAUAUGCAUUUCCCUUUGUAAUUCUGCUAACUUGAAAUGGUCCUUCCUAAUUUUGAGACUAUUUUCCAUAUGCUCGGUCUUUUCGAUCGAUUGGAAAAAUUAACCUAAGAACCAAGUCACUAAUUGCAAAGGACUUAGGUCUUACCUUUUUAUUAUAUGCACCGCGUACUCGGCUUUGAUAAGCUUGCAAAUGGUUCAAUGCCAUCAACCGAGUUUCAUGAAUCUCUUCCAUCUCUUCAUUCAUCAACUUACUAUAUUGAUCAGCCGACAGUUCUUUCUGUUUCCCCACUCUUAACGAAGGAACUGUUAUUUCGAUUGGUAUCAUGGCUUCGUGGCCGUAUACUAAUUGAAACGGUGUCAUCCCCGUUGCCAUUUUUACUGAAGUUUGGAAUGCCCAUUGUAUUUCGGAUAGUUUUUCAUUCCAUUUCCUUGAAUAUUUUCCAAUAUGCCACUUCAUAAGAUUUAUAAUUACCUUAUUUGCUGUCUCGGCUUGUCCAUUGGCUUGGGCAUAAUAAGGUGACGAAUGGAGUAGCUUAAUCUUUCGAGAUUCAACGAACCGAACAAACUGUCCUCUUGUGAACAUUGUUCCUUGAUCAGUUGUAAUCGUAUCGGGAACUCCAAAACCAUGAAUUAUAGAAUCUUCAACAAAAUCAAUGAUUUCUUUUUGAGUGAUCAACCGAGCGGGUUUUACUUCUACCCACUUGGUAAAAUAAUUAACAGCCACUAUAAAAAACUUAUGACCAGCCGAAGAAUUCGGCUGAAUUUUUCCAAUUAAAUCCAUAUCCCAUCCUCGGAAAGGCCAAGAUUUAAUUAUCGCAUACAUCUCAGAGGCAGGAACCCUCUGUAUUGAGCCAUGGAAUUGACAAUCUCGACAACCUUUAGCAUAUUCUAUGCAAUCUUGAUGCAUAGUAGGCCAAUAAUAUCCUAAAUGCCGAAUGGUCCAUCUUAGUCUUUUUCCUGCUAAAUGGGCUCUACACAAACUUUCGUGUGUUUCUCCCAUCACUAAUAGAGCUUCUUCAGGCCCUAAGCACUUUAAUAAUACUUUUUCGGCUGUUCUCUUAUAAAGCUGUCCAUUUAAUAAACAAUAGCCGAGUGCUUUUCUUCGAAUAUUAUAAUCGGCCCUUUUAUUGGGGUCUUCUAAAUAUUCGAUUAUUGAUCUUCUCCAAUCUUCUUUCGCCUCUAUGGGGGCAAUAAUCGGCUCUUGAAGAUGAACCGAAGGUAACAAUCUGCGCUCUAUUUUUACCAGACUCUUCUUCGGCUCUUUAUACCCUGAAGCCGAUUGAGCUAAUUCAUUAGCCUUUUCAUUUUCCUCUCUUGCUAAGUGCUCAAACUCAACCUCUCCGAAACUACAAAGUAAUUCUAUCGUCUUUCUCAGGUAACUUUGCAAAUUUUGAUUUUCGCAUCGGUAUUCUCCGUUGACUUGUUUAAUCACUAACUGCGAAUCUCCGAUGACCUUGAGUGAGCGAACUCCCAAUUCUUGUAAGAUUUCAAGGCCAAUUAUUAAGGCCUCGUAUUCGGCUUGAUUAUUGGAACAGCCGAAAUCUAAUUCAAAAGCAAACUGAUAAGUAUAUCCUUCAGGAGACUGUAUAACUACUCCAGCUCCCGCGGAUUCGGCUGUUCUUGAGCCGUCAAAGUAAAGCAUCCAAGGUUGACAGCCGAUCAAAUUUUGCUUCGGCUCUUCAAUUUCGACACAUGGAUGAUCAGCUAGAAAAUCAGCUAUCGCUUGCCCUUUAACAGCUUUUGCUGGAACAUAAUUAAGAGAAAAUUCGGAUAAAGCCAGUAUCCACUUUCCGAUUCAACCCCUUAUCACUGGCUUAGAUAACAUAUACUUCACUAGGUCGGUUUUGCAUACUACCGACACUUCGGUUGGUAAAAUAUAAUAUCUUAAUUUUGUACAAGCAUAAUACAAGGCUAAACAUAAUUUUUCGAUUACCGAAUAUCGUUUUUCGGCAUCUAAUAAUUGCCUAUUUAAGUAAUAAAUGGCAUGUUCUUCUUUUUCUUCAUUCUCUUAGGCCAACAAGCAUCCUAAAUUUUCCUCUGCAGCCGAAAUAUAUAGUUUCAUCAGCUGUCCUUGCUUAAGAGGCAUAAGGACCGGAGGAUUUGAUAAAUAUUUCUUUAUAUUUUCAAAAGCUCCUCGUUGUUCCUCUGCCCAAAUAAAUUCUUCUUUAUUUUUAUGCCGAAGUAAUGGAGUAAAGACUCCUAUUCUACCGGCCAAAUUUGAUAUGAAUCGCCGCAAAUAAUUGAUUUUUCCCAAUAAACUCUGUAAUUCUUUUUUACUCUUUGGUGGCGGUAAUUCCAAUAUAGCUUUCGCCUUGUUUUUAUCAAUCUUGAUCCCUUUUUUGUGCACCAGGAAUCCCAGGAAAUUAUCUGGCGAAACUCCAAAAGCACAUUUCAUAUGACUCAUUUUCAAAUUAUACUUUCUCAUCCUUUCAAAAGCAAGCCUUAAAUUUUCCCAAUGUUCGGCUUGUGAUUCGAAUUUCACCACUAUAUCAUCGAUGUAGACCUCCAACAUUUUGCCGAUCAAAUCAUGAAAAAUAAAAUUCAUUGAUCUCUGAUAAGUAGCUACGGCAUUUUUUAAAUCGAAUGGCAUGACUACCAACUCAAAGGUCCCAAUAGACCCCGGGCAUCUGAAAGCCGUUUAGCUACAUCUUCUUCGGCAAUAAAAAUUUGAUUAUAAUCGGCAUGUCCGUCCAUAACGGACAGGAUUUCAUUACCGGCAGCCGAAUCUACUAACAUAUUGGCUAUUGGUAUUGGAUACUCAUCUUUAGGUGUAGCCAAGUUUAAGUUCCUAAAAUCAAUGCAAACCCUAAGUUUGCCAUUCUUUUUUCGUACUAGAACUAUAUUGGAUACCCAAUCAACAUAACGAGCCGCUCUAAUAAAACUGACCUUCAAAAGAUUUUCAAUUUCAUUCUUAAUUUGAAGUACAAUACUCGGCUCAAACCUACGAGCCGGCUGUUUGUAAGGUUUGUACCCUUUUUUAAUAGGUAGCCUAUGUUCUACAAUUUUUUGGCUUAAACCUGACAUUUCUUCAUAGCUCCAGGCGAAGCAGUCCUUGUACUCCAAAAGCAAUACUUUCAGCUCCUCCUGUUGUUGAGCUGAAGGCCUGGCACUAAUAUAAGUCGGUCGCUUAUCUUCGUCGGAUCCUAAGUUCAAAUUAGUGGAUCCUGAGUUUCCAAUUUCUUCUCAUCGACUUUGAUAGGCGAUUCUUCUAAGUUCAAUUCGGUUGUUCGCCUUCUUAAUUCAUCUGAUAUCUCUUUAUUGGCUUCUAGAACCGAUUUCACCAUAUCAUCAUCGGCCAUUUCGACCGUAUUGUUGCAUAUCACUUCAUCAACCUGAUGGGCCGAAUCACUCACAUAGUCGAUCUUGUUGAUCGACUCUUCUUGUCGAAGCUCUUCUAAAGCCUCGGUUCGUGAUUCUUGACAUUCCAUUUUAACCAGCUUGGUGGCUCUUCGGCUGCCACCAUAGCUCUUUCAUCUUUCGUGAGGAUCAGUUGUACUCCUUCUUCAGUUACCCUCACAAAGGAUAUCUGGUCCGGGUCAAUAUCAGCCCAAUUGAUGUGGCCGAUUCCUUCUGCAUUGAUGUCUACUAUUUGGCCGCCCUUCGGCCCGGAUUUCUUCAACUUUAUCUCCUAUCCAUUGGAAUAGCUUUCCAUGGAGUAUGGAAGGUACGCAUUCAUUUGCGUGAAUCCAAUCUCGCCCGAGUAGCGGGUUGUAAUGGCUAUCUGUAUCAACCAUAAAAAAUGCAGUUCGUAGAGUUUUAGAACCUACCGUAAUCUCGGUUGUAAGGACUCCUCGAGCUUGUUGACCGCUCCUGGUGAAGUCGGUCAUGAUUGUGUCGGUGGGCUUCAACUCGUCCUUGCCCUUGCCCUAUUUCCUGAAAAAUGAAGUGGGCAUAACGUUGACCAUUGCUCCACCAUCUAUCAUGACUUGGCCUACUGGCCGACCUUCUAUUAAGGCCCGUAUGAACAGAGGCCUCACAAAUCUUGUCUGCAUGGCCGAAGGUUUCUCGAAAACCACUGAAUUGGCCGGUUUGACAUCUUCUAGUUGCAAUUGAGCCACUGCGAGCCCAAUUUCUUCAUCCACAAUCUCCUCAUACUCAGUAUACUCUGCUUUAAAAUCUUCCUCCUUUCCCAGGGUUUCGGCCAGGGCUGUAUGCCGAGCUCGUUGACUAAUCUUCGACCAAGGAAUUCUAUGUCUCCCUCGGUCAUCCCUUCGAACUCCGGUUCUGGCCUCGGCCUGGCUUGUUGCUGCCAGUGUGGCCGAUACCCAGGAAAUCUCUAUUUUGAGCUGAAUGGUUUCUCUGGAUAACUCCAUCGGCUUUGAUGUACCUCUCUUCUGCUAUUGUAAUAAUCGAGCAGGACUUUCUGUAUCAAUAAAUCCUUCUUGUUUUGAACCGAAUCAACUUCUGGUUCAGAUUCAUUGGAGGCUUCGUCUGAGUCAUCCUCUGACUUGUCAUCUCCUUCAGGAAUUUCUUCCCCCUCCUCCGGAAAGGCCAUCAUCUCUCUCCAUUCAUUGCUCUUUUUCUUUUCGUUGAUGAUGACUUCCCAAUCUUUCUUUGUCAUUUCGGCUUUGCAUCUUAUACAGAGCCGAAGAGUUCUCUUUACGUAUGCGACAUGUUCAGCGGUCUUCUUGUCCGCGGUUGCCUUUCCCUUAACAUCCACCAUGUUAACCUGCGAUGGAAAAGGAUUUUUGUCAAUUUUCAUAUUUUUGUUUCCUUGGUCGGCAAAUAUGAGCCGACAUUCAUUUAUCUUUUUUUGAAUCUGCCUCUUGAAGGUAGUACAUUCAUUCAUUUUAUGACUCCAUGAAUGGUGCCAUUUACAAUAUUUUCUUCUUUUCAAUUCUUCUACAGGGGGUAUGGUCUGACCCUCAUGUAACUUAAUUCGUUCAUCUUUUAAUAACCGAUCAAAGAUUAGAUCGGUCUUUGAAACGUCAAACGAAUAAAUAUGUGCCGAAACGCGUGCUUUUGCCUCAUUUGAUUUAACAGGUUUCAGCAAAGCACAUUUGUAUGGUUGGCGGUUUCUAACCAUCUCGGCUGCAUAUAUUUCGGCUUCAUUAGCCGAGUCAUCAUUUUCUUCAGACGAAUUCGGCUCCUCAUGAGCCGAAGACUCUUCAAGGAAAGAAACAUUUUUCUCCUUCCCUUUAUUCCAGUCUUUGUUUCGGCUUCACCUGGACCAAUCCUCAUUAUUUUUCUUUCGGAAUUGCUCAUAUUGAGCAACCCGAACUCCCAAAUCAAAUAGAUUUGAAAAAUAUUUAUCUUCAAAGUGAUCCUUUAUUUUGAAGUGUAAGCCGUUGAAUGCCAUUUUGGCAAAUUCAGAUUCCGGCAUUCUCACAAAACAACGGCUCCUAGCCGUUUUAAAUCAGUUCAAAUAUUUUUCAACCGAUUCGCCUGUUCUCUGUUUGAAUUGAGCUAAAUCGACAACCGAUAAUUCCGGUUCUGUUCUAUAAAAUUGUUCAUGAAACUUUCCUUCUAAUUUGUCGCAAUCUCGGACGGAAUUAGCCGGUAGACUUGUAUACCAAGUGAAAACUGCCUUGGUUAAUGAAGUGUUAAAUAAUCUUAAUUUUAAAAAUGGAUCUGCCGCAGCCUCUCGGCAUUGUGCUGUAAACCGUGCAACAUGCUCGACCGUAUUUUCGGUCUCAUCUCCGAAAAACUUGUCAAACAUCGGCAUUUUUCAGUUUACCGGGUAAGGAUGUUCUGCAUCAAUGUUUGCCGGAUAAGGAGAUCUAAACACAGGCCGCAUUGCCGGCCUUGCGCCUACUCGAAAAGUAUUUCGGAUGGCUUCCUUAAUCUGUGCAUAUAUUUCAUUAUUGUUCCCUAAUACGGGAACUUGCGCUUGUGCUAUACUCGGUCCUUGUGGUAGACCGAAAUUUUGUACUACAGGAUUUACUCCUUAUAUAUUCGGAGCCUACCCCCUAGCCCCUACAUUUUGGGGUUGGUAUGCUGCUACUGGUGGAGGAGGUGGUAACCUCCAUGCUAUCUCUGGCUGUUGUCCGGCAUUAACAACAGCCGAUCUAUAAGCCACUUGAAAUGGUGCCCCCUGGUAUUAGGGCUGACCAUUUGCCGGUGUUAUAGGAUUUUGUAACACAGGCGUCAUCACAGACCCUUGCAAGCCUGUUGCUGGUUGCUCGUUUCGAGUCAACAAUUGCCCUAUUCGGGCAAUAUUCUCAUUCGAGGCUGUAAUUACGGCCAAUACUGCAUCUAAACGUGCAGUAUUUCUAUGACUAUUCUGGUCCAAAACUUAUAGGACCUGAGUCAUUUGUCCAAGCGCCUGAAACAAACUAGGCUCCUGUUGGUCUGAUUGACCACAGUCUCACCCUCAGCAGGUAAGACCGCUUGGCGUUCCCCAGCGUUAUCCGAAUUCCUGGGUUGUUGAUCGCUGAUCGCUCCCAAAACUUCUAGGAAUGACCCUAUUACGUAGGUUCAUGGAGUUAUCAUCAGCCAUUAUAUCUUGAUAAAUAAAAAAUUACUUUAAUCAGGUCCCACUGGGCGUGCCAAAAAUUAUUGGGUGCCGAAUUUCCUGGUUCUUGACCUGGUCAAAGAUCCUCCUCGGGGAGCGUGUCGAGAUGAGAAACGGCUGCGGAUAGUGACCCUUGAAGUUUGCGCCUUUCGACUGGAUCAAGCGAUUCGGCUGACGAGGGAUCGGAUCAGCCGAGUUCGAAAACUCUAUUAAAGAUUCGGUUCCGCUGGAAUGAGCCGAAUGUACGGACCAGUUACAGAUUUGACUCGGUAGAUGAGCCGAAUAGAAGAAACACACACCAGUUGGUCGGCUUGAAGAGCCGAAAGCCUUGGAAAUUAAGCUUGAGGAAAAAUACAAGGGUUCAGUGUGCCGGAUGGCAUACAGACUCGAUUGAUCUAUUUAGGAACUACUAGGGAAAAACAGUAAAUGCGGGAAAGUAAAAGUUACAAGUAGACUACUAGAAAAUGCAGGAAAUUGCAAGGAAAUAAGGGCGGUCUUUUGUUCACAGAAAAAAGACCUCUUUUUAGGGCGUUAUUGGUCUAUUUAUAGAUCACCCCUAUUGAUCAAUUAUUACCUUUCCACGAUCGGCCACUAUUCCUGAUUCUUCGGACCACUUUCAACCGAUCGGAACUGCGUGCAACCGCUCGCGGUUGCUGUAACUUCCCUUGAUUUGCACGGCAGUUUCGUUUAAAAAUCCUUCUGAUGCUCCCAGUGCACGUCAAGAUUGUUACUUUAAAUGGAAUAUCGGUAUACCACGUGUCCGCGCCUAAUUGGCUCAACAGGCUGAAAAUGAUGUACUAUAAAAUCUUCCACGAAAUCUAUAAUCUCCUUCUGAGUGACCAACCUAGCAGGUUUACUUCUACACACUUAGUGAAGAAAUCAACAGUAACUAUCAAAAACUUAUGACCAGCCGAGGAAUUCGGCUGAAUUUCUCCAAUUAAAUCCAUAGCCCAACCUCGGAAGGGCCAAGGUUUAAUUAUUGUAUACAUCUCGAAAGCAGGGAAUCUUUGCACAGAGCCAUGGAAUUGACAAUCCUGACAUCCUUUGGCGUAUUUUAUACAAUCUUGAUGCAUAGUCGGCCAAUAAUAUCCCAAGUGUCGAAUUGUCCAUCUCAAUCUUUUUUCUGCUAAAUGGGCUCCACACAAGAGCCUUCAUGAAUUUCUCCCAUAACCAACAAGGCUUCUUUAGACUCUAAAUAUUUUAAUAAUACUUCUUCGGCUGUUCUCUUAUAGAGUUGUCAAUUUAAUAGACAAUAGCCGAGAGCCCUAUUUCGAAUAUGAUAUUCGACCCGCAUAUUAGAGUCUUCUAAAUACUCAAUUAAAGGCUUUCUCCAGUCCUCCUGGAUUUCCACAAGAGCAAUUAUUGUCGGCUCUCGUAUAUGAACCGAUGGUAAUAAUCUUCACUCUACUUUCACUUGAUCUUGUCUCGGCUUUUUAUACCCUGAAGCUGAUUGAGCUAGUUCAUUAGCCUGUUUAUUCUCUUCUCUCGUCAGGUGUAUAAACUCAACUUUUCUGAAACUACAAAGUAAUUAUAUUGUUUUCUCCAAGUAAUUCAGCAAAUUUCGAUUUUCACAUCGGUAUUCUCUAUUUACUUGCUUGAUUACUAAUUGUGAAUCACCGAUGACUUUGAGUGAGCGUACUUCUAAAUUAAUCUUAUAAAAUUUCCAGGCUGAUUAUUAAAGCCUCAUACUCGGCUUGAUUAUUAGAACAAUUGAAAUCUAAUUCAAAAGCGAAUCGAUGCAUAUAUCCUUCAGGAGAUUGUAUAACCACCCCGACUCCUGAGUAUUCGGCUGUUUUUGAACCAUCAAAAUAAAGUGUCCAAGGCUAGCAGCCGACUAGACUUUUCCUCAGCUCUUCGAUCUUGACACAAAGAUGAUCGGCUAAGAAAUCAGCUAUUACUUGCCUCUAGACAGCUUUUGUUAUGACAUAAUUAAGAGAGAAUUCAGACAAAGCCAGCAUCCAUUGUCCAAUUCGCCCUCAUAGUACAGGCUUCGAUAACAUAUAUUUUACUAAGUAUGUUUUACAGAUCACUGACACUUCUAUCGGUAAAAUAUAAUAUCUCAAUUUUGUACAGGCAUAAUAUAAUGCAAGACACAAAUUUUCAUUUGCUGAAUAUCGUUUUUCGGCAUCCAACAAACGCCUGCUAAGGUAAUAGAUGGUUUGUUCUUCUUUUUCGUGAUUUUUCUGUACCAAUAAGCACCCUAAAUUUUCUUCUGCAGCCGAUAUGUACAACUUCAUUGGCUGGCCUUGCCUAGGAGGCAUAAGGACUGGAGGAUUCGCUAAAUACCUUUUUAUAUUUUCAAAUGCUUCUUGUUGUUCCUUUUUCCAACUAAAUUCUUCUUGAUUUUUAAGCCGAAGCAAUGUAGUGAACACUCAUAUUCUACCGGCUAAGUUUGAUAUAAAGUGUCGCAAAUAAUUAAUUUUUCCUAAUAGACUUUGUAACUCCUUUUUAUUUUUUGGUGGCGGCAAUUCCACUAUAGCUUUAACUUUAUUUUUAUCAAUUUCAAUCACUUUUUUGUGUACUAGAAAUUCAAAAAAAUGUCCUGCUGAAACUCCAAAAGCACACUUUAAAGGAUUCAUUUUCAAAUUAUAUUUUCUCAUUCUUUCAAAGGCAAGUUCUAAGUGUGCCCAAUGAUCAGCUUGUGAUUUUGAUUUUACAACGAUAUCGUCGAUGUAAACUUCCAACAUUUUGCCGAUCAAAUCAUGAAAAAUAAAAUUCAUUACUCUUUGGUAAGUAGCUCCAGCAUUUUUUAAGUCGAACGACAUAACUACCCAUUCGAAAGUCCCAAUAGACCCUGGGCAUCUAAAAGCCGUUUUAGCUAUAUUUUCUUUGGCAAUAAAGAUUUGAUUAUAACUUGCAUGCCGUCCAUAAAAGACAGGAUUUCAUGCCUGGCUGCCGAAUCCACUAGCAUAUCAACUAUUGGCAUUGGGUAUGCAUCUUUAAGCGUAGCUAUAUUCAAGUUCCUAAAAUCAAUGCAAACUCUAAGCUUGCCAUUCUUUUUCCGCACUAGAACUAUAUUAGACACCCAAUCCACAUAACGGACCGCUCUAAUAAAGCCGGCCUUUAAUAAGUUCUCGAUUUUAUUCUUAAUUUGGAGUACAAUACUCGGCUCAAAUUUAUGAGCCGGUUGUUUGUAAGGCCUAUAUCUCUUUUUAAUAUGGAGCCUAUGCUCUACAAUUUCUCGGCUCAAACCUGACAUCUUCUCAUAAUUCCAGGCGAAGCAGUCUUUGCAUUCUGUUAACAACUCGUUUAGCUUCUCCUGCUGUUGAGUCGAAAGUCUAAAACUGAUGUAAGUCGGCCGCUUAUCUUCAUUGGACCCCAAAUUUACUUCUAUCAAGGGAUCUUGGGUCUCCAACUUCUUGUCGCUGACCUUGAUAGGUAACUCCUCUAUCGAUUCCUUCAUAGUUUUUUGAGUUUUUGAGCCGUUUUCGUCGUUAGACUCGGUUGCUUUCCGAGUCAUAUAAUCUUUAUUCGGCUCAACUGUUGCAUUUGUUAAUUCAUUAGACAUUUCCUUAUCGGCCCCCAUGGCCGAUUUUGUAAUCAAGUUAUAUUCGGCCUGCUUGGGUGUUUUGAUGCAUGCCACUUUAUCGGCCUGAUCAGUCGAUUUACUCCAAUAGCCGACCUCCUUGGUCGGCUUAUUUAGCCGAAGCUUUUCUAAAGCUUCGGUUCCUGACUCUUGGCGUUCCAUUUCAACCAACUUGGUGGCUCUUUGGAUGCCACCAUGGCUUCCUCAUCUUUCAUGAGUAUUAAUUGAACUCCUUCAUCGGUCACCCGAAUAAAGGAAAUUUGAUCUAGAUUGGUCUCGGCCCAAUUGAUAUGGCUAAUUCCCUCUGAAUUAAUAUCCACCAUUUGAGGCCGCCCCUCGGCCCGAAUUUUCUCCACUUUGUCUCCUAUCCAUUGAAAUAGCUUCCCGUGGAGUGUCGAAGGUACACACUCGUUUGUGUGAAUCCAAUCAUGCCUAAGCAACAAGUUGUAGUGGCUAUCUGCAUCCACCACAGAAAAGGCUGUUUAGGUUUUAGAUCCUACCGUAAGUUCGGUUGUGAGCAUUCCUUUGGCCUGUUGACCGCUACCAGUGAAGUCGGUCAUCAUUGUGUCGGUAGGCUUUAAUUCAUCUUUACUUUUGCCCAAUUUUUUUAAUUGCCCAAUUUUUUUAAAAAAAUUGGGCAUGACAUUGACCAUUGCUCUGCCGUGCACCAUUACUCGGCCUACUGGCUGACCUUCUAUCAAGGCCCUUAUGAACAGGAGUCUCACAAAUCUUGUCUGCAUUGUCGAUAGUUUUUUGAAAAACCACAGAAUCGACUGCCUUGGCGUCUUCUAGCUGAAGUAUAGCCACCGUGAGCUCAUCUUCCUCAUAUAUUGCUUCUUCAUAUUCGAUUGACUCUACCUUAAAUGAUUGAGGCAGAGUAUAUACCAUAUUCACAUCGGCUGGACGUUCAUUAUCCGAUUUUUAUUGUAUCUUUUGUUUCUUUUCUUCCGAUCCCCUUGCCAUCUCGGCUGAGGAAUCACUUUCCAUGCAUCCCUCUCUUUCCUUAGGAGGCCAUCUAUCGUGCUUGAUUAUGGUCUCCAAAGAGGCUAUUUUUUCUUCUAACUCCUUUCGGGUUACUUUCUUCUCCAGUUCGGCCGAGAUUGGCCGUUCUAUUUUUUAUUUUAACCAGGGGAUAGGUGUCGAACCACCUCCCUCAUGAUCAUUCCUCAUUGGCCGGAAGAAAGGUUGUUGUUCAUUAGGUCACCGCCACACAUUCAAUUUCAACCCUUUAGCUUCCUCAUAAUAUUGUUUCGCUUCGGCUUGCAAUCUCUGCUGCCGAUGCUUCUGAGUCUUUGUUAAUAUCGGCCUCUUCCAUUUGGCCGAUACUUUUGCUUCGUGUCAUUAAUCGAUUGGCACAUUUGCUGGUACCUUUACUGUUCUGAGAUGAUUUCUCAGGAUCUCUCUUCUUUCUCAACGUCUCAGCCAAGGCUAAAUGCCGAGUUUAUUAACAAACCUUUGACCGAGGAAUUCUAUGUCCUCCUCGGUCAUCCCUUCAAAUUCAGGUUCAGGUCUCAGCUUGGCCUGGUGCUGCCAGUUUGGCCGAUAUUCUGGAAAUCUUUGUUUAGAGCCGAAUGGUUUCUCAGGAUAACUCUAUCGGCUAGUGCGCUCUUCUCUUCGACUGNAUGCCGAGUUUAUUAACAAACCUUUGACCGAGGAAUUCUAUGUCCUCCUCGGUCAUCCCUUCAAAUUCAGGUUCAGGUCUCAGCUUGGCCUGGUGCUGCCAGUUUGGCCGAUAUUCUGGAAAUCUUUGUUUAGAGCCGAAUGGUUUCUCAGGAUAACUCUAUCGGCUAGUGCGCUCUUCUCUUCGACUGUUGUAAUAGUCGUUCAAGACCUUUGGAAUUAAUAGGUCUUUCUUGCCUUUCACUGAAUCAACUUCUUGUUUAGAUUCAUUGGAGGUUUCCUCCGAGCCUUCCUCCGAUUUGUUCUCUGCUUCGGGAAUGUCCUCCCACUCCUCGGGAAACGCCAUGAACUCUCUCCAUUCACCGUAUAACUUCUUUUCGUGAAUAAUCGCUUCCCAAUCUUUUUUAGUCAUUUCGGCCUUGCACCUUAUGCAUAGCCGUAGCGUCCUCUUGGUAUGUGCAAUACCAUCAUUAGUCUUUCUAUAUGCAGACACCUUCCCUUUAAUGUCUGCCAUAUUAACCUACGAAGGAAAACGAUUUUAGUCAAUUUUCAUAUUUUUGUUUCCCUUAUCGGCAAAUAUGAGUCGACCUUCAUUUAUUUUCUUUUGGAUCUGCCUUUUAAAGGCAGUACACUCAUUUGUUCUAUGGCUCCAUGAGUGGUGCCAUUUACAAUAUCUUCUCAUUUUCAAUUCUUCUCCGAAAGGUAUAAUUUGACCAUCUUGAAGCUGAAUUCGUCUAUCUUUUAACAACCGAUCAAAAUCAUAUCGGUCUUCAACACAUCGAAAGAAUAGGUAUAUGUUGCCACUCGAGUCUUUGCUUCGCUGGAUUUAGCAGGCUUUAGUACAGCACACUUAUAUGGUUGACUAUUUUUUAUCAUUUUUGCCGCAUAUAUUUCGGCUUCAUUAGCCAAAUUCUCUAUUUCUUCGGACGUGUCCGGCUCAUCUUGAGCUGAAGAUUCUUCAAGAAAAGAAAUAUUUUUCUCUUUCCCCUUAUUCCAUUCUUUAUUUCGGCUCCAUCUAGGCUGAUCUUCAUUAUUUCCUUUUCUAAAUUGCUCAUAUUGAGCAACCCGAACUCCCAAAUCGAACAGAUUCGGAAAAUACUUGUCUUCAAAAUGGUCUUUAAUUUUGAAAUGUAGACCAUUGAAUGUCAUUUUGGCAAAUUCGGAUUCUUGCAUCCUCACAAAACAAUGGCUUCUUACCAUUUUGAAUCGGUUCAAAUAUUUCUCAACCGAUUCCCCUGUUCUUUAUCUAAACUGGGCCAGAUCAGCAACCGAAAGUUCCGACUCUGAUCUAUAAAACUGUUCAUGAAAUUUUUUUUCCAAUUUGUCUCAAUCUCGGACAGAAUUGGCUGGCAAACUCGUAUACCAAGUAAAUGAAGUCUUGGUUAACGAGGUAUUAAAUAACCUAAGUUUCAAGAAAGGAUCGACCGCAGCUUCUCGACAUUAAGCCGUAAACUGUGCAACAUGUUCGACUGUAUUUUCAGUCUCGUCAGCCGAAAAUUUGUCAAAUUUCAGUAUUUUCCAGUUUGCCGGAUAGGGAUGUUCCACAUCUAUAUUUGCAGGGUAAGGGGAUCUGAAUACAGACCGCAUUGCCGGCCUCGCUCCGAUUCCGAAAAUAUUUCGGAUGACUUCCUCAAUUUGGGUAUAGAUUUCAUUAUUGUUCCCUUAUAUGGGAACAUGAGCCUAUGCUUGAAUCGGGUUCGGUCCUUGUGGUAAUCCAGCGUUUUGCGCUGUAGGGCUAACUCCCUGCAUAGCAGAAUUCGAGGCUUGCCCCCCAGGUCUAGCCCCUACAUUUUGGGGCUAAUAUGUUGCCAAUGGCGGUGGAGGAGGUAAACCCCAGGCUAUCUCCGAUUGUUGACCAGCAUUUAAAACAGCCGGUCUAUAAGCCACUUGAAAGGUGCCCCCUGGUGUUGAGGUUGACCACUCACCGGUGUUACAAGAUUUUGUAAUACCGGUGUAACCAUAGGUCCUUGUAGACCUACUAUAGGCUGCUCGUUUCUUGUCAGCAAAUGCCCUAUUCGAGCAAUAUUCUCAUUAAAGGUCGUAAUUGCGGCCAGCACUGCAUCUAAACGAGCAGUGCUUCUGUGACUAUUUUGGUCCAGUACUUGCAGGACCCAUGUUAUUUGUCCAAGCGCUUGAGCCAAACUUGGCUCUUGUUGGUCAGAUGGACCACUAGCCUCACCUUCAGCUGGUAAAGUUGCUUGGCGCUCACCUGCAUUAUCAAAACUGCUGGCUUGGUCAUUCCCGAAAUUUCGAGGAACGACCCUAUUACGCAAAUUCAUGGCAUUAUCAUCAGCCAUAGUUCCUGUAAGAAAAGAAAUUUACCUAAAUGUGUCCCACCGGGCGUGCCAAAAUUUGUUAUGAGCCAAAUUCCUCCGCCGUUGACCUGGUCAAAGGCCUUCCUAGGGAAACGUGCAGGAACUAGAUCCGGCUUCAGAUGGUGAUCCUUGAAGCUUGCGCCCUCUGACGGAUCAAGCAAUUCGGCUGAUGAGGGAUCGGAUCAGCCGAGAUCGAAAACCCUUGCUGUAGAAACAAGUUCGGCUGAAUGAGCCGAAUAGAUGAAAUACACAGCACUUGGUCGGCUGAAAGAGCCGAAUGCCUUUAUAUAUUGCAAUUAAAUCUGGGAACUUGUACAAACGCGAGUGUGCCUUCGGGCCAUAUAGACUCCGGGAUGUCAGGUCCUAUGUGUUGGCAAGUUUUGUGGGUCGAGUCGGAGUCUUGAAGAAGUUCGGAGCAGAGUAUUGAAGAUCGAAGAAUCCAAGACUUCGAAGAAUCGGAAAGGACGCAAAACAUGCAAAACUUGAAUCACGAUGCGUAGGUAAGUUUUAAAUCUUGUUUAUGGUGAUUCAUACUUAUUUAUAGAUCUUAGAAUCAUAUUUCAAGUUUGUAAUUGAUUAGAAAGUUUUUAAGAGUUUGUAAAACCGAAACAAUGCAUUUUUCACGCGAAAAUUGCAUUGCUGUACCGGACAAGGAUUUUUCUGUCCAGGGUACAGCCAUCAGAGUUGCGCAGAGAAGUUGAUGGUUGUUCUGGUACAACCUUCAUGCUGUACCGGUACAUACAAGCCCGUUCCGGAACAAGCUGAAGCUUAUCCAGGGUACAGGAGCUUCGCAGAAAUCUUCGUCAUGGUUACCCUGGACAGCUUUCCAUUGUUCCGUACAAGGUGCUGAUUUUGGAAAGAAACUUUAUAAUUCUACUCCGUUUUGAAUUCUAAAGUUAAUCGUGAUUCAAGUUUGGCAUGUUUUGGCGUCCUUUCCGAUUCUUCGAAGUCUUGGAUUCUUCGAUUCAUAUACUCUGCUCCGAAUUCUUCAAGACUCCGACUCGACCCACGAAAACUUGCGCACACAAUAGGACCUACCAAUCUCCCCCUUUGGCAAUUUCGUGACAAACACCAUAAACUCACAAAUUAACAAUCUAAAGAAAAACGAAGUUCAAUGUCAUCACCAAAACAUACGAGACUCCCGUCGCGUGUAAUCCAAAUAACAAUUGAAAACUCAAAAUUACAUCAAAACUCCUAAAACACAGACUCUAUGACUAGACACAACAUGAGAGUUCUGAAGUAUCUUGAUUUCUGCAAAACACUUCAUUCAAAAUGAUUGAGCACUAAAUUCAAUACCUUCUCACCCUUUGUUCACAUCUCCCCUUUGUUCUUGAACUCAUCAUCCUCAUGCUUCAGUUCAAUCGGUUCAUCCAUGCUUCCCCCUUCAUCUAAGUUCAUUUCUGUUCAUCCAUGCUCUCCCCCUUCAUCUACGCUCUCCCCCUUUUCGUCAAAAAUUGCCAAAGAAAAGCAAAUAAGAGAGAAAACAUACUUAAGAAAAACAAUGAGAGUAGUCUAGUCUAUAGUUAAAGGCCUAAAACAAAAGUAAAACAUACUACAGAAAGAUAAGAAGGAAAUCUAAAACACGUCGUCCUAAACUCAAAUGCAGUGAAAGAAAAAGACUAAGCUCGACGAAAGAAAUCACUUCCGUGUCCUCAUCCAUCACAUCAUCAUCUUCAGCACCAGCUCCAGAGCCUCCAGCCUCAGGAGCAUCACCAGACGGUGGAAUGAAAGAUGUCUGUGAAGAUGACCGCUGAUACGAAGUAGAAGAUGGAGUAGGUUCCCAAAUAUAUCAUGUCUAACCCAUCUUAUCCAUUCAACCUUUUGAUACUCUAACUCAAACUUUUGAUGCUUGAACUCAACUUUCCUUCCAAUGUUGUUCACCUUUCUUUAACUUUCGGCAAAUCUUUCUAACUGAUUCGAAUGCUCGCUUCCCCCGAACUAGAUGAAGUGUCAUAAUUCCUCGAGAUGUAGGCGGAAGGAGCAGAGCUAGAAGCUGCUCUCGGUGGAGGUGCUGGAUCUAGAUGCUUCAGGAGGUGCUUCUUUGGUCUGCAUGAACUGACUUGAGAGUGCUAAACAGACUUAGCCCAAGUCACUGAGUCAAUAGGCCCAAGGCCAACAUCAUAUUUGUCACAAAGAUGUAUCCACUCCCAUUUGCUUGAAGAAUCCUCGUAAUCAGAACAGGGAAUGGUAGUAGAUGCCGUCGAGUGAACUGAAUUACUGAAUCAUCCUUUGCCAAAUCAGAAAUGGAAUGUUGAUGUUUCAACGCCACGAGCCUCUGCUCGGGAUGACUAAAGUAGAUAUGCAACACUAAUCUACCCAGCGGAUAUCUCUUUGUGCCGAUAGUUGGUUGAACAUUGUAGCUCAUAAACCAAGAUAGCAAGUGAUACUCGGGUAAUAAGUCCUUGGAUUCAAUGUAAACCAUGAGUCAUGUAAACACACGGCGCUUUGCAUAUAGCUCCAAGAACAAUAUCCAGUGUGAGUUGCUGCUUGAAAUCCUCCUAAAGUAUAGAGAAGACCUGAAGUGUCCAACAUGCAUCCCAAGAUCUCUCCAAUAUCAUAGGGAGUAAUGGAAAUCUCCUCUGACGCACAACAGUCUCGAAGAUAAAAGUGCCUGUUUCAUUAUCUUCAGCAAGCACAUUUCCAUUCAUAUAGAACUCGCCUAAAUAAGUUCUACACAGAAAGAGCCUUGUGCAGGACACCGUCAACAGGCUCAAUAGGCGCGCGCGCUGUAAUAAUCGUCCAAAAUCCGGAACCUCCGAAUCAGAUCAUGGAAGUUCACAAAGCGUUCAGCUAUUGUAACACUCCACAUCCCUCGUAAAAUCGUGCCGAGUUCCGUCAAAACGAAUGGAACACGGAAUUGAAGCUGAGUUAAAGUGGACCCCUAAUGCAUUGGAGUUCAUAAACGGAGCAAAAGUGACAACCGGAUGAGCAAAUUUGAAUGAAUUUCUUUUUUUAUUUAAUUCUUUAUUUUUUUUUUUUUUUAUUAUUUUUUUUUUUAUUUUAUUUUUUUUUUUUCCUUUUUGAAUUAUUUAUUUUUUUAUUUUUUUUUUUUUUUUUAUGAUUUUUUUUUUUUUUUUAUAUUUUUUUUUUAGUUUUUUUUUCAAUAAUUUUUUUUUUUAUAUAAAUUUUAUUUUAUUUUUUUUUUGACAUUUUUUUAUUUUUUUUUUUUUGUUUUUUUUUUUUUUUUUUUUUUUUUUUUUUUUAAGUUUUUUUUUUUUUUUUUUUUUUUUUGAUUGAUUUUUUUGUUUUCUUUUUUUGAUUUUUUUGUUUGUUUUUUUUUUUUUUUUUUAUUUUUUUUUUUUUUUUAUAUUUGGAUUUUUUUCUUUUUCUUUUUUUUUUUUUUUUUUUAUUUAUUUUUUUUUNNNNNNNNNNNNNNNNNNNNNNNNNNNNNNNNNNNNNNNNNNNNNNNNNNNNNNNNNNNNNNNNNNNNNNNNNNNNNNNNNNNNNNNNNNNNNNNNNNNNGCAGAGUAUAACGAAUAAAUAAGGGUGCAAGGCUCAAUAUACUAUGCGAUAGUAACAACAGAAGAGCAAGGGUAAGAAACCAUCACAAAGUGUGCACCACUGUACCGACGUCGGAUCGAAGUACCCACCUGUCACAAUAGCGUCAAAAACCUGGGUGCGCUCAAUCAGUAACCGGACCUAUGAAGAUCCACUAGGUUAGUAACAAACCCACAACUCUCGAAUACACAACUCACAAACCCCCACAAAAGAUCCCCGUAAUCGGUUUCCCAAAACCGAUCACCGUAACUCACCGAAAGUCCCGAAAACUACACCGGGACGCCAUCGGGACCCACUAAGUGUCCCGAAAUUCACCGACUCGUGCCACGAGUCACCUGCUGCACCAGAACACUCCGAUUUGGAUGUUUGGAAACAAACACAAGAUAACAACACUACACAAUUAUCACCGGAUAAUUGUACGAAUUCGGGUUCCCGGAAGUGUCUAUUUCGACACCGGAACCCACCGUCGCUCACCCAUCAUCACCGAACCUGCAAAAUGAUGAUGGUGACUAGCCAACAAGGCUCAGCACCACACACAAGACAACCAAACCACGUCAGAAGAAAUCCGAACCAAAACCGCGUUCUUUCGGCGAAUUUCGCCGAAAAACGCACCGAAAUCGACUCUUCGAUUUUCGUAAAAGCUAACGGAUCAUGGACAAUCAGUCCAGAGGUCAAACACACUCAUACACACUGUCCACAGUGGCCCUAGGGUGCACAAUUGCACAAAAGUCCCUCUAAUUACAUAAAAUCCUAUCAUUUUAUGUAAUUUGAGCGAUCAAGUGGCUCGUUCAUGCAAACCGAGGACUUCCAAAGUCCGCAGAGACAUGUACUGACAGGUCUCAAUGUGCCGGAGGCCGUGCUCAUGAUCCAGAGCACAACGGCUCGCUGUGGGAAGCGCGGGGGCAACCCGAAGGUUCAGUGAACAGCGUGCAGCCACGAAAAAAUGCACCGAACAGGGCUAACCGGACACUGCUGAUCCAAGGUAAGGUGAGCACUGUGAUCAGCACUAACCAGCGAUCACCGUGCUCACCUCCGGAGGCAUCGGAAUAGCCUCGGAUCGCCGAAAACGCACGCACAAACCCAGAACAACAGCCAAAAAGGCUCCACAAGGUCGACACCGCAAAAACAGCGGAACGGGGCCUUCCCGACAGAAACCAAGGUGAGCACGAUGACCAGCAACUUGCCAGGAUCAUCGUGCUCCCUUCCGUAGAGAUCGGGGAGGCUCGGGAAGCUUGGAACAGUAAACAUCCCAUAAACAGCCCUAUUUCGGGCUUGGCCAGAGCAAGCUUGCUCCGGCAGACUUCCGGCGGCACGGCGAGGUGCGCCCGGGCCAGGGAUGGGUGCGGGGGAGGUGAGGAGUGAGGUGCUCACCUCAGACAGCGGCGGAGAGCCGCGGCAGCGACGGCAGAGCAAGGCAAGCCCACACAGGCUCAGCUCGGGUUCCGCGGGCAAUGGCGGGCACGGCGGCGGCCGCGAAGCUCCAGGACGGCGGCGGAGGGUUGUCUGAGGCCGGAGGGAUGCCUUGGGUGUGGUCCCACGCGGCGGCGACGCAGGGAGGGCGUCGCGAGCUCGCCUCGGCCCGAGCGGGUCUGGGGCGGCUGCGGCUGGCCGAGGCGGCGACGGCGGCUCGCUGGGGCGGCGGCGACCGGCGGGAAGGGUCGCUGAGGGUACGGGGACGGCGACGGGGAAGGCAAUGUAGCCUCGGCCUGGGCUCCAACCCGAGAGAAAGAGAGAUAGAGGGAGAGGGAUGGAGGAGAAAGCUACAGGGAGAAGGAACCUCCUUCUCCAGCGACCGGCAGCGUGCGCUGGCGACUGGGGCGCACGCCGUGCACUCAGGGAAGGGAGUAGAGGCGGCUAGGUCAGCUAGGGUGAUGCGGCUAGGGCUAGGGUUAGGGUUCCAAGGUGAAAAGCUUAAAUACAAAGCUCCAAUUUGCAGAAAAGCCCCUCAAAACUCAACAUUCAUUCCGAGCCCUCACAGCACGAGUUAAAAUGCACGGAUACCCCUCCAUCAUGCAAAUCUCACGAUGAAACGUACAUAAAAUAUCGCAACUUUUUGCGAACAAUACCGUUUGCCAUUACCGACCUCUCCUCGAUCCAUCGCGCCAAUCUCCGCAGAUCGGUCCGUAGAUUUGGAACGGAUUCACCAGUGCACACAGCCGACGGAGACAACAAAGAUGCGACUUUCUGUUUCACCUCGGAUCGACCACGGAGUUCAUGACAAAAUCAACCUUUCUUUUUCAAUAGAAGAAACAAACGAAAUACAAUAUAAAACAUGUAUUCUUUGGAUUUUCUUGAAUCGUGUGUCAAACUCAAAAUCCGUCAGCGCCAUAGUUCCAGAACACUGAUAUCCGGUCAAACGGGCUAUUGGACCGCCUUCAUGAACGGUAGCGUCCGAUACGAGCCUGAAGCCAACAAUCACACAGUGGCUUCUCCGGAAAUAUCGAGUUUACUAUGUCAUUAUAGUGAAGACUGGAAAUCAGCAGUAGAAUUUUCCGUUUUAACUCGUUUUCUUUCGAAACUUGACGGGUGCUUUUAUAAUUAAAUUACCACCACAAACUCGUACGUCAAUGAGAGUUUAGCUACUACUGCAAAAUUAUCAGUCCUUUUACACUUUGUAGUUGGCAAACUUCUUGAUCUCUGUGUUAUGCUUGAAAUUUUUGACUUAGUGGGGAUAAUUUGGAAUACUAUGUAAUGUUUCGGCUAACAGUUAGUUUGUAUUGGUGAGAUCUUUCUCCCAAAUACGACAAAUGAGAAUAAACACAAUAUAGUUAAAGAAAAUGGUAACAGAGAAGACAUUGUGAGGUAUUAAUUAGAGGAUUCAUUAUAAGUUGAUAAUAGAUAUCAUACCUCAAUAAUAACAGAUCAAAAGGAUCUUGUGCAAGACCUUGAGAUGAAACUUUAUAUUCUUGACAAUAUAAGCACAUGUGGCAAUACUAAAAAGAUAAAGAACUAUUAGUCAAAGUACAUGCUACCUAAGAGCAUUGCUAUAUGUCUCUUAUUUAAUUGAUUUACUAGAGAAUGUUACAACCAUAAACAAUGGAAUUGAAUCGAACUAGUUAGUCUAUAAUGUAAUAGAUGAUGUAAUAGAGGAUGCAUGUAGCAAAAUGGCUCUAUAAUUGCAGCAAAACUUGAAGGUUUGGACUUUAUCAUAUUUCUUUCUUUUUCUUAGUUUGAAUAGCCGAGUUCUACUCUACAUUUCCGCAAACUUCAAGACUAAUUACUAUUUCACUUAUGAUUAAUUAGAAGACUAGAUCAAUUGCAAUUUGAUUGAUUAGUUUAAAUCCCAAGUUUCUGCUUUGAUGCCACUAGUUUGCAUUAUUUUUUGUGACAAUGUAAAGUAAGAAAUUUUUUACUUGUGAUCAGUAGAAACUUAAAACUCAUAUUUUUUACAGUUUUUUUUAUACUUUUUCCUACUAAAUUGUCUGACAACAUUCUUUAAUUGAGUGUAGUUCAAUCUCUUUGUGCAUCAUAUUGCUAACAUUAACCUCAUGGAUAAGAGUUGGAUGAAUAAACCGAGGUCUGUCUCUUAUUAAUUUUUAUUCUAUAAUUUUGAAAUUAUUUUAAUAUCUUAUUUUAUAAAUUAAUUUUUAUUUAAAAAUUUAUAGGGCAAGUGAAAAGUAUCUUCGUGGUGUUUCGGACUUUCUAGAUUUUGCGUUUUUCAAAGCAAGCCAAGAGGGGCUAAUUCUUUGCCCUUGUAAAAAUUGUAGCAAUCGCUUUUGGAACAGUAGAGAAAUUGUUCUUGAGCAUUUGAUUUGUGAUGGAUUUGUCCAUGAUUACACAUGUUGGGUUUAUCAUGGGGAAGACAUUACAUCAUCUUUUCUCGGAUCAGAUUAUGGUAAUUCUAGUGCAUGUGAUAAUAUGCGUGAGAUGCUAAAUGAUGCGUUUGGAUGUUUUGAUGAAAACAAAGAGGAAAUGCCAGCAGAAGAACAUAAUUACAAUGAAAAUCCAAAUGAAGAAGCGAAGAUAUUUUAUAAAUUAGUCAAAGAUUCUGAGCAAGAGUUAUACCCUGGUUGUAAGAAGUUCUCAAAGCUCUCUUUCAUUGUUCGAUUAUUUCACUUGAAAUGCCUCAAUGGUUGGACAAACAAUUCAUUUACUAUGUUGCUCACCUUACUAAAAGAGGCAUUUCCUAAGGGUGAAACACUACCAAAUUCAUAUUAUGAAGCAAAAAAAAUUAUCAACGAUUUAGGUCUGGGUUAUAAAAAAAUUGACGCUUGUCCAAAUGAUUGUCAAUUGUACUAUAAGGAGACCAAAGAUUCAAUAUCAUGUGCCAUUUGUGGUGCUUCAAGGUGGAAGUCAACUGAGAAGAAUGUGGAAUAUGAUACAUCGACAUCUACUAAAAAAGCUAAAAAUAUUUCAGCCAAGAUUCUAAGAUAUUUUCCUUUAAAACCAAGACUUCAGAGGAUGUUUAUGUCAUCAAAAACAGCUUCCCUAAUGAGAUGGCAUCAAGAAGGUCGAACAAGAGAUGGAGUGAUGAGGCAUCCGGCAGACUCCCCUGCUUGGAAAACAUUUGACUUUGAACAUCCCGAAUUUUCGUCAGAUCCUCGCAAUGUAAGGCUUAGGUUAGCAACCUGAAAAAGGCUCAACAGGGUCGACACCGCCGAAACAGCAGAACGGAGUCUCCCCGACAAAAUCUAAGGUGAGCACGAUGAUCAGAAAGUUGCCACGAUCACCGUGCUCCCUUCCGCAGAGGUCGGGGAGCCUCGGGUAGCUCGGAACCGCAAACCUACCUAACUAAGCCCUAUUUCGGGCUUGGCCGGAGCAAGCUUGCCCCGGCCGGCUUCCGGCAACGCCGCGAGGUGCGCGAGGGUCAGCGAUGGGUGCGGGGGAGGUGAGGAGUGUGGUGCUCACCUCAGUUGGCGGCGAGGAGCGGCGGCGGCGACGGCGGAGCAAACCGAGCCCGCACAAGAUCCUGUUCGGGCUCCAAGUGCAGCUGCGGCCACGGCAGCGGCCGGGGCGCUCAAGGACAGCGGCAGAGGGUUGCAGGAGGCCGGAGGGAAGCCGAGGAAGUGGCUCUGGGCAGCAGCGAUACGAGGAUGGAGCCGCAAGCUCGGCUCGGAUCGAGCUUGCCAGAAAACCCGCAGGGCGGCUCUAGCGCGGCGGCGGCCCUCGGGACGGCUCAGGGCGGCGGUGACCGACCACCUGAGGUCGGAGGGGGUGCCACAGGGUGGCCAAAGGUGGUGGCGGCGCGGGGAAGAGGUCGCAGACCUGCCUCGGCCUGGGCUCGGUCUGGAAGGCAGCAGCCGGUUGGUGCGGCUGCGGCGGCGCUCCGGGCGGCUCAGGGCGACAGUGGCCGACUGCCCGAGGUUGAGGAGGUGCCUCAGGGUUGGCCCGGGGUGGCGGCGACGCAAGGGGAAGGCCGCACGGUCAGCUUUGCCUGGGCUCGGCCAAGCUGGGCGCAGGAUGCAGCAGCGGCAGUAGUGAAGCCCAGAGGCGACGGCGGUAGGCGGGGAGGCUUGCCAGGGCACAGAGGCGACACCGGAAGGGUGUAGGGAGACGACUGCAGCCUCAGAUCUGUCUGCAACCCGAGAGGAAGAAAGAUGGCGGGAGAGGGAUGGAGAGGGAAGAGAAAAAGGUGGCUGAGGAGGCUGCGGUUGCUGCUGGCCGGCCGGGGCUCGGUCGACAGCGACCGGGAGGAGUGCGGCUAGGGCAGAGAAGAUAGAAGAAGUGGCUGGGGGCGUGGCUAAGGUCUAGGGUUAGGUGGAAGAAACCCUAAAAACUCUAUAUAUACCAAGGUGUCGAUUGCGAGUUAGCCCACGAAACCUCAGUAUUUCAAACUGAAUCCCUCACAGCGCGUGAACAACGCGAGAAUACCCCUCCACGUGCGAUCUCGCGUAAAACGGCACAUAAAAUGUCGCGACUUUUGCGAAAUUACCGUUUUGCCAACACCGACCUUUCCUCAAUCAACGCGCGAUCUCCGCAGAUCCGUCAGUCCGAUUUGCGAACGGAUUGUACCAGUGCGAUCAGCACGACGGAGACCACAAAGCUACGAUUUCGUUUCUCCUUGAUCGGUCUCGGAUUCGCAACGAACUCAGUCCAUCAUUCCAACGAAAGAAACUACGCACAAAUACAUAUAAAACAUGUAUUUUCGAAUUUUCUAGAAAUCCAUUCCUCAAACUCAAAAUCCGUCAGCGCCAUCGGUUCUAGAAUAACCAAACCGUUCGAAACGAGCUAUUGGACUGCUAUGAACGGAGUCCGAUACGCGCCAGAAGCCAACUUCACGCCGUGGCUUCUCUAGAAAAUCGAGUUACUAUUCACUUUAAAUGAAACUUGGAAAUCACGUAGAAUCUCCGAUUUAACUCGGUUUCUCCCGAAACUCGACGAGUGCUUUUGUAAUUAAAUUACACACAAAAACAUCGUCAACUGAGAGUUUAGCUACACUACCAAAAUCUCGGUCCUUACAAAUUAUCUGAUGAACCUUUCGUAUUAGCAUUUCAAGUGAGCCAAGUAUUUUAUGUACAAGAUACUAGUAACAAGGAUUGGAAGGUAGUUGUUCAAAUAAGACCAAGAGACAUGUUUGAUAUGCAGCAAGAAAUUCUUGAAGAUGAUAUAGAGGUUCAUAUGGAUUAUGGUACGUGUGAAAACACCAUGAAUAAUAUUGAAGGAAAGCUUAGUUGGAAUAGAAAUGAUGUGCCGGGACUUACAAUUGACAGCUAUGUAAUAAACACUCAUGAUUUGGAAGCAAACGCAUACGAUAAUGUGGAUACGGAAGAUGACUACGACUUAGACGAUUCGAACCUACUUUAGGUACAUAUUAUUUGCUCUACUUAUUAGUAUAUUACCGGUAUAUUGUUUAUUCCGGUUAACGGAUGGUAACAGUGAUAGUAGUAAACUAAGCCUCGGUAACCUUACCAAACCUGAAACAUUCAGUAAGUUUGCCCUUCCUGAAACGUGCCCUAAUCCUAUCACCGUUCUCCAUUUCAAACCUAAAUAGCCUCAAAGAAGAUCUCCCUUACUAGGUUGGACAGAAACUACUUUAUUUAAAUCAACAAGACCAUCACCACAACGAUAACACAGCCGUACAGGAACGAACUAAACUAAACGUGAGAGUGACAACAUUUCAUGGCCAACGAAAAGAUCCACGUUUAAACUUUCAUCAACCCGUUCCAUCGGUACUUCACGUACGAGUUCACAACGACUCCAAACUAGACCUGCUCUCACUGUAAGUUUUACUGGAACUAGAUUAUCGUAAAGUAGUAUGAGUGAAACUAGUUUCAUACCGACAAAACUUGAGAAAGGAAAAAGAAAACACGAGAAGUACUAAUUAUGGACAUAAGUCACUUCAACUUUAAUUCAAUGAGAUUUCAUGUUAUUACUGAUCUACGAAGUGUUUAUAUAAUCAGUAUUUUUACGAACUUGUGAUAUGUUUCUAAAGUAUAUAUUGAUACUGAUACAUAAAUAACAUAGUCUGCGACAAGGCGAUAUUAAAUUUGUUUUACUUUGUUCGGUCCGUUUACUGUUGAUAAACGUUGUGAUUUUUGUGUAAGAUUAAUUGAUGAUANNNNNNNNNNNNNNNNNNNNNNNNNNNNNNNNNNNNNNNNNNNNNNNNNNNNNNNNNNNNNNNNNNNNNNNNNNNNNNNNNNNNNNNNNNNNNNNNNNNNNNNNNNNNNNNNNNNNNNNNNNNNNNNNNNNNNNNNNNNNNNNNNNNNNNNNNNNNNNNNNNNNNNNNNNNNNNNNNNNNNNNNNNNNNNNNNNNNNNNNNNNNNNNNNNNNNNNNNNNNNNNNNNNNNNNNNNNNNNNNNNNNNNNNNNNNNNNNNNNNNNNNNNNNNNNNNNNNNNNNNNNNNNNNNNNNNNNNNNNNNNNNNNNNNNNNNNNNNNNNNNNNNNNNNNNNNNNNNNNNNNNNNNNNNNNNNNNNNNNNNNNNNNNNNNNNNNNNNNNNNNNNNNNNNNNNNNNNNNNNNNNNNNNNNNNNNNNNNNNNNNNNNNNNNNNNNNNNNNNNNNNNNNNNNNNNNNNNNNNNNNNNNNNNNNNNNNNNNNNNNNNNNNNNNNNNNNNNNNNNNNNNNNNNNNNNNNNNNNNNNNNNNNNNNNNNNNNNNNNNNNNNNNNNNNNNNNNNNNNNNNNNNNNNNNNNNNNNNNNNNNNNNNNNNNNNNNNNNNNNNNNNNNNNNNNNNNNNNNNNNNNNNNNNNNNNNNNNNNNNNNNNNNNNNNNNNNNNNNNNNNNNNNNNNNNNNNNNNNNNNNNNNNNNNNNNNNNNNNNNNNNNNNNNNNNNNNNNNNNNNNNNNNNNNNNNNNNNNNNNNNNNNNNNNNNNNNNNNNNNNNNNNNNNNNNNNNNNNNNNNNNNNNNNNNNNNNNNNNNNNNNNNNNNNNNNNNNNNNNNNNNNNNNNNNNNNNNNNNNNNNNNNNNNNNNNNNNNNNNNNNNNNNNNNNNNNNNNNNNNNNNNNNNNNNNNNNNNNNNNNNNNNNNNNNNNNNNNNNNNNNNNNNNNNNNNNNNNNNNNNNNNNNNNNNNNNNNNNNNNNNNNNNNNNNNNNNNNNNNNNNNNNNNNNNNNNNNNNNNNNNNNNNNNNNNNNNNNNNNNNNNNNNNNNNNNNNNNNNNNNNNNNNNNNNNNNNNNNNNNNNNNNNNNNNNNNNNNNNNNNNNNNNNNNNNNNNNNNNNNNNNNNNNNNNNNNNNNNNNNNNNNNNNNNNNNNNNNNNNNNNNNNNNNNNNNNNNNNNNNNNNNNNNNNNNNNNNNNNNNNNNNNNNNNNNNNNNNNNNNNNNNNNNNNNNNNNNNNNNNNNNNNNNNNNNNNNNNNNNNNNNNNNNNNNNNNNNNNNNNNNNNNNNNNNNNNNNNNNNNNNNNNNNNNNNNNNNNNNNNNNNNNNNNNNNNNNNNNNNNNNNNNNNNNNNNNNNNNNNNNNNNNNNNNNNNNNNNNNNNNNNNNNNNNNNNNNNNNNNNNNNNNNNNNNNNNNNNNNNNNNNNNNNNNNNNNNNNNNNNNNNNNNNNNNNNNNNNNNNNNNNNNNNNNNNNNNNNNNNNNNNNNNNNNNNNNNNNNNNNNNNNNNNNNNNNNNNNNNNNNNNNNNNNNNNNNNNNNNNNNNNNNNNNNNNNNNNNNNNNNNNNNNNNNNNNNNNNNNNNNNNNNNNNNNNNNNNNNNNNNNNNNNNNNNNNNNNNNNNNNNNNNNNNNNNNNNNNNNNNNNNNNNNNNNNNNNNNNNNNNNNNNNNNNNNNNNNNNNNNNNNNNNNNNNNNNNNNNNNNNNNNNNNNNNNNNNNNNNNNNNNNNNNNNNNNNNNNNNNNNNNNNNNNNNNNNNNNNNNNNNNNNNNNNNNNNNNNNNNNNNNNNNNNNNNNNNNNNNNNNNNNNNNNNNNNNNNNNNNNNNNNNNNNNNNNNNNNNNNNNNNNNNNNNNNNNNNNNNNNNNNNNNNAAAUACUAAUAUCAACAAAUUACAAUAGGGCUUUUCCAUUUGAUAUUAAUUGUAAAACCAACAAUCUGUAAUAUCCGAAAAAAAAAUAAGAGUCAUAUUACUAAAUUGCAAUAAGAUGAUACGAUCAUUUUUGAAACAAAACUAUAAGCAAUGAUCUAGAGCAGUGAUAAAAUGCAACAAAAUAAAUUUUUAUAUUCUAAUAGAAAUCAAUACAAUAGAAAAUUUAUUUGAACCCCAAAUGGUAGAAAGCUAAGAAAAAGAAAAGUAAAAAGCUCCAGCUAAACAUUCUUGAAAUGCGAACAUCAAAUCCUGCUUGUUGCUUAAAUCUGUAAUAAAAAAAAAUUGAAACAUAGAAGUUGCAUAAGCUCAUUUCAACAGAAAAUCUAUCAUAAGUAACAAAUAGUAAAAAAUAAAAGUAUACAUAACAGCCAUAAGAACUAAAUCUUUUUAGUUCCAAUUAUUACUUCUUAUGGCUUGAUCAGCUCAGCUUGAUCAAACAUAAACACAAUGAUUAUAACUUGAUCAGCUUAGCUUUAGAAGCCUUUUUAUUAAUACAAGAGAAACUGACAAAAUCAUUUACCUUCAGAUGAUCCAUUGCUGCAAGGUUGAAACCAACCGUGUCUUUACAUUCCUGCAGAAGACAAACUUCCAUUAUAACUUGAACAUUAAAGAGGCGAAAAAAAAGAAGGAAAUACAACUCCGGGAAUUUUGCUUACAUACACAUUACCAUACAUGUAUUUGCAUGCAUAACCUUAAAAUUAUGAUUUCAGCCUACACUCCUAGAGUAGCCCGGAUUCACAAAGAUACUCUCAAACGUUGGGUUGCACUGACACCCAUAGGAACGGCGGACAUUUUCGUAUAUCCUCUUAUCGAGAGCUAUAGCAUAAGCUUUCAAGUAGAAGAAGGGAUGUUUCCAAAGGUUUGCAUCAUCUAAAGCAGAAAACAAGCUAGUCUGGGAAAGCUCUUCUGGCACCAUAGGAGGGGAACCAGGUGUAUUUAUACACGUGCGAGUUUUCCUGCAAUACAAGCAGCAGCUGCUAUUACAAAUUUUAUAACUUCUCCUGAAUCUGCUGAAAAGUUUUGAUACUGGUAAAUAAGCAAGGACUUCGUACACUUAACAAUGGUAGCACGUUGAAAGAACUACAAAGGAAUCAACUAAUUUAGAGUGUGUACCUUCAUUAAGCAGCAACUGGACAAGAGAAGGUGUCACGCCCCGAGGUCCCUUUUAGAUUGAAACACGGCGGAAAAGCGUCUAAAUUUUUUUGAAAACCUGACCCCAGAGUAUGCUAGAUCCGCCACAAAUACAGGGAUUCCACUGUUCACAUGGACAGAGUCUCCCCUGUAUUUGCACGGCGUCGCACAAGUACAAGAUGUAAAGUAGGAUACAACUACAACUAAAUGAACAUACAAACAUCCAACAGUUUUAUAUUCAUACACCAUUCACCACAGGUUCAUUCACAUAGUUUUAAUCAUGAAUCAACAUCUAUCAGUUAAAAUGUUUCCUACCCGGAAACUGGUUUUGAAAUACUAAGUUACAAAACCACGAGAAAGCUGUUUGAAAUCCGUUUUUCAUAAGAAAACUCUUUUCUUUUAAAACACGCUACCACGAGGGGUAGAAAACCUUUCCAUUUCACAAAAUCCACAAAUCUAUUUAUUACAUUCAUGAAAACCCAUAUUUUCAAAUGUAAUAAAAAUACUGAACCAUAUAAACUAUCUAAGCUAUAUCAACAGAAUAGUAAGGGUAGGAACUAAACCGAAUAACCUGGGUCGGAAGCUCUAUCGACCGCUACGUACAUAUCUCACGUCUCGUCUCAACCCUCACCGCCUGCGAUACCUGAAAAAUAGUGAGGGAGGUGAGAACAUGUAAACAUGUCUCCCCUCCCAGUGGGUACCGCAAGCCGAAGAAGACGAGGAGUACUCACCAGAUCAGGAAGAGCUAAACAACAGUACGGGUCAGUGGAAAUAUAGUAGCAAUAAUAAUGAACGAAAGAGACAUAUAUAAAUGAAAGUAUAACUACCGCUACUGUAAUGAACAACUGAAUGUAUACAUGCAACAAAACUAUAGUAGCAAGACAAUGUAACAAAAGAAAGAACUGAAGGUAUACAAACAACAACCGCUACUAUAGCUAUAUGCGUCAACCGGUCAAGAAGUCCAAAUAUACCCAAUCUGAAAUCUACUGCUCUGUUGGUCCGCGCCGGAACCUCAAGCCUGUGCCCUGGAGGUUCACACCGGAGACCUCCGUUCUACCAUGCAUCUAACCCCUCUAGGGCUCACGGGUCGACACCUGCAACCACUUUUCCGGAAAAGAACACCCUCUUGCGGUGAAUCAAACCGCUGGUGUUCGUGAAAUGCGAACGAGUCUCGGGCGGUCAAUGCUGAUAUACUCAAAGGCCAAACGUCGGCAACCAGCCGACAAUCCUGCCCACAGGGCUCAUCGACCGUAUAGGUCAUCAACUGUAAGGAAGCACAAGAACUGACCACUCAGAUCAACUAGGAUGGGACAACAUCAACAUCCUCUCAAACAUAUGCAAAUACUGCUCAAUGAACCACAAGGACUGACCACUCAGAUCAACUAGGAUAUAUGCACAACGAAUCGACGAAAAGGUCAUCAGGGUGUAUCAAUAGAAUCCAGAACUACCGUCGACCACUAGCCAACAAUCCAACCCCUCUAGGGUACAUCGACCACAACGGUCAUCGAACGACAGAAGUUAAGGAACCGACCGAAUGUGUCACAAAUACGAAGUACGAAAACCAACCAACCAGGUCACUGAUACGAAGAACAAGAAUCGACCAACCAAGUCACUGAUAUGAAGUACAAGAAUCGACCAACCAGGUCAACAGAUACGCACAUAGACAGAACCACUCUACUCCUACUCAGGAUACUAAGCAUGCACACAACGAGUAGAGUAUAAUGGAAUAACAUGGGUGCAAGGCUCAAUGUAUACUAUGUAAUAAUAACAACAGAAGUAUAAGGGUAAGAAACCAUCACCGAGCGUGCACCACUGUACCGACGUCGGAUCGAAGUACCCACCUAUAAGGAUGUCGCGUCUGUCUCCUGACUGCAAAAGAAUGUCAACAGGACCUAUAAAGGGUCCACCGGGUUAGUAUCUAACCCACAACUAAUAACCACAGUAUCCACAACCCCACAACAAUUUCACGAAGAUCGGUUUCCCAAUACCGAUUACCGUAACUCGCCGGAAGUCCCGAAAACCACACCGGAACGCCGUCGGGACCCACUAAGUGUCCCGAAACUCACCGACUCGUGCCACGAGUCACCUGCUGCACCAGAACACUCCGAUUUGGAUGUUUUGGCAGCAAACACAAGAUAACAACACUACACAAUUAUCACCGGAUAAUUGUACGAAUCCGGGUUCCCGGAAGUGUCUAUUUCGACACCGGAACCCACCGUCGCUCACCCAUCAUCACCGAACCCACAAAAUGAUGAUGGUGACCAGCCAACAAGGCUCAGCGACCACACACAAGACAACCAAACCACGUCGGAAGAAAUCCGAACCGAAACCGCGUUCUUUCGGCGAAUUUCGCCGAAAAACGCACCGAAAUCGACUCUUCGAUUUCCGCAAAAGCUAACGGAUCAUGGACAAUCAGUCCAGAGGUCAAACACACUCAUACACACUGUCCACAGUGGCCCUAGGGUGCACAAUUGCACAAAAGUCCCUCUAAUUACAUAAAAUCCUAUCAUUUUAUGUAAUUUGAGCGAUCAAGUAGCUCGUUCACGCAAACCGAGGACUUCUAAAGUCCGCAGAGACACGUACUGACAGAUCUCGACGUACCGGAGGCCGUGCUCAUGAUCCGGAGAACAACAGCUCUCUGUGGGAAGCGCGGGAGCAACCCGAAGGUUCAGCGAACAGCGCGCAGCCACGGAAAAACGCACCGAACAGGGCUAACCAGACACUGCUGAUCCAAGGUAAGGUGAGCACUGUGAUCAACACUGACCAGCGAUCACCAUGCUCACCUCCGGAGGCAUCGGAAUAGCCUCGGAUCGCCGAAAACGCACGCACAAACACAAAACAACAGCCAAAAAGGCUCCACAGGGUCAACGCCGCAAAAACAGCGGAACGGGGCCUUCCCAACAGAAACCAAGGUGAGCACUAUGACCAGAAACUUGCCAGGAUCAUCGUGCUCCCUUCUAUAGAGGUCGGGGAGGCUCGGGAAGCUCGGGACAGUAAACAACCCACAAACAACCCUAUUUCGGGCUUGGCCGGAGCAAGCUUGCUCCGGCCGGCUUCCGGCGGCACAGCGGCGCGCACGGUGGCUAGGAUUGGGUACCGGGGAGGGAAGGAACAAGGUGCUCACCUCAGGUGGCGACGAGGAGCGGCGGCGGCGACGGCGGAACCAACCCAGCCCGCACGAGGUUCGGGCUCUCCGAACGGGGGUGGGUGUGCCGGAGGCCGCGACGGAGGCCGCAAUGAUGGAAAAAGGGUGGCUGCGGCGCUGGGGUGGAGCUACCAGGUCUGCUCGGCCUGAGCAGACUUGGGGCGGCUGCAGGAUGGCCGUAGCGGCAGCGGCGGUGGUCGGCGGGGUGCUCGCCGGAGCACGGGGCAACACCGGCGGAGGGUCUAGAGGUGGCGGCAGUCUCGGGCUUCCUCACAACCCGAGACAAGAGAGAGAGAGAGAGAGAGAGAGAGAGAGAGAGAGAGAGAGAGAGAGAGAGAGAGAGAGAGAGAAAGAAGGUGGCUCCGGCGGCGGCUGGCCGGCCGGGGCUCAGUCGGCGGCGGCCGGGGGCGUGCGCAGCAGGUGCAGGGAAGAGGGAUGGAGGUAGCAGGGAGCGGCUAGGGCAGCAGGGUUAGGGUUUCCAAGGUGAAACCCUAGAACAAGCUUAAAUACCAAGUGCAAUUUGCAAAAAGGUCCACCAAAUCUCAGUAUUACUACUGAGUCCCUCACAGCGCGUGUUAAACGUGCGAACACCCCUCCACGUGCGAUCUCACGUGAAACGGUACAUAAAAUAUCGCGACUUUUGCGAAAUUACCGUUUUGCCAUUACCGACCUCUCCUCGAUCAACGCGCAAUCACCGCAGAUCCGUCCGUCAGAUUUGCGAACGGAUCGCACCAGUGCGAUCAGCACGACGGAGACAACAAAGCUACCAUUUUGGUUCCUCUCGAUCGGUCACGGAUUCGCGACGAGAACAGCUCCAACUCUCCAAUAGAGGAAACUACGCACAAAUACAUAUAAAACGUGUAUUUUUGGAUUUUCUCGAAAUUCGUGCGUCAAACUCAAAAUCCGUCAGCGCCAAUAGUUCCAGAAUUGCUGAACCGGUCGAAACGAGCUAUUGGACUGCUAUGAACGGAGUCCGAUACGAGCCUGAAGCCAACUUCACAACGUGGCUUCACUGGAAAAACCAAGUUACUAUUCACUUAAGUGAAAAAUAAAGAUCGCGUAACUCCUCCGUUUUAACUCGUUUUCUCCUGUAACUUGACGAGUGCUUAUGUAAUUAAAUUACACACGUAAACAUCGUCAAUAGAGAGUUUAGUUGCACUGUCAAAAUCUCAGUCCUUACAGAAGGAACCCGGCAGAAGCGAAAAAGUAUCAGGAAAAUAACAAAGGCUGGUAAAAAAUGAUCUUCUUGAACACAAAUCACUAUGAAAUGUUGAAAAUCUUGAGAGAAAACAAUUUAUCAACUCCAAAAUAUUAUCUUCUAGGCUAUUAUACGAGCAUGAAGGCAAUAAUAGCCUACAGGACCUACACUACUAACAAAAUAAUCAAAUUUCUAUAAUUCUAUUGGACCCUAAGCAUCAGCCCCAAACCAAUCGGACUGAUUCAUAGGCCAAGAAAUUAAUCUAUUCUGCUCAUAACCAACCAAACUAAGUUGUAAAACAUCAUAAAACUUAAAAAACAUUAAAAUAUAACAUCAUAAAGCUUGAAAAACAUGAAACAUGAGAAAAGUUCUUAUGCCUGGUUGUCAACUAUUACAUAAGUAAAUGGUGAAAUUCCCUGCUCUGAUACCUGAAAAAAGAAUGCCCUAUAAGAAGAGCACAUAUACUUCCUUUAAGAACAAACCCCUAAUUAGCCUUUAAAUAAUUUAAAAGUUAGCACAGAGGUUUCUGUACUGUGAAGAGAAUAUAAAGCUCUCGUAGUUCAGGAGUUGUUUGCAGCUUAAAAGCUACGUUUUAAUUGUAUUUGGUGUAAGAUAGUUAACUCCUAUUUCAGUUCUUUUUCUAAAGUACAAGUACAGCCCGUGGGAUAGUCUUUAUUAUUAAAUGAAAGAAGCGAAUUCAAUGUAGCUUGGGCUUUCGGUGAAACCUGGAGAGAAGAAGAGUUGCCGGGAUAGAGCGUAAGUACAAGUCCAUUGUAAAAGAAAAAAAGAACUUAUUUGAGUCAUAGGAGCUAAUAAAGUCGUUUAUGAACGAUGAAUAAGGGGAAAGGACAGAGAACCAGUGUGCUGUUGCAUGAGAGUUUUUGAUGAGAUAAAAUAAUUCAUGGGUGAGUAUCGGGAAAUCAGUGCAUGAUGACGACUCGCAUAACAAAUAACAAUAAAAGGGCAAUGAUAAAUGAGAAGUGAAUAUUUGUUAGUGCUUUUUAAACACUUGGUCAAAUCAAAUUUAAUAUUUGUAUCUUCUUAUCUAGACCAAAUCAAUUUUUCGUCACUUUUAAUGUGUAUCGAUGAAUUAGGGAUUCUGUCUGCUGGCAGACUAAAUGCUCUGUUAUAUUAAACCUGGACAUUAAACUCUCUGAAAGUCAAAUCUAAUAAACGAAGUACUCUUAUAAGCAAAUAGUAGAAAGUUGCUAUUGGUUUGUAAGUAAACUUAUUUAAAAAAGAAUAUCACAGAAUGAUUUUUACUUGCAGAUUAGGUUCUUAAUAUUCGACUAAGAUUGAAUCAUAACUAUUGGCAUGAUAUAUACUGAUCUCUAAAUUUGUUGAGAUCGCAUCAAACAAUUUUCACUUGGAGAUUAGGUGCUUAACACUUGACUAAGGUCGAACCAUAACUAUUGGCAUAAUAUAUUUUGAUCUCUAAAUUUGUUGAGAUCGCAUCAAACAGUUUUCACUUGGAGAUUAGGCACUUAAUUAACACUAGACUAAGAUCGAACCAUAGCUAUUGGCAUGAUAUAUACUGAUCUAUAAAUUUAUGGAGAUCGCAUCAAACAAUUUUGAGUUGGAGAUUAAUACUGUCACGCCCCGAGCCCGCCUAUUUGGUCGGUUUCGGGCACGCCGACAGACCGCCGAACGGACAGGGUUUUUCCUGUACCGCGGACAGUCUCCCCUGUACAUUCAAGGCGUCGCAAUCAAUACAAUGUACAAAGUUCCAACCAGGAACACAUUUCAAUCAAGGAUUGCAUAAGGAAGUAUCAAAAACAUAAUCUACUUGCUAUUACAAGCAUUCACAUUCACUAGAUACAUUUUACAUCACAAUUACUUAUUACAUUAAACUUCCAAAUACAAUCUAGCUUUUAUUACAAAUUAUUAUAAUUUGAUUCUUUUCAUUUUCUUACAUCCCUAAGUAAAGGCCGACUCAGGGUACCGCUAUCUCUGGUCUCGGUGGUAGGGCGUUAACUAUGGAGAUACGCCCUCGCCUCGCGCCGCCGCGGCGCUCACGUGUGAACCUGUAAUACCCCAAAACCACGUGGAGUGAGAACCAACUCCAUGGUUCCCAGUGGGUACGACCACCCAAGAGAAAAGCUCGACCAAUAGGUCCAAGGGAGGCAACUGCAAGUUAGUUCAAUAAACAGAUAGAUAUAUAUCUUGAUUAUGCAACAAAUGAAACCAUGCAUUGCCUCACGAAUGCAAUAUGAAGAUCAUGCAAUGAUGCGACUAUACAAUCAACUAGUAAUUCAAUCGAUUACUACUUUCAUCCAAUUGACAUUUAAGGUUUUCUGUCAUUUACCAUUUUAAUCAUAAAGUUUUCAUCUAUCUUUACAAAGCUAACCGCCCGACUCGGUCUUGAGUCAAUCGUCUGCAGAGUACCGCACAAAGCCAGGCCCAAGGCGAAGGACGUCUCACUUGCACCUCGGCCUUAAAUCCCCUCAACUAGGACAUCACUAUAGCUCAUAAGUUUAUUACCCAAUCACUUGGCUAACCCAAAGGUUUCGCCCUCAACAAACUCACCAACACCAAAAUCUCAUUAACCGGGGAGAUACCCGCUACAACCCGGUGGGACCGGUCCUCUGGGAGAUAACCGCUACAACCCAGUGAUGUCGACUCCGGAGCACAUCGCCCGAGGGGGAGCUACCGCAACCUCGAGCAAGGACUAAAGGUGAGUAUGAAAAUGAUCAAAUCCAAAAUCUUGAGGAUGUCAGUUCAAUCCAUUCCUUAACUUUAGGAAGACUAUGCUCAAAUGACCUCAACUCUAGGGUUGAAAUGUCAUAAUAUUUCCAUCAUUCCUUUCUUUACAUUCUUUACUAUCACUUGUGUCAUAUACACUACUAUAUUCUUGGACUCAUGCCACACUUGUUUUCUAAGUGUUCAACAUGCCAUAAGUGUUUCCACUAUACUAAUCAUAUGCCACUCGAUCUAAUAUAUAUAGAUUGUCCACGUCACAUAUCAUAGUUCAUAUGUCAUUAUUUUUCAAUGUCGAGUUCUCUAAUUCACCUAGAGUUUAUCGACCCAAGUUCAACAUGCAUGUGUCAUUUAACAUAAUCCACAAUAUGUCAAUAUACAUUCAUCUAGUAUAUUCUACAAUAAAUCAACAUGCACUCAUUCAUCAUAUUCCACAAUAUGUCUACAUAUAUAGCCAACCAUCCAUAUGCCAUCCAACAUGUUCCAUAAUUUAUCAACAUGCAUAUUACCUCUAACAUAUAUAUUACUAUAAACAUUAUUUAUGCAUUCAUGUAACAAUUAACUCAUACAUUCAUUUAGCAUUAUGUAACUUGCAUCAUAUCAUUACGCAUUUCUACUUGGCAUUUACAUUAACAUGCAUCAUUUUCAUGCUUCAUUUACAUUCAUAUGCAUCAACAUGAAUUCUUAAUUUGCUUAGACAUAAAGGCGACCUAGUCGCUUCGGUAAGCACAACCCACCUUAACUCGCGUUCCGAUCGCUUGUAGUCACUUGCAAUCGGCCUCCGCGGCACCCGUGACCCGGUUUGGCCCGAACUCUGUGCGACCACCCGAACGGCCACCAAUCCGCGAUCCGUCUGUUCGGAGUUUAUUCCCGUUACCACGAUGCUCCAGAUCCAUUUUA
rnacentral:lncRNA from 1 species